GAAAGUGGAGUAAUAAUUGUUUUUUAAAAUAUAUUAAAAUAAUAUUUUUUUAUUUUUUAAAAUUAUUUUUAUAUAGUAUAUCAAAAUAAUUUAAAAAUAUAAAAAAAUAAUUUUUUUUUUAAAUAAUUCCGAAACGCAAAGCAAAACACGGAAGUCGCAUUGUCGCAUCAAGUGCGGGUGCCCCCAGCACCAGGCUUGGUUUGAUGCAUUGCCGAGCCUUUGUUCUGAACUAAUGAUUCAAUGUUAAAUCUAAUCCAAAUUAAAACAAAUCUUUUACGUGAUUUUUUAUGCUUAUGGAAGAGAAAUAUGAAACAUUGCAGUUAAAAUAAUGCAGGUGGUAUCGUGCAUGGACAAUAUUUAUACUAUUAUGGGCAGUGUACUCUUCCUUCUUUACACCAAUGGAGUUUGGUUUCUUCAGGGGAUUGCCUGAGAAUCUCUUCAUAAUGGACAUAGUUGGACAGGUUGCUUUUCUUCUUGAUAUCGUUUUACAAUUCUUCGUUGCCUACAGAGACAGUCAGACUUAUCGUAUGAUCUAUAAGCGCUCUCCUAUUGCUCUUCGGUUAGUUUCUCUCUUGUUUGCAUAUCUACUGUGUCAUGCAAAUCCUUCUUUGCUUGCCUUUUGGUUGAAUGAUGUUCAGUGUGGAUUCAUCAGUGUUCACUGUCUAAGUGAUAUGAAUCCAAGUGCUUAAUUGCCCUGAUUUGGGACUGGUUCUCUUGAAUAUUUUGUUUAUGUGUGUCACCUUUUCUUCUUUUAUGCUCUUGUUGCAGGUACUUGAAAUCUCAUUUCAUCAUUGAUUUACUUGGCUGCCUGCCUUGGGACAUCAUCUUCAAGGUAUCUGUUGCUCUAGAAGCAUAAUAGAACAUUUGCUGAAAUGCAGAAUGAAGAUAGGGUGGAGAAAUAAAUUGUUGUAGAUCAUGGAUACCCGAAGAUUUGAAUGUUACAAUGCUAAUCGAGUCUAGGUCUCAUAAUCAUUUUGGGAUUUUCCUUUUAUACAGGUUUGUGGACGUAGAGAAGAAGUGAGGUAUCUUUUAUGGAUUAGGCUGAGCAGGGUGCGGAAAGUAACUUCUUUUUUCCAAAAACUGGAGAAGGAUAUACGAAUUAAUUACCUUUUUACGAGGAUUGUAAAGCUUAUAGUAGUAGAACUCUAUUGCACACACACCGCAGCCUGCAUCUUUUACUAUUUGGCUACCACCUUGCCAGCUUCUCACGAAGGGUAUACAUGGAUUGGAAGUUUGAAGAUGGGUGGUUAUAAUUAUACAAACUUCAGGGAGAUCGAUAUUUGGAUGCGGUACACAACAUCUUUAUAUUUUGCCGUCGUCACUAUGGCCACCGUUGGUGAGUUCCUUCUUUACAUUAUACUCUAUUAACACAACCUGAAGCUUUACAGUUUCCUCAUUUUGGUUUAUGUCAACAUAUGACUGGCAAAUUGACUUGGGUUAUUUCUGCAUAUGAACUUUCGCUUUCCAUAAUGAAGAGUAGUUAAACAUUUAGUGAGAAAAUUCCACGAUGAAGUCUUGACCUAUGGGGUCAAACACAAGAGGCAUGGAGUAUGCUAUUUCAGAAAGCUACUGGAAUGCCAUAAUCAUUUAUGUCCCAUUUCCGCGAAGUGUUCUUGCUUGAUUUUACACUGCUUCGUUGUAUUCGAUUCCUUUUAUUUAUGCUCACCAGUAAGAGCAGAAGGUUUCAGUUAAGAUACCAUAUUCUUACACUUGCCAUGUUUGAAGAUUCUCUCUUGCUGUAUGCCUAUAUUUUGCUGGAGUCUUCACUACUGCCUGACAAGCCUGCUGUUUUUGCCACAGGGUAUGGAGAUAUACAUGCUGUUAACUUGAGGGAAAUGAUAUUUGUAAUGAUCUUUGUUUCCUUUGACAUGAUUCUCGGUGCAUAUUUGAUCGGUAAUAUGACAGCAAUAACAGUAAAAGGUUCAAAGACAGAAAAGUUCAGGGAUAAAAUGACUGAUCUCAUCAAAUAUAUGAAUAGAAAUAGACUUGGAAAGGACAUCCGUAAUCAGAUUAAAGGCCAUUUGCGCUUACAGCAUGAGAGUAGCUAUACCGAGGCUUCUGCACUGCAGGAUCUCCCCAUCUCUAUUCGUGCUAAGGUGAAGAACAUGUUGAGAGAUUCCUUUUUUUCCCCAUUAAACCUUUUUUUUUUAUUAUAUUGGAUUUCAUGGAUACAGACAUUGAGCUUUAGGAAAAAAGAGGAGUACAGAAAUUGAUGAGGUGAUGUUUCAAGCUACGUGGGAAAGCAAAGCAUAAUUGUCCCCUUAUUCCAAAAUUAAUUUGGAGAACCUUCUAUUCCUUGGGAUAAAGUAUCAUUUAGUUUCGUUAAAGAGCCACACCAUGCCAAUAAUUACUAGUGAAAUAUUCACAAAUAAUUGUCAGAAAGAGGUGGAUCCAGCAUCAUUUUCUUUUACACCUUGUCUUCUUUUAAAACACUGCAUUUCUCUACAGAAAGUUUGCUAUACUUUUUGACAGCUCUCAUGAUAUCUGUCUCACUUAUAAUAAUUUGAUGAUUAUUCUUUGCUUGCAGAUUUCCCAAACUUUGUACACAGAAUAUAUCGAAAAGGUUCCCUUGGUUAAGGAUUGCUCUGCCGAAUUUAUUAAUCAAAUUGUAAGUCUUUUCCUUUGGCAUGUUAUAUCCCACUGGUGAUAAAUAAGUUCAAAAAACGGGGAAAUUCCAAAUGGUGUAGCAGCAAUAAACUAGUAAAGCUCAAAAUGCUACAUCUUGUUUCAGUGAAAUCAUGGAUUUCAUUGCCAAUCGCCAUUGCAAGUUAAUGGUUCAAUUAAAUUUUAACAUCAUCGAUGGUCAAAAUCUGUAUUAGGCUCGUGGUUUGUUGUUCUUUCAGGAAUCAUCUGAUCUUUAUGUACCGUCCAUGGAGGUGGACUUGACAUGUUUCUGAAAAGCGGACUAAUUAAAAAGUGUGCAACUCUGAGCAUAUGUGAUAUUCAAUCUAUCUGUCUAUCAACAAUCCACAGAUUCAUUCAUCAAGGAAAAAAAACAUUUCGAGAGGCUAUUUUGCAGAAAACAUGGCAUAUGUUAUUGGUGUUGAUAAAUGGUCUAUCACACUCAAGAGCCAACAAUAUUGGUAUGCAAGGCUAGAUUGUGAAACAGGAUCUUGAUUUAUGUAGUUGUGAAAAUUAAGCAAAAUUUUGAUCACUUGAUGGAGUUGGUUGGAUUAACGAUUUUUUCCUCCAUUAUUUUCUUAAGUUCCUGGUAGUCUCUGUUGUCCUCUUGUAGAGUCGCUGUUCAUUUCCUUUUGAAUCUUCCUCCUUUUUGUCAAAUUUUCUGCUUUAGUGCAUUGCUUGGUCUUACAUCCUCAUAUUCUAACACUUGUUAUUUUUCUCACCCUUUUUCUCCAUGUUGUAUGUUUUGUUGCAAUGCUACUCAUACAUUGUAGGAGCCUCAGCUCUGUUAUUCUCAUCUUUCCUUUUCUUUUGUUCUUGCAGGUCAUUAGGCUUCACGAGGAGUUCUUUCUCCCAGGAGAAGUAAUUAUGGAACAGGGGAACGUGGUAGAUCAACUUUAUUUUGUCUGUCAUGGUGUGCUGGUACGAUUCCAUAUCGAAUGGUCACUCAGUUUCAACAUCUGGUUAUCCAUAGCUUCUCUUUGCUUCUCCUGUUUCGUUGGUUCUUAAACACUUUAGUAUGAAGAACAUAUUUGGGAUGUUAUAAUUCUAAAACUGUAAUUUGCUUUCAAAGUUGAUUCUGCCUGUUGAUUUAUCAUAUUCUGACAAAAAUAAGAAUUUCAACUAUGAUUUGUUACUGUGGUGGCGCUUUCAGAUUUAGCCUCUCAUUGACUGGGACUGUUACAGAUGCAUGCUGUUAUUUAACUAUUGGAUCAACUUCCUUGUCAGAAUCUUGGUGGUUCCAAAAUUUUAAUUUUUGAGUGGCAUGCAUAGGAUAUGUAGCGUCAUGUUUGAACACAUUUGUAUGAUCACUUCCUUUUUUCUCCUUGGUGCAGGAAGAGGUUGGAAUAGGGCAAGAUGGAUCAGAAGAAACUGUCAAACUUUUGCCUCCUAACAGUUCAUUUGGAGAAAUUUCUAUUCUUUGCAACAUUCCUCAGCCUUAUACAGUUAGAGUUUGUGAGUUAUGUCGGCUUUUACGGAUUGAUAAACAAUCUUUAUCAAAUAUACUGGAGAUUUACUUUUAUGAUGGACGCAGAAUUUUGGACAACCUUUUAGAGGUAAUUCAACUCUGUCAAUAUGCGCUUUCAUCAAACUCAUAGUCAUGUUCUAUUUUUUUUCUUCCACACUAUUAUGAAAUCAAUAUCAGAUUAUUUAUAUAGCCAAUCUACAAAAUUCUUGAACAAUUUUUUUUAUAUUAUUAUUUUUGAUAAGCCCAGGAAAAUUCAUUAAACACCUUGGGACCAAGAGCCCAGCAACCAAGGAGAAAGAAAACUCACAGCAGACAUAACAAAAUAUUUGAACAAGUUAUUUUAGAUCUAUAUUUGACAUCAAGGGAUUAAUACAUGUCCAUUAAGAUCUAAAUCAAGGUAAAUUGACAGGGGAAAGAAUCCAAUCUUCAAUAUAAGCAGUUGGAAUCAGAUAUUACAUUUCAUAUCGGAAAGCAGGAAGCUGAACUUGCUUUGAGGGUGAAUAGCACAGCUUAUCAUGGAGAUCUUUAUCAGCUGAAGGGCUUGAUCCGAGCAGGUGCUGAUCCCAAUAGAACAGAUUAUGAUGGAAGAUCACCCUUGGUAUACACAAAGCUCAAGUAUAUGAUUGAUCUCAUUUUAUUUCAUUUAUUAUCAUUUUUAUGUGAGUCUGAAUCAUCAAAAUAACACUUCUUAUGCUGGCACAUUUGACGCGGUCUAAUUCCAGAGAUGGAUGAGCUCUACUAUAAUUUGUGCCAUAUGUUUGCAAAUUGGUGCAUGUUUUUUUUUUUUUUUGCUUCCAAGCUAUUUCUCCCAGUAUCUGAGCAAGUUUAUAUGUCAUAAGGGUAGAUUAAAGACGAUGAAAAAAUUGCUUUAUCUGACAAUAGCCUUUGUAUUCAACAGCAUCUUGCCGCAUCUAGAGGUUACGAAGAUACCACACUUUUCCUUAUUCAAGAAGGAGUUGACAUUAACAUCAAAGGUAAUUUGCUUAUAUUGGUGAUUAAUUGGCUAUAAAACUUCUGUUGGUGGUUUGAUGUUUUAUUGACAUAUUGCUCAUUAAUACUAUUAAUAUUUUUCUUGUACAGAUAAAUUUGGAAACACACCAUUGUUGGAAGCUAUCAAGAAUGGACACGAUCGAGUUGCAUCUUUACUUUCUGAACAAGGGGCCAUCUUGAACAUAGAUGAUGCUGGUAGUGUUCUGUGUAGAGCUGUUGCAAGAGGGGAUUCAGAUUUUCUCAAAAGGGUUUUGUCCAAUGGAAUUGAUCCAAACUCUAAAGACUACGAUCACCGGACUCCACUUCAUGUAGCUGCAUCAGAAGGAUUAUAUUUGAUGGCAAAGCUGCUGAUAGAAGCUGGUGCUAGUGUUUUCUCGAAGGACAGGUAGACCUGAAAUUCAUUUCGCUCAGUUUCUAACUAGAUAUGCUUGCAUUUCAGUUAUCUACUUUGGGGGCUAUUUAUAUACGCAGCAGGCUCGCUUUAUUAAUUUAGGGUUUAUUUUCCUAGUAAUUUAGGCUUAUUGAUAUAUGAAUAAUGCAAAGAUCUGAUGCAUCCUGUAAGUAGAUGGGUGGGGAAAUGUGAACUCUGGAACUUACUAAUCAAGGGAUUCUUUUAUUAAAGCUUUUUCAGCCUUUUCUUCUCUCCCUUUCUCUUUAUGAUCUGAAUAGUGACAAACGGGGCAGUGUAUUUGACUUUCAUUUACAGUUAUAUAGAGACACUCUUGACAUUUUAAAAUGAUUUUUAGAGAACGAGAACACCGUUCUGAUCACUGACCUUUUCUUGCGUAUUUCAACUCCAUAGAUGGGGUAACACUCCACUUGUUGAAGGCCGGAUCUGUGGGAACAAGAAUUUGAUCAAGCUGUUAGAAGAAGCAAAAUCUUCCCAGAAAUUGGAAUUUCAUUAUGCCUCCCAUGAAACCACAGGUAAUUCCACUACUCUAUGGACAGCUUCUAUUAUGCUCAAAGAAAAUGAAAUUUUUGAAAAUAUUCUAAAUACUAUGACAAAAAGCUUGUAAAAUAUGGCUUCCAAACAGAUUGUUGAGAGAAGACUCAUGAAAGAAUUACAAAGAAUAAUUGAUCUAAUACUAAUAUAAAGAACAGCCUGUGGAGAAAAGAUUUAGUCGAAAAUUAAAGUAUGGUUUGGUCUGCCCAAGGUUGUCAUGCUUAUUUUAUGUAGAUGCACUGAACCAGAAUUGCAUUUUGAACUGUGAUGAUUUCUCCCAUCAUAUCUGGAUUCUGUAAUUGGCCAAUCUAAAAUGUCUGGUAUAAAACAGGGUUGUUCUACUUGAACCCACCCUGUCUUCUUUUCGGGUCCAACACUUUGUUAGAAUGUAGCUGAAUGAAGCAAUUGUUGGUGAUUGAUCUAGCAACCACAUUUGAGAUGCCGAUAACAGAGAAGAGAUGGGCAUUUUGUUUUUGUUAGUAAUGCUUGUUUUUAGAUAACUGAGAACAGGAUAUGCAUUUUGUCAUAGUGAAGUUAAUUUCAUCUGAUAUUGCCAAUUGCAGAAAAAAUGCUCCCAAAGAAAUGUACAAUUUUCCCUUUCCACCCAUGGGGUGCAAAAGAACAGAGAAGACCUGGAGUAGUACUAUGGAUCCCACACACCAUGGAAGAGCUUGUAAAAGCAGCAUCAGAGAAGCUACAGCUUCCAGAUGGUUCUUGUAUAUUAUCAGAAGAUGCUGGUAAAAUUCUUGAAGUAGACAUGAUCGAUGAUGGCCAGAAGUUGUAUCUUACAAGUGAUCGAACACAUUAGUUAUGAAGAUCACCACAGUUGUAAUAUAUGGUAGCCUAGUUUUGUAUCAUCAUCUUUGUAUUAGUUUCUUUUGCCUGCUGCAUGUCUACGUUUUCUAAAUCUAAAUAAAUGCUUAUGAUACAAGCAUGCGAUGAUUAUAUUUCUGCAAAGACAUGGUCCAAGAGAGUUCAUUUGUUUCCCCAAGUUUUAGAUUGUAUAACAUAGCAAUGGCAACAAUUUGAUUUUGGCCUACGGCGACAUCACUCAUCGGCACCAAAAAUCUUCAAGAACUUCACUGAAUGUGUUGUUUUGGAGCCAUAUUUACGAUUGCCAGUGCUGACAGAGUCAAGAACACUGUUAACAGUAAAACACAAGUGAUUCAAGAUGAAAUUGCCGAACUGAUGGGGACUGUCAUCUCACCUGCUCCAAAACCAAUAUCUUAAUCAAUAGAGGAAAUAAAGCAGAAAGUUAUUCCACAAGCUUUAGGUUUCGUGGAGCAUUAGGUAGGUAAAAGUACAAGAAGACAACUUGCUUUAUAUAAAUAUUCACUCUUGGUAAAGAAAUUUAUUACAGGUUCUUCAGUUGAAAGGGUUUUUUUCAACUUGACUAGUCAUCCGCAAUGACAUUGUUACCCUUGAGUUAACACCUAGUUAUUUCUAGCCCUAAUUAAGCUAUAAGAAACAAUGAACAGGCACAAAAGUGGAUGAAAUAUAAAGUUGGAUAGCACAAGGUUGCAGGGCCAGUUGACCAGUAUGACAUGCACAACAACAGAUGCUGCUAAAUUAUCUUCAACAAGGCUCAAUUGAGCUAGAAAAAUCUGACUAAGCUCCGCGGACAUGUUGAAUUUGCUGGAAAUGCUUCUGGGCUGCUCUGUUACUAGCAGCUGCUUGAUGAUCAUUUACCUCAUCUGUCAAUAAGGAGCUGUCACUAGGUGAAGUUGAGCCAUAAGAUGUGAAAAGUAGAAAAAGGGUUCCUACAACACACCCCAGAAAGGGAAGAGAGGAACAUAUGUCCAGGGCUUGUCUGAGAUUCAUGGCUAGCUAGCUUAUGUUUGCUGAUCAAAACUUGGUAAUCAGAAUACCAAGAAAGACUUUGAUGGAAAUGCUCAGAAAGAAAGAAUUUUGGGAUAAGCUAGGAUGAUGGGUUUUUAUAGUAAAGGUGUUAAAUUUUCCUUGGAAUAUGAAUAUAAUCUAAUGCGUGGAUAUCAAGUCAUGGAGAGAUGCAAUCUUACAAAAAUGUCAAGCUACCAUAAACUGCCCAGGUGGAAAUCUCAUUGAGAAACACAUGACUUGACUUCCACAACCACAGGAUGUUCCAUAAUUUCCAUUGGAUGAUAAUGUGGCAAGCUCCCAUUUGAUGCUUUUUUACCAGCUAAUUCUCACUGGAUGCUAAUUACUUUAUAUAAUGACUAAUUAACUUUUAAAUUAGACUAAAUAUUCAAAUCUUGCUUCAUAAAUUUCUUGACAAUUUUACAUCAUAAAUAGCUACUAUAAAAUUAAUUAUAAUUGAAUGUGACUUCUUCUAUUUGCUCUUUUGGGAUUUUCACAUGAUACUCGCGAAGGCAUGUCUUUCCUUUUAAGUCUAUUUCAAUUUAGAUAUGGUGUUUACAUGAUCACUAUAUAAAUUUUAGCUUACAUCCCACAAUUAAGUACUGAUUAUGUAGUUAUUAAUUAUUCAUAAUGUUAAGUAACUAUUGGUAUUGUUUAAUGAGAAGUUAUUAUAAAAUUAAUUUCUACAAUUAUCAUUUUCAAAAUCACCAUUUUGUUUGUUUUAAAAUCAGUAGGAUUUUCUCUGUAUUAGUAUUAAGGGUAAAAAGCCAAUAAAAUAUUAUGAAUUAUCACUAUAGCCUUGGUUAAUCUAAAUCUAUUGUUUUUUUUAAAUGAUAUCAUUUUAGAAUUUAAGAUGAUUUAAAAAAACUAAAAUAACAUCAAGAUAAACAUUAAAAAAAAAUCAUUAGCUUGGUUUCACAUGAGUUUUGAUUAAGUAAGAUGAGUUUAAUUAAAUCAAUUUCCUAAGUGGUUCAAAAUAAAAUCUAGCUUAAGUUAGGUUUUAGAUAAACAGGUCAUAGGAUCAACCCUUUAGGUAAGCCAAGUUUGAUAAUUAUGCUAACUACUUUAUCAGUCAAAUCAAGAUCUAAUGGUCUAGAUAAACCUUCCCGUUGCCCAUCUCAUAGUCGCCCAUCUUUAACAAACACAAGCUAAGAAAAUGACAAUAGUACCCCCAAAUUUGAACACCCCAAAAUCCCAAUAUAAAGCAACAAAUAUCUUCCAUGAACAAGGGCAUUAUCGAAAUAAAAGAAAAAAAAAACAUUUCAGGAAAUUUAGUGGAGAAAAAACCAAUCAACGAUGAGAAACUCUUAACCCAUCACAUAUCUCAUGCGAUUGCCCAAUCAGUAACAAACCUAACCCAAUUUGACCAUGAUACUUCCAAUCUCAACACUCAACAAUCCCAAACAAACAGAAAAUAUCUCCCUCAUCAAAGGUAUUAUUGUAAAAAAAGUGCAUUUUUAAAAAAUUUCUAGUAGGAAGUAACUAACACCCUUUUCCAUUUUGUUGAGAGAGUUCCUCUUUCUUUCCCUACAAUUUCUCUCUCUAGUGCUCUUUUAAUGAGAAAAAUUUCAAGAACCAAAAACAUAACUAAAGAGAGUGAUAACUUAUCACAGGUUGAAUUUGGCAGAGCUGAAUUCUAAAGGGAAGGAAGAACAUUCCAGAUAGAGGGUUUGCUUUCAAAUUAAAAUGACUGUUAGACAACAUUACCGUUAGGAUUUAUUUUCAUAGCCAUACAUUGUGUUUUAAUUAGUACAAAGUUUGUUAAGAAAGAAUGUCAUGUGUGGCCAAAAGAGAGAACAUAGGUAAUUAUUUUUUCAUAUAAGAAUUUGUAAUAAAAUUGGCAAAAAAGAAAGAAAGAAUACAACGAUGAAUGAAUAAUGACAAUUUAUGUGAACUCUUUCCUCUCUCUCUCUCUCUCUCUCUCUCUCUCUCUCUCUCUCUAUUCUUUCUAACAAAAUAUUCUCUCUUAUCUUCUUGGGGUUAGCUGCUAGCCUCUCAUUCUUUAAGUUCACCUAGAUAGAAUCCUGGUUGGAUCUAUUUCAAUCCAACUUGUAGAAAGUGGUAUAAGAGCCACUAAUAUUUGGAUGCGGGUUAUGGCUCAUGACACUCGAUUCUAAGAUCUUAAAAGGUUAGAAGAAUCCUUAAAAUCUGCAAGCAAAGAAUAAUCACAAAAGUAUGAAUAGAUUAUGAAACUAUUAGAGAUAUAUGGUCAACAACUGAAAGAUAUUAAGUCCACCCAUGAAGCCAAGUUUGGGAAGCUUAAAAAGCUUAUUAGUGAGUUAUCUUACCAACAAAGCUCUAUUCUACAUAAAUUACAACCAUUCUAUAGUAAAAAUGAGUAUCAUAAAAAAUCAUUAAACCUCUAAUUAAGUGGGAUCUACUACAAGAUCAUGUUGGACUUGUGAAGGUAAUUACCACCCUUACAAGGUAUAUAAAUCUAAACAAGACUUCUUUAACUUUGAUGACGAUUAUGUACACAAAUUGUUAUACAAGUGAAAUUAGUGUUUUAACAUAGAAGAAGUUGCUGAUUUUGAGAAGCUUAAGUUAACCCUAUACUAUCUUGAUGGAAUGUCCUUUCACUGGCACUAAAACUUCAUGAGAAAUAAAGGUAGCCAAGUGGUGACUUGGGGUGAAUAUAUGAAAGUAAUAUGUUGUAGGUUUGGGAGGUUAGAAAGAUCCACUAGAAAAACUUAAAGAUCUUAAGCAAAUGGGAGAUCUAAAGGCUUACAUUAAAGACUUUGUUAUGCUAUGGAACAAGAAAGAAAUUAACAAGAAGUAAGCUUUAUUGUUUUUCAUGGGGGGUUUUAGAGGUGAAAGUCAUAAAUCUAGUGAAAAUGUUUGAACUUAAAGCCCUAAAACAAGCUUACUUAGCAUGCUUAUAAGAAAACACUUUAGGCUACAAAAGAUCCCACCAAAAUUAUUCCAAACUUCCUUUAUAAACCACUAACUAAGUAGUCUAACCUAUAACUAGCAACCAUCAAACACCUUAUAAACCUCCAUCUUCAUUGACUAUUGGUAACCAGAAACCUUCUUAAAAUAACAUAUUACCCACUCCUACCAAAAUCUCCAUUACAAACCAACUAUGAAACCUAGAAAAUCUAUAAGAAUAAGAAGUUAGAUCAAAUAAAAGCCCAAGGAUUAUGUUUUUGGUGUGAUGAAAAUUUGUACCAGGCCAUAAAUAUAAAAACAAAAAACUAUACUCUUUAUGUAUUGUAAUGGAUAAAAAUAAGAAAGUGGAGGAUGGUGGUAGAGUUGAAUGGGAGAAACCUAAUCCUUAACAAAUUACCCUACACAUCUCAAUCAAUGCUUUAGAAGAAGUCAUUGGUUUUCACACUCUAAGAGUUAUUAGAAGGGUGGAUAAAUAUCCAUUUUUUAUUAUGGCAGACUUUGGUAGAACUCAUAAUUUUCUCAACACUCAAAUGGCCAACAAAUUACAUUGUAACCUUACAACUAUAAAGCUAUUGAUAAUGGAAGCAACAAAUAUGAGAACAAAGCUUUCCACAGUUGUAUAUAGGAAAAUGCAAUGGGUUAAUUUGUGGUUGAUGUGUUCACUAAAAGGUUGAAUAAUUAUGACAUGGUGUUAGGUAUACAAUAAUUAGUCAUGUUAGGCAAUAUUAUGUUUGAUUACAAGGAGUUAUAAAUGAAUUUUUAGUGACAUAGUCAGGAAGUGAUAUUUAAUGAAGAAAAUCAUGUUAUGUUAUAAACCAUCAGGUUGAAUAAAUCAAUAACCUGCUAGAUAAUCCAACUCAAACAGUGGAGGCCAACUUGUGUUGUUUAAGGCUAAUUCAAGAAGUUAACAUUGAGAUACAUUCAAUGUUUGCUACUCUCUCACUUAAGGCUAAAAGGAUUCUAACUCUACCAUGGAAGGCUAAAAAGAAAUAUUUAGGGAACUUAAAAGCUUACCUCCACCAAGACCUCAUAACCAAUCUAUAUCUCUAAAAGAUAGAGCUUAACCUGUCAACUUGAGGCUUUACAAGUAUUUUGGGUUAUAAAAGGAUAUUGCAGAGAAAAUGGUUUCAGAAAUGCCAGAGUCUAGCAUUAUAUAACAUAACCAUAGUCUUUUUACUUCUUAAUAAACUUAAUGAAAAAGAAAAACAACUUAUAGAGACUUUGUGUGGACUAAAGGGCAUUCAACAAGCUUACAGUAAAAAACAAAUUCCCUAUACCAUUGAUUGGUGAGUUAAUAAAGAAACUAGUGGGCGCAACAAUCUUCUCCAAGAUUGACCUGAGGGCAGGUUAUCACCAAAUUAGAAUAAGUCAUGGGGAUAUAUCUAAGAUAGUAUUUAGGACUUAUAAUGGUCACUAUGAGUUUUUAGUCAUGCCUUUUGGCCUAACUAAUGUCUCAACCACCUUUUAGAGCUUAAUGAAUGAAGUAUUUUAUAUGAACCUCAGGAAGUUUAUUCUUAUGUUAUUUGAUGACAUUCUAAUCUAUAAUUAUACUUUUACUAACCACCUAAGAUAUUUUUAGAUUGUGUUUGAGCUCUUAAGGUCUCAUUAAUUAGUUGCUAAAAACAAUAAAUAUAUCUUUUGUAAUGAUAAUGGAAUACUUAGCCAUAUCAUUUCCAAUGAAAAGGUGGCUACCAAUCUAUAUAAAAUACAAACUAUAAUGGAUUGACCUAUUCCCACCAAUAUCAAAUAACUUAGAGGCUUUCUUGGAUUGAUUGAGUAUUGUAAGAAAUUUAUAAGGGUUUAUAGCUCCAUAUGUAAAUUCCUAACAAAUUUACUGAAAAAAUACUUUUGAAUAGGAUGUUAAGGCUACAACUACCUUUAGAUUCCUUAAAGAAGUCCUAACUAAGCUAUAUGUUCUAACCCUGAUAGCUUUCAAAAAAGAUAUUUAUGGAGAUAAUAUUGAUGCAAGAAAGGCAUCUUAUAGAUUUUAUUAACAAGUUCUAGGGUCCAAGGUAGCAAUUACUGUUUACUUAUGAAAAAGAAAUGUUGACCAUCCUACAUGCUAUAGAAAAAUAGAGGCACUACCUAUAGGGAAAGUAUUUUAAGAGUAAGACAAACCAUGUAAGUCUCAAGUAUCUACUUGAUCAAAAGGUAAUUUGUCCUUCUUAAUAUUUAUGGCUAGCUAAACUAUUGGGUUUUUAUUAUGAAAUUAAGUAUAUGAAAGGCAAUGAAAAUGUGGUAGUUGAUGCCCUAUCUAGAAUUUCUAGUGGUGAAUUAUGUGCUUUAGAAUUGUCAACCAUUUCCACCAAUAUUAUAAAAAAGGUUAGGGCCUUAUGGGAAAAGAUAAGAUUGUACAAACCAUCAUUUAAUCUUUUUAAGGAUCCUAUUUCCCACCCUAUUAUAAGUGGGUAAGCAACCACCUUAAUAUUAAGAAAAAUAUAGUUUUUGGUAAUGAUCCUACUCUAUAUAAUAAGCUAAUAUCAUUGUGUCAUGACUCUUUCAUGGGUGGACACUCCAGUGCCAAAGUAAUUGUAAAGAGAGUAAAGGGUAUAUUUUACUAGAAAAGGUAGUAGAAGCAUGUAAGGUAGUUUAUGAGGGAAUGUCUUUUCUGUUAAAAGAACAAGAAUGAAAAUGUAUUCACCCUAGGGUUAUUGUAGCCUCUUCUCAUCCUACAAGCAAUAUUCAUUGAUAUCAAAAUGGAUUUUAUUGAAGGUUUGCCCGAAUCUAAUGGAAAUGAGGUUAUUUUUAUAGUAGUAGAUAGAUUUAGCAAGAAUGCUUCAUGGCUCUUACUCAUCCUUAUACAACCAUCACUACGACUAGGGUUUUUAUAGACAAUGUAUACAAACUAUAUGACCUACCUGCUACCAUAGUGAGUGAUAAAGAUUCAGUUUUCGUGAGUCGGUUUUGAAAAAUUUUCUUUAACUAUCAAGGAGUGAAUCUAUAUUAUUCUAUUAUCUACCAUACAUAGUCUAAUAGAAAAAUUAAGGUAGUGAAGAAGUUCUUAGAAAAUUUACUAAGGUGCAUGACUGAAGAGGUGCUUUCACAAUGGUCAAAUGGUUAUACCUAUAUGAAUGGUGGUAUAACACCAAUUAUCAUACUUCUACUUAAACUACCCCUUAUGAAGUUCUUUAUAGGCUAACUCCACUAAUUGACAUUCUUUAUUAUUUUAAAGAUUUAAUUGUAGAAUUAAUAGACAAUUUCCUAGCUAAAAGGGAAAACAUGUUUAAAUUGAUUAGAGAUGAUUUAUUAAAAUCUCAAUAUAGGAUAACAUAUCUAUCCAAUAAGAAAAGAAGUGAAAGAUAAUUUGCAAUUGGGGACCUAGUCUACCUUAAACUACAACCUUAUAGGAAAAAAAUCAGUUGUAUAAAGAAACAUAUAGAAGUUAGCAUUAAUAUAUUAUGUAGGUGAUUAAGAGGACUGACAUUGUGACCUAUAAGUAGUGUCUACCUCCUUCUACAAUGAUUCAUCUAGUUUUUCAUGUGUCCUAGCUGAAGAAACAAAUGAAAAAUAAAAUGGUGCAAACUACCUUACCUAAUCUCCCUCAUGAGCCAACUCUCAAGCCUUAAGCAAUUCUGGAUAAAAGGAUUGUCAAAAAGGGUAACCAUGCUGCCGCCCAAGUCUUAGUUCAUUGGAAUUUUUGACCUCUCUCUGAUGUAACUUGGGAGUUUGUUGAUGACCUUUUUUUGAGGUUUUCUCAUUUCUUUCUUAAAGAAAAGUUUGUUUUGAAUGAGGCAAAAUUAUCACAAAGUUGAAUUUGACAAAGCUUGAUUUUAAGGAGGAUGAAGAACAUUCAUUGGACAUAGGGUUUGUUUUGAAAUUAAAAUGAUUUUAAGAUUUAUUUAUAGCAAUACAUUAUGUUUUAAUUCGUACAAAGGUUGUUAAGAAAGAAUACCACGUGUGGCCAGAAGAGAGAAUAUAGGUAGUUAUUUUAUCAUAUAAGAAUUUGUAAUAAAAUUAGCAUAACAAAAGAAUACAAUGAUGAAUGAAUGUUGACAAUUUAUGUGAACUCUCUCUCUUUUAUCUUUUGGAGGUUUGUUAUUAGCCUCUUCCUUUUCAAGUUUACCUAGAUAACAUCUAGGUUGGUUCUAUUUCUAUCAAACUUGAAGCAGGACUUGUCGCACCUUCACGGCGGAGCGCGGCGUCGCGGCGAUCCUCGAUUGAUUUCAGGGUCUUUGUUGUUUUGUGUAAAGGAGUCACCACCUUCGGUCACUAAGAAUCCUAACUGGUCUUUCAGAGAUUCUAAGGCAAUGGACUAGUUGCGUAAAGAGAAGGUAUUAGCACCCCUAGCACGCCCUACCUAGGGUAAGCUGCUUGGUGUUUGGUUUGCUUUAUAAUUGCUAUGGUGUUGGUGUUUUCUAAUCCCAUCAGUUUUCCUAGGUUUGAUUCAAACUAAAUUUAUUAAGAUAGAAAUCCAAGGAGAUUCCAUGUGCUUUAAAAGCUUAUUUUUCCCUUAGCNNNNNNNNNNNNNNNNNNNNNNNNNNNNNNNNNNNNNNNNNNNNNNNNNNNNNNNNNNNNNNNNNNNNNNNNNNNNNNNNNNNNNNNNNNNNNNNNNNNNUAUGUCUUGUACAACCGUAAAACUUAUACCUGCAAAUCCUGCUUGUUUUGAAUGCCAAAGAUAACGUACCAGCCAAUAGGCAAAGCUUCUGCCUUCUCGCCUCUGGUAACCAACAGAAAGACUCCUUCUCUUUCCUUUCUUCUCUCCUCUGGUAACCAAUAGAAAGACUCCUUCUCUUUCCUUUCUUCUCUCUCUAUUUUGGUCUUCUCUAUUUCUCCCGUUUCUCUUCUUUCGUUUCUCUCUCUCUCUUUUUUCUCUGCCUCUGCUCUCUCUUUUCUUUCUUUCUUUUUGUUUCUUUCCCCGUUUCAGUCAAGGUCUUCCAGUAACCCCGGAUGAAAGAAAGCCCCCUCUUUUGCUUCUCCUCUCUAUUUUUGGUCUCUCUCUCCCUCCCCUUUUCUCCUCUUUUUGUUUCGUCCGCUCCCUCUUUUUUUUUGUAACUUCGUUCCUGUGAAGACUUUCACAGUUGAAAAGAUAACCCCUGCUCUCUGCGUUUUUCCCUUCUCUCUCUUACUGCUUGCCUCUCUUGUGUUUUUUUGUCUUUCUUUUCUCGUUUUUUCUCCCUUCUCUCCUUUCUUUUUCUGCCUGGCUUUCCUUCUUUUUUUUCCGUCCCCUCCCUAUGUCGUUAGAGGGGCUUAUAACCUAAAACUCAGCUCUAUUUAGGAAACAAAUAUUACAUUAACUCUAGGGUGUAAUCUCGGGUGAGCAGAAAUAGGAAACCAAAAUAUUUUGAUUCUGAUUUUGUGAUCAUAUCUGAUUUCUUUCCAGUUUUUUUUUAGAGGAUGAUGUGGCUCUUUUCUUUCCUUCCAUAGCCGGGACCAUGAAGCCAGCUGCUCCCUUUGAAAUGAGGUAAUAAAAACGUGGUUGCAGCUUCAAAAAUCAGGCGUGAUGAUAAAGGAAAACAUCAGGAAUUUGUAGAGAAAAAAGGAAAGAACUCAGCUAGGAAGGUUCGUGCAGGAAAGAAAUCAGAUGGGGGAGGGGUUGUUCUCAAAAUGACAAUCAUAAAAAUGAGAGCAAAACGUCAUCAGCUCUCCGAUUUUCCUUUUCUGAUGAGAGCAAAACGUGAUCAACUCUCCUAUUUUCCUUUUCUGAUCGAAUCUCUGUUCUUCAAUUUCUUCACCCGGCAAAAUUUCUUUCUAAUUUUAUCUUCAAUCAACUUCCUUAUUUUAGCACCUUUUCCAUUUGGUCCUUGGUCCACAAAAAAGAUUCAAAUUGGCCUGCAAUUGGUCUUCAAACUUUAAGCAUCUUGUAAUUGUGUCCCUACAAACUUGGGCAAAAAUCCUUCUUGCGGUAGGAAUCCCUGCUUUUACACUAGAUAUUCAAACGAGAAUAUCUUGAGCUUCUGAUAUCGAAAUCAAGCGAUUCAAAAGCUCAAAUUCAUCUACGUGUCUCAAACUAUAACUUUGAUGAAGGAUUGGAAGUGAGAUAAAUUCGUUUUGAAUAGUAGAAUUGCAACCAAACUUGUCUGGAAACCUUCUCGUGGCAGGAUUCUAUGUUUUCACGCUAAAUUUAAAACAUGAAUAUCUUAAGCUUCUGAUAUCGAAAUCAAGUAAUUCAAAAGCCCAAAUUCAUCUACGUGUCCCAGACUACAACUUUAAUGAAGGAUUUGAAGUGAGAUAAAAUCGUUUUAGAUAACAGAAUCCGGCAGGAAUCUGGUUGGUAAAAAAAGUUUUCUUGAUCUAACAAUGCCGAGCAUCCAAAUCUGACUGAGAGUCUGCCCUAAGAACAGUGAUCCCUAGGACCCAAUAAAGGUGUAGGUCAAUUUUUCAACAUGUCAUAAGUGACAGAAUAUAGCUAGGAUGGUUAGAUAUCGUACGAAACCAAGUCAAAAUCAGAGCCUAAGUUGGAACAAAAAAUUUGCGACAGGAGCAGAACCAGUUUUUUUUAGUGCAAAUUCUGAGGGAUUUAUCCAAUCUUAAAUACCAGAUAAAGAAGGAAUGAAUUUAGCAUUAUGAAGACUCCUGAUUAAUGUAAGAAAACAUGAUGAUUUUGGUAGCAAAGGGGAAGGAUAAAGAGAGCAGAAAACAGCUCAAACAGGGUUUUAAAAAAAAAAUUUAUUUCUCUGCUUUUGUCAAUCUUCCAGCAAACAUAAGUUAAACUCCUACACUUAGUUCAAAAGAGGUAUACACCGUCUCCAGCACGUGGGGUCCAAAAAUGAGUAACAACAGGACUAAAUAAGAUUUUCUUUGAUAAUGUCAAAACCAAUUCUUGAAAAUUACAAGAAAAGGAAAAGAUUGAAAAAACUCUAUAAUUUCAAAACAUUUUGAAUCUGGAUUGCAUUAUUAGUCCUAUUAGUUUAUUUUGGAUAACAUUCGAGUGUUUCUUUAAAAAUGUGAAGAACCUAAAGAUUAUGAAGUAUAGGGAAUGUCUAUUUGGUGUACUUUGCUUGUUAUUGAAAGUAAAAACUUUGUUGUUCCGCUUUACCCAUUGAAGAUGUUAACAAGUCAGUUAGAUCAUUUUGUGAUUAAUACAAAUGCAAUUGUAAAGUCUGAUUCUUUUUUUUUUAAUUGUUCGUGUGAUUUCUUAAAUUGAAUUUUUGUUAUAACAUGGGUAGAUUCCUUGAAACUCUAAAAAUUUGAUAGUUUUUGAAAAAUAUAAUAUAAGGUUGUUUAUAUACAAGAAAAAUGUAUUAAUUAAUAAAAUUCUAAUUAAAUUAAAAAAUCUAAUCUAAAUAGAAAAAAAAAUAAUCUAAAACAACAAGGUAAAUAAAGAAAAUCACGAGUGGUAGCUUCUAAGCUGACUUUAGGCAUGUUAUCGAACUUGGAUGAACCUGUUUUCUAAAUAUCCAUAGGGAACAAGGCUUUUAGAAUGUUCUAAUAUAAUUUUAGUUUGAUUUAAUGGCCAGAUCAAAAUUUAUAACUUGUUUAUGUCAAAAUUCAUUUGCUAUGUCUAUAUUUCUUCUUGAAUAAAGGUUUUUGUUACGUGCCCUGAGUUAUGUUGUUUAUGGGCCAAGUUUGGUUUUAUUAUUGAUUUUUGUAAUGGGAUUUUGUGGUUUUUUGGGUUUGAAAUUUGGGCGUGCCAAAGAAAAAAUUUCCUUGUUUAUGAUUUUGGUUCAUUAUCAAUAUAUGAUUUAGGUUGGAGUCACAAUAAAGUGUUAUUACAUCCUCUUUCUUUUCACCAAUAUCUUUCAUGAUUCUCCUCAACCAAAUCACUUGAAUAGUUAUCAUUGUUGUUGAAACAUAUUCAACUUUAGUUAUAGAUUAAGCCACCAGUUGUUGCUUCUUUGAGAACCAUAAAUACACUUGAACCCAUUGAAAAAAAUAUAUUUUGAAGUGCCCAUCAUAUUAUCUACACAACCCGCCCAAUCAUUGUCAGAAAACCCAAUCAACUUCACUUUAUAGUUUUUGCUAUACUUGAUAGAUACAAUGACCAAAUGCUUUUUGAACAUACCUUAACACCUGUUUUACUACUCUAAAAUAAAUACAUCUAGGAUUACUCAUGAAUCUAGCCAACAUGCUUGCUGCAAACAUAAUGUCAGACAUUCUUGCAAUGAGAUACAAAAAGUUUCCAAUAAAACUUCUAUACAAAGUUGCAUUCACUUUCUUUUCUCUAUCAUCCUGAUUUAAUUUCUCAUUCAUAAUAGAAAGAUAUUUCAACUAAAUUGCAGCCAUAUAUUUUGAACAUCUUCAGCAUCUUUUCAACAUAUUUCUUUUAACAAAUAAAGAUUCUUUCAUCUCCUUGAUAAAUAUCCAUGGUAAAUAAAUGAUUAAGCAAUCUUAAGUCACUCAUUUCACAAUUCUUCAUCUCUUUCUUCUUAAACCCUUCAAUUAUUUUUUUCAUUGUUUUUGGUAAAUAUCAAAUCAUCAACAUACAAAAUAACAAUAAGGACACCACUCGCACCUUGCCUUUUUUACAUUCAAGGUAGGCUCACUUUUACUUUUUAAGAAGCUGUUUUCAUCAAAAUAACCAUAAAUUUGAUUGUACCAAGCUUUAAGAGCUUGUUUCAACCUAUAAAGUGCUUUUUUCAAUCUAUACAUUUUUUUUUACCUUUAAUCACAUUAUUGAGGAUGUUUAACAUAAACCUCUUCUUUCAAUUUUACCAUUCAAGAAAGCUCAUUUCACAUUAAGUUGGUAUAAUAACCAACCAUUUGAGCUACUAUUGUAAUAAGUGCUCUAAUGGUAUCCAGCUGACCUAUUAGAGUAAAAGUCUCAUCAUAAUCAACACUCUGCUGCUAUGAAUAACUCUUUACAACAAGCCUUGCUUUGUUUCUUGCCAUCAACAUCAUGUUUCAACUUGUAAAUCCACUUCAAGCCAUUCACUUCUUUGUUUUUUUUGUUUGUGAACAAGUUGUCAUGUCUUGUUCUUCUCAAUAACAUCAGUUUUUUCUUGCACAACAUUUCUUUAAUUUUUAUUCUUAAUAGUUUCUUCAAAGUUUUCAGGUUUCAUAAUGCAAAUUUUACACCUUGCAUACAUAUCACUCAAGUUUUUUUUAUCUUUUUUUGAACUGAGCUUGAUAAAGAUGAACUUGAUCUUGAUAGAGAUUGUAGUGGUGCCCCUUUUUUUCCCACCACCACAACCACCACCAUCAUCAUCAUGAGGAAAUUUUUCUUGUGAAACAACCGUAAUAACUAAUUCUUUCUCAAUCUUGCCUUGCUCCCAAUUCCAAAUAGCAUCUUUAUAAAAAAUCAUAUUCAACUAACAAUCACUUUGUUUGUCUUCAAGUUGUAUAACUUAUAGCCUUUAGAUAUUGAGCUAUAGCCAAUAACUAUACAUUUUUCACUUGUCUCAUCUAGCUUGUGUCUCUUCUUCUUCGGUAUUUGAGCAUAACAAACACUACCAAAUACCUUUAAGUGCUUUACGAAUGACUAUCUUUUAAUCCAAGUUUCAAAUGAUAUGCUACCCUAAACAAUCUUUGUAGGACACCUAUUAAUCAAAUAAAUAGAUGUAUACACUGCUUCAACCCAAAAACUAUUAGGGAGUUUCUUCAAAUAUAACAUACAUUUCGUCAUCUCUAUCAUGGUUUAAUUCUUCCUUUCCAAAACUUUAUUUUUAGGGUGUGUAGCCAAUAGUGAGCUACCUUUCAAUACCUUUAUCUUCACAAAACUUAAAAAACAAUCUUCAAGUGUACUCUUUUUAAGAAUGAGAUUGAGUGUACUGAAUAAACAACACAAAACACCUAUUUUGAGAAUGAGAUGGGUGGACAUCAAACCACAAAUAUUAAUGUGAAUCAACUUAAGUACAUUCUUGGCUCUUUAUGCUACUAGUGAUUUAAGGCUAACAAAAUUCAAGUGAUUGAGUCUCCUAUGCCAUAACCUUGAAUCACCAGUCACAUCCAUCUUCAAAGCUACAUGUUUUCCACACUUUAAGUCAAGUAGAAACACUUAUUCAACAUCUUCACCCUUGCCAUAACUUGCCUUCUCAGAGUUUUAUAAUAAAUAAUGCAAUAUUAGCUUUCAACAUGUAAUGAAUAUCUAUGCUCUAUAAGUUGUCCAACACUCAACAAAUUUCGGUCAACUUGUGGCACAUGCAUUACCUCACAAAUCACCUUUUUUCCCUUCUUAGUUUAAACUCCAAUGGUACCUAAACCACUUGCACUUAUAAAUUCUCCAUUCUGAAUCAUCACUUUAUUUUGUCUCUUUAUAUCAAUAUCAUUGAACAUGUCUUUGUUUUGUGUCAUGUGAUUGCUACAAGCACUAUCAAUAAGCCAUUGUCUAUUCUUGUCUUUCAUGCUACUUUGACUAGCAUAAAACAUGCUUUCAUUACCUUCCUUAUCUUUGGUAACAUUUGCUUGUUGAUCAUUCCUCACACCAUAAUCUUUAGUUAAGUGACCAAACCCCUUACAAUUGAAACAUUGUGUCUCCUUUUUAUACCAAUAAUUUCUAGACUCAUGGCCUAAUUUAUUACAAGAGUAACACUUUUUAGAAUCACCAUAUCCUUUGCCCAAAUUCAUUCUUCCCCUUCCCCAUUGAUUUCUACCAAUUCCUCUAUUUCUACCCCUACUAUAUCCUCCACCUCUAAAUGAUUCAAAACCUAUUUUCACAUCACUUGUAGAUCCCUUCUCUUGGAUUUGUUUACCAAGAGUGUGGUUUGAUUGAAAAGCACUCUCCAUUUACUUUUCACUUCUCUUUAUUAAUAUCUUCUCAUAAGACUUUAAAGAACCCAUCAACUCAUGAACACUCAAACUAGACAAGUCUGUAGUUUUUUAUUUGAUCGCCAUAAUAAGAUCAAACUUCUUCAAUAGGCUAAUUAACAUUUUUUCUAUAACUUCUUUUUUAUCACUAAUCUCCUCACCAUAACUUUUCAUUUGAUUCAUAACCUUAAUAAUCCUAUUAGUAAACUCAUCAACAACUUUAUUUUUCUCCAUUUUCAUUUCUUUAACUGUCUUCACUUUGUAAGUUAACAGCUCUUACCUUCACAUCACCUUCAUAUUCACUUUGCAAAGUCUUCCAUGUUUGCUUUGCUUUUGUGGCUCUCAUGAUCCCUGAGAAAAUAGGAUCAUCAACUCCUCUUAGAAUAAACCCAAGAGCUGCAACAUCUCUACUCCUUUUUUUUUUAAAUCUUUGAGUUGUGCUACCGAAAGAUUGUCAAUAUUUUUGGGUUUUUUAUAUGCUACCUCCACCAUUUCCUACAAGUCAAGAGAGAUAGUAAAAUCUUUAUCUUUAUGCUCUAAAACUCAUAGUUGUCUCCUUUGAAUAUUGAAGGUUAGACUUAACUCUAACUUGAGCUAUCUUUUUAGAACAUAUUUUUCUUUCUUUGAACUUGAACAAAACUUCUCUUUAACCUCUGUUACCAAUCUAAUGGGUUGUAGUUUGGCUGGUUUCUACUCCUAAUAAUAAUUACAAAACACAAAUUGAAUAUAUCACACAAAUAUUGUGUAAUUUUAUUUUACAAAACUCACACAUGAAAAGUAUUAUAAUGAAAUACAAUGAAAGAGACUUCUCACACUCUACAGCUGCUAUUUUUUGUUUUUAUUUUUUAUUUGUUUUCAGCCUUUUGGGCUUCUGAUUUUACAAUGCAUUCUGCGACAUCUGUACAUUUAUCAGUUAACUUUAAGCUAACUAUAAUAAACUAACUUUACAACAUAUUUACAACAUAUUAACAUUAAUAUAAACUCUACAAGAAAGCGCUUCCUGGUGAGAUUCUUGUGCUUCCAUUGCAUGCUCCGGUGCUGGAACCAAAGCAAGAAGUAGAAAGUGCAUUGCGGGACACUUACAGCAUGCUGGAGAGAUUCAUAAUUCUGAUUGAGAUAAAACAUAUGGAAGAUCUAGGAGAUAAGGACUUGUUGGGUAAAUUUGUCGAAUCUGGUGAAGAGAUUUCAAUGAAAGGGUAUGGCAUGGAUAUAAAUUCUCAGCUGAGGCACGAACGUGGGCUGGAUAACUGGAAGGUAAAAUGUGAAUGGGGGGCUUGUGACGAUGAUGGGAGAGAAUGGUGGAAUGCGACAUUUGUGAGGCGUGGCAACACACAUGCUGCAAUGGCAUUGAUGAUACCGAUACAGUACCGCAAUUGUUUGUCUGUUCUGGAAGCUGUGAUUCUCUACUGCCAGGAAAAGCUAAAACUCAGCAUCAAUUUGAGAGUUCUGCUGUUUUGUUAAUGAUUCCUGAAGCAAAUGGAUAUACAGCAGAAGCUGCAGUACUACACAGAUUAUAAUGGGAUCAUAAGAUUAGUUUUGGAUUAUGUUUUCUUCCCAAUGUACAAAUCUGGUGCGUUAAAAACUGGGAAGACUCCAAACUGUCAAAUUUGAUGGUUUUAAUACCAAAGUACUGGCCUGGUGCUUUGAUUGGGUGCUUAACUAGAGCCCCAAAGUUUAUUCGAAAAAAAAAAAAUUCGGUGCGAAUUGAAUAUUCAAAAAAUUAAUGCAAUUAUUAACGACACAAGAAAAAAAAAACAAAUAUUAGUAAUAUAAAAUUUUGUUGAAUGGGAUCUCAAAAUUUUAUUAUUAAUUUUUCUAAGUGGUCGGUCUCUCUAAGAAUAUUACAACUGUUACGUAAAUAUAAAACAUACCUAAAUAAACUUAAAAAAAGAAGAAUAGCAUUAAAUUUAUAACUGGCCAAUCUUCCUACAUAACUAGGUCUUUAAAAACUCUCGGCAAAAGUUGACCCCAAUAUAAUAUUCAGAUUAAAAAUUACAGGCCUUUGUGUCAGAGGUUGAUCUCCUUGCACGAUCUAGACCUCUUUUCAGACCUCGCAGUUUCCUAUCCGUUCAUAAACAUCCUUGAUGCUAUCCAUGUAGUUCAGUUGUGGCAACUGAUAGAAACACCUGCAUCAAUUCUCAAUACUAUUUGUAUUCCAGAGGAAUCGCAUUGGGGCAUUGUGAAUAGUAUUUGUCCCCCUGGCAGCGAAAACUAUAUUACAAAGUGGAAAGUAAAUACUUGUACAAGAUAGAAGAAUGAACUCGAGGAAUUUAGACAAGUUUUUUCUAUAAGAUACAGAAAAUUUAACUGCUUUGAGAAAUGAACAUGGAAAUAAUUCUUUCUACAGAAGGAUAAAGGCAUACAGCAACACCACUUUAAAGAAAUUGAGUUCACAAGCUCUACAUUUCAAUGGAAAAUAGAACCAAGAAGUGAAGAACAAAGUGUUGCUAAGACAGUUCAGGUUGUUUUCAAUUCUGAAUUCUCUCCCUUCUAUUUGAUAAAACUUAGUAUUUAAGCUUGGAACAGCCCUACAAGCAUAGGAAAAUAAUAAAGCAUGAAAUUCUACACGCACACACAUUGUCUGUACAUCUAGAUAAAGUUGGAUGGGCUGAAAAACUCCAUGCAACAGAUUUUAUACAAAACCUGACAGUGUAAUUUCCUACGAAAAUCACCCAGCAUUUGAGUCUAAAGUGAGGAUUUUGUUGAAGAAACUUGGCCAUUUAUUUAGUAAGCAAGCAUUCCUCGCAUGCGAUCAUGCAAGUUGUUGGCUGCCAUCAGGUCAGUUUAAGACCUGCUGAAUUUGAAUGUCUCUUGCAGAUUCUCUACUGGAAAAAUGAUUGGAGUUUUUCGAGUUCUCAUUUGGUUUAGUUGCAUCUUUUGUCUUAUUUUCAGCGCCUCCGUCAAAUACACCAUUUAUCAUCUUUGCUGAAGUUGUAACAUUUUCUAGGAAAGCUUUGAGAUUGUUGUGUGAAGAACCUCCGUCCUUCACAGCAUCCAAAGCCAAUCCACUCCACUUCUUAGCAUUGCUCCUUAUUUCCUGUCCUUUCUCCCCACUUCCAAUUACCACCUCUAGACAUCUCCUAAUCUCUUCUGCUUCCACAAUACCACCUUCAUUCACUCUUGCUCUAACCCCAUUCCCCCACACCUCUUCUAUCAUUUUUGCAUUUAUUGUCUGAUCAGCAAACUGUGGUAAUCCCACAACAGGAAUGCCAGCCACCAGGCUCUCCAUUGUUGAGUUCCAUCCGCAGUGCAUCAUAUAACACCCUAUUGAUUCAUGAGCAAGGACCUCCAUCUGUGAACACCAUGGAACUAUCAACCCCUUUUCUUUGUUCACUUUUUCCCUUACCAUCUCUUCAAAUUCUGUGUCUUUAUUAUCUGAAGAUCGGAUUAUCCACAAAAAUGGCCUGCAAGUACCAAUUAGACCAAGCAACAUCUCUUCCAUUUGAUUUUUUUGCAACACAGCAACACUUCCAAAUGAAAUGUAAAUAACUGACGUUUUUGGCUUUGAAUUCAACCAUUGAAUGUAUUCUGUAGAUUUUUCAAAUAAGUCACACCCACAGGAUGUGUCUGAUUGGUGGUUUUUGUCUAAAAGUGCAAAUGGAAUCAAUGGUCCUAUGGGGAUUGGACUUAUAUUACCAAUAGCUGCGAUUACUUCUUCUUCUAGGCAAUCAAAACUGUUGAGGAGCACCCAUGGGCUUGGUUCUUGUUCUAGGACUUGGAUAUGUUGUUGAAAAACAGGAUUUAGUGAUGAGUGCGGACCAUUUGGUAAUAGAAAAGAAGGGAUGUCUUCCGUUUCAAAUGGAGGCAACCCAGGUACUUGUAUUGAACUUGGAGGUUUAUUUUCACUGCUGUUGAAAAGAUCAUAUAUACCACCAUGUCGAUUAAAGAAAUGGUGACACAGAGCUAGUGAAGUAGCAGACUGAAUAUAGAGGAAAGCAGAGGGAAUUGACAUGUACCGUGCAACAUCAGCAGCCCAAGGGAGGAUGAGAGUGUAGAUUAGGAAGCUGACAGGAUGACGAUUCUUGGAGAAGGUCAUGAUGAGUUUAGUUAAAGUUUGGGAGCCAGCACGCUUGAGUUCUGACAGCAUGUCUUGUGAAUUGGUGGUAUGUUUGAUUCCAUCAUCAAAUCCAUCAGAGAAGGAGGCAAAGUAUAAGCCAUCAAGAGAUGGAAAUGUUUUUAUCUGAGUAAGGCCAUGUACUGUGGUGGCAAAAGUCACCCUUGCUGCACCAGCUUGUCUUAGGUUCUUGGCAAGUUGGAGCAUAGGAUUUAAGUGGCCUUGGAAAGGACAGGUUAUCAGAAGGAAGUGCUGGUUCUCCAUGACUGUGGUGGUUUUGCUUCUGAGAGGCUAGUUUGAUUUCUUUUAUCAAUGAUGAUUAUGUGCUUGUUUUUAUUGUAAGUUUGUACCCAAAUUCAAUAAUUAAUUUAGUGUUAAUGAUUUGCACAUAUAUGCCUUGUUGACUGUUAGUUCCAAUGCAACUUGGCUAUCAAUUGAAUCCAGGUUAUUUAUUGCCGUCUUUGCAACUUGGAUGCGCUUUGACAAUGAUGUGUUGCUUGGUAUGAGCUGAAAUAUCAGUGAACAAUGUGAUUGUUGGAAGGUAUAGUCCAGCCAGCCUCUAGUGCCCGGUGCUGAUAUCUUUGCUGAUGUGGUUUUUUAUAUAGGACGUUGAACUGUUCAAAGUCACAAUUUGGUUGAAUCAGCAACCCAUGUGAUUCAAGACAGCAAGGAUGCCCCUGUUCAUUGAAUGUUUGGUAAGGACUAACAUGUUUUUCUAUGUUUUGAUACCUGAACCUGACAACCACACAACAUGAUUCUUGUACACAAACAACAUGAAAUAGGUUUUGUACAUUUUGUAAGUGGAUGAUACUACAUGAAAUGCAGAACGCAGUUCUUUUUAAUGGAGGAUACAGCAUGGGAAUGACUAUGAGUUUCUUUUGUGGAUGACAUGUCUAUGCCUUCUUUUCAAAUUUCCGACUCAAACAGCUGUCAUAGGCGGUAUACAGAUUAUGGUAAACCAUAAGAACGGUUGUGACUUUUAGAUAUUCAGGGAGCAAACAAAUUGUUUGGUAUAAUUCGCAUUUCUAUUCAGAUUCGUAUUCAGCUGCAGAAUCCUGAUUCAGUUGACUAACCCUAUCCAACUUGAGCUUGGUUUAAGCACCUUGAACUUCAUAUGCCCAUAUGCUUCUUUUUUCGAUCACAGAGUUUCUUUUGUUGUGGUUUGCCCCAUUUUAGUAUUGCAACUCUUGGAUUGUCUUUUUCCCAGGACAAAACUUUGUGGUGCUGAUCACUGAACUACUUGUUUUCAGAAAAAUGAUUCUGAAAAACUUGAUUUCCUGUUGUUUGUUCUGGCUACAUAUUUUAACUCUUUUUUCCAGUCUUUGCAGUUAUAAGCUUCUGUGAAAUAGAUCCAGUGCGUAACAUUUAUACAAGUAAAUAUAGCCCAUAUCUCCCAUUAUUUUUGUUUCCUACAUAUUUUCUGUCAAUUGUACCAGUUUAUUCCUUAGUUAGAAUGCUAUUAAUCAAUAGGCAUAAUUCAUUCUUGAAGCCCUAACAGCUUUUUUCUUGUAUACAUGUAUGAUCACUGCAGUUGUAAUUUAUAAUGAUAUAUGUACUGCGCACACCAGGAAUAUGUGCAGGCAGCAAAGAACAUUAUCUUUGGGAACACUCCCUUAAAUUUCAAUUUGUUUUUUUUUUGCUAAUUUUUUUUUUGUGUUUUUAAAUUGUUUUGAUGUGCUGAUCUUAAAAAUAAUUUUUAAAAAAUAAAAAAAAUAUUAUUUUGAUGCAUUUCUAAGCAAAAAACACUUUAAGCUGCAACCACUACCACAACCCCAAACAGGCCCUCAUGUAAUGCAUUUACUGUUUCAAAAUGGAGAACAGUUAUACUGUCUCAUGCUGCUACUUUUAUAUGGUUAGAUUUGAAGAGCCUGUAAAAUACCUUGUGAUGGAUCUAUGUGUUUUAUAUACGUUAUUUUUGCUUGAAUCCAUAUUUAAAAAGGGUGAAAGGCAAGGUAAUAACCUAAUAUUUUUUAACUCAGCUAUGCGAUGAACCCAAUUAUAUGUGCUUGCCAGACCCAACAUUCUUGUGCUCGGCAUCACGCCAAGCCUAAAAGGAUGUAGAACUAACGAUCUUUCUAGACCCUCAUAUUGGGCCACAAGAUUUUGUUUAUUCUUUUAAUUUUUAACAUAAAAUUUUAAGGUCAAAGAUACCCAUCUCUUAACACCCCUAGAUAUAUGAAAGUCUUUUAAGAACUUACCGUUAUUCCAUCAAUAUUAUUAAUGAUAUAUAAGAGAUAUUUAUUCCUCAUUAAUGAUGUGUAAGAAAUAUUUAUCUCUUAUUAAUAAUGUGUAAGAGAUAUUUAUCCCUCAUUAAUACUAUCAUAUAAGGAAUAUCUAUCCCUCGUUAAUUAUGUGUAAAGAUAUUUAUCUCUUAUUAAUACUAUUAGAAGGAAAUUACUUUCCAGCUCCUUCUCUCCGUAAAAAGACAUGACUUAUAGGCUAUAAAUACCCCAUAAAUUCUUCGAUAUGCGGGUUCAUAUUUGAUACAUUCUAGACAUUAUAUACAUUUCAUUCAUUCUCAAUAUUUUUUUAGUACACAUCUUUUUAGAGACUAUCUCUCUAAAAUAUCAUUGUACUAUUUUUUUUCCUAAAAAAGAUAAUUACUUAAACAUCUGAGAGUCCCCGAAUCUAAAAUAAAAGACCUUUUACAAGUACUAACUACCAACCGCCAGAUACAAGCUACCAGCCAGCUUGGUUAGGGAGAAUGGAUCAGAUUGUAGAAUCCCAAGAUUAACCGAUUAUCUAACACAUAAGCUUUGCUCCUGAGCAUAUUGGAUUUUCAAAUAUCAUCAAUUGGCGUCGUUCAUGGGAAAAGAUAAAAAAAGCCAUCAAAUGUUCUUCUAGAAUAGGUUUUUGACAUCCCUCAUAAACUAUCAAUGAUAGACGAUCAUGAUACAUCUGAGAUAAAAUGUAUCACAGACCUCUCUACAACUGCUAGCAUAACUAUGAUAUCAGAGCAUCAUCGACUUUUCAAUUAGGUUUGACUCCUCAUUGAGCACCAAUUUAUCAGCCAAGAGAAGCUUUGUAGGGCUAUGACAUCAGUCAACUAUAAGAAUGAUAUUCAUUCUUAUGAUCUCGUUAAUGGUACCAAUAAAAUUGCUUUAGCAGGAAAGACUAUUUUAAUGAUAAGAAUGUUCCAAAAUAAACUUGGAAUGCCUAAUAUGCUUUGAAUACCAGAUGCAUACUAUUUGUAAAAGAAUCAGAAGGCUAAACAAUAUUUUUGUUGCUCUAAAGUCAGAACAUGAUUUCCUCUCUUUACCCAGGGAUUUGGUGAGGCAAACAAAUCUAGGUUACACUUUUUUUCAACAUUCACGAAUGUCAUCAAAACCUUGAAAGAUUAAAAGCUUUUAGCAAGUAUAAAUAGAGUGUUGGUUGAAACCGUAAAACAUGUGAAGUCUAUUUGGCAACUAUUUAAGAAAAAAUGAGUCAACUACCCUAAAGACAUCUACUAGAAAAACUCUAUUAUCUCAUCACCAAAAGAACUAAGACCAUGAUCUUAGCAUAAAUCGGAAACCCAGGUCAUUAAGUAGGUUAUACCUCAGAGGGCAAUAAAAAUGUAUAAUAGUCAAUGACUAAGAAUGUAAGUUUUUUUAUGUGGAUAAUUUAUUCAGAAUGACAAUGUUCUUCAUUUCCUCUAGGUUAUGCCUAAGAGUGUCUUAUCAACUCUCUACGGAUAAGAUUAACUCGGUUUCUCUAGUGUCAUUGCACAACUUACCUUGGAAAGGAUCAACACAGUCUCUCCAAUGCAAUUAUACAACUCAUCAAAGAUGAGAUUGACUUGGUCUCUCUAAUGUUAUUGCAUAACUUACCUUGGUAGAGAUCAACACGGUUUUCCUAGUGUUAUUGCACAACUCACAAAGGAUGAGAUUGAGUUGAUCUCCUUAGUGCUAUUGUAUAACUUACCUUAGAAGGGAACAACACAGUCUCUCUAAUGCGAUUGCAUAACUCACUAAGCAUGAGAUUGACUCGGUUUCCCUAAUGUGAUUGUACAACUUACCUUGGCAAGGAUUAACACGAUUUCCCCAUAUCCCUAAAGCAAUAGCCCUAACUUAUCAAGGAUAAGAUUGAUCUAGUCUUUUUAGUGCGAUUACACAAUUCACUUUACCAAUGAUUGAUAUGAUAUACUUAAGGCAAUGCCCCAAAUUCUCCAAAGAAUUUGACUUUGUUUCCUUAGUACAACAUCAUCAAUCUUCAUAUAAUGCCCAGGGCCAUUUUGCUAACUCACUAGGGAUUCAUUCAACCAAAUAAGGAUAUACUUGUAACCUAGAUUUUCCUCUUGGUUCCAGAUAGGGAGCGAAUCCUCUAAAUCCUAUUAAGGUUAGGAAAAGUUCAAAGUUUAAUUCAAGUUCAAAGAAUAAUUCUUGCUAAAAUUUAAAAUAUUUUACUAAGUAUAGGUGUUGGAUCUUUACAAACAUUUGAAAAUUUUUCUAAGUAGAGGGAUUGAAUCAUCCAUAGGGGUCUGAUACAACCUUUUUCUCCCUUAAGGUCCCUAGUAGUGGUGAGAGAAGAACUUCUCUAACGGGGAGAAUUAUUUCCCCUCCUGCCAGAGGUAUACAAUGAGAUUCACCCUUAAUUCUAAGGCAUAGUCUGAUGGAUCUUUGUCCCUUGUUACUUCCUCUAAAUUCAGGUUAGAACCUGAACUCCUUACUAAAGGUGAUAACAAUAUCCCUAUUCAUAGGGUCAAAUUUGACUCUUUUUUUUGUCCAUUUUGUUGUUCAAAGAGAAGAAGAAAUAAGAUUUUUGUGGGAAAUACCUAGAAAAAUAUUUUCUUCUCAGAUUAGGGCAAGAUUGGCUCGAGGAUUUUUCAACAAAACUAUUUUUUCUGAAGUUAUAGAGAGUAAAAGUAAAAGAAAAGAUGGAAGCAAGAAUGACUACAGAAAACAAUGUUUCACCUCAACGUUGGAUGGAUUACUUUUCAUGCCAUCUCGGAUCUUCAGAAAUCUACCCAAAUAUUAUUUUGAAUGCACAUCAUUGUUUUGUCUUUCAAAGGAUACCUCUUUUUAAAUAAGGACAAGCCAACUGACUAUAAUGAAUCCCAACAGUUCUAUAAGGGAUAAAUAAACCGCAUAGGAAAGGUAAAAAGUCUCUCUUUAAUGGGACAAUCAACUCUUAGGUAAAAAGACUUAUUAAAAUUGAUAACCUUUUAAAUCUUUUGGUAUUUAAUACACAAAGAUUUGGGGGGGCUACUGAUGGAUUAACUUAUUUUAUAUAUGUUAUUUUUAUCUAAAUCUGUGUUUAAAAAGGAUCAAAGGCAAGGUGAUAACCUAAUAUCCUUGGGUUUAGCGCACAUGUGGGUCUCGCAAGCUGUCAUACCUAACAUCCUUGGAUUUAGUUAUGUGCUAAGCCCAAUAACAUGUGGGUUUAGGGAGCUAUGAGACCCAACAUCCCUGGACUUGGUAUCAUGCCAAGCCUAAAAGGAUGCAGAACUAACGAUCUUUCUAGCCAUAUUUGGUCACAAGACUUCGUUUGUUUUUUCUUGUAACCCUUAACAUAAAAUGUUAAGGUCAAUGAUACUCAUCUCUCAACAUCCUUAGGUAUAUAAAAGUCUUCUAAAGACAUAUUAUUAUUCCAUCGAUAUUAAUGAUAUGUAAGGGAUAUUUAUCCCUUAUUAAUAAUGUGUAAGGGGUAUUUAUCUUUCAUUAAUAAUGUGUAAAUGAUAUUUAUCCAUCAUUAAUACUAUCAGAUGUAAAUUACUUUCUAGAUCUUUCUCUCCAUAAAAAAACAGAACUCAUAGAUUAUAAAUACCCAUAAAUCCUUCGAGCUAGAGGUUCAGAUUCGAUACAUUCUAGACAUUAUAUACAUUCCAUUCAUUCUUAACAUUUUUUAGUACAUAUCUUUUCAAAGACCAUCUCUCUAAAAUAUCAUUGCACAUUUUCCCCUCUAAAAUAAUACUUACUUAAGCAUCUAAGAGUCUUUAAAUCUAUAAAAAGUUAUCUUUUGUAGGUAACCGUUACCUUGGUCUAACAAUGCUAAGUACAAGCUGUCAGCCACCUUGGUUGAGAUGAAUAGGUCAGAUUGCUAUAAGCCAAAGAUUAAACAAGUAUCCAACACAUAAGUCUUACUCCUAAACAUAUUGGAUUUUGAAACAUCAUUACCACCACCACUGCCACUAAAUGACCUAAUUCUAUUAAUUAUGAGAUGUUAGCAGUUUUUUUUUAAAUCCUUUCCCUGUAAAUAUUGCAUACUACUUCUAAAAUGGUAAUUUAGUUAAGUGUUAAUGACUUGUAUAAUGCAACCUAUGGACUACCUCAGGAAGCAGACGUAUAUAUAUGAUAGUUUCAUGUUGCUACUGCAUCAUUAAUGUGUUAUUAUAUGUCUCGUUGUCAUUGUUGUUAUGCUAAGUUUCUGCAUACCAUAUUGCAAGGAUGUCAUGAGGCAAUUCUGCAUAAUGUUUUGGAUUUCAACAUUUGAUGGCAUUAAACUAUCUUUACUGAUAAGAUAACAACCUGACAAAUGUCAGCAUUAACUGAAAGAUUUAGAAUCCAUAUCUUCCAUAAGCUGAAGUUGAUCAAGCAUUGCACUGCAUAGACAAGCUACAAGUUUAAUAACCAAAUUUACAUAUAUUAUUGGUUAUAAACUAGGUGUCGCAUCUCGGUGGACAUCGUGGCGAGGGCAAAAAAUGUAUAUCGUGGAAGAUUGGAGUUGCCACCUAGUAAUUAGAAAAAAUUAGGAAUUCUAAAAAUUAGAAUUGAUUCCAGAUAUUCAAAUGAGGGGUUAGUUAUGCCUAUAUAAAGAACGACAUCACUCUUACCACAUCCUUUCUUAUGAAAGUUUAUCUUUACCAUGUGUUUUUCUUCUAAAUUAGUUUUGUGAUUACUAUUAAUAAAGGUUACCUUUAUUCAAAGAAGAUGGGGAUUGCCCCUAGCAUUUGUUUGAUUUGUUUUAGAGUCCGACCAAAUUUUAGUAAUUUUGUCAUUUUACUUAUUCAAUGUUUUAUUUUUGUAUUUUACCUAAUUUUUACCUUUAUUUAAUUUUUUUAAUUUUUCAAGAUGUUUUGACACACAAUAAUUAAAUAAUAAUAAAAAAAUUAAAAUAGCUAAAAUGAUUGAAAAGACUUUUUUUUUUUCCUUUUGUUUUCAAAAUAUAUACAGGUAAAAAUUUGGGUUUCAACACUAGCAUGAGAUAAUUGCAAGAUUUAUUUAGUAAUCUUGACCUUUUCUGAUAUUUAUAACCUAAUUAAACUGACAGAGUUAGAUCAUUGAAUUUUACAGUAAUUUAAAAAUAGAACUAAUAAUUAUAGGAGACUGACAAACCCAUGUUAGGCUCUUAAAAAAAGGGAGCCCCGCAAGGUUUUCCUUUCCUCUUUUGCUUUGGUUUCUCAGGUUUUGAUUCUUUCUUCAUUUUUUUCAAGGUUUGAGCCUGGAGGGAAAGAAAGGGAGGAACCAAAUCACUUGACUUCCUUGCAAAUGCUGUAACCUGUAGGAGUCAAAUAUAGUGUUAAAGAAAUCACUAGAAGUUAGGUUAAAAAAAAAAGAGAAGGAAAAGUUAACAUGCUCCAUAUCAUAGUAGUAUUAGUGCCUUGCAAGAAAUAGAGCAGUAAUUAUAAAGUUCUGGCUCAGCCAACCUUCUCUUGCAUAUUUCACAAACUCCACUGUUCGAUAGUAGACCACAGUGAGGGCCGGAGUGGAUUCAGUGACAAAACCAAUCUCUUGUUGCACUUAUAUGGCUGAAAGUCAGGAAUAAUAUGUUACUUCUAAUAACAAAAUACACAAGUACUCGUCUCUGAGUGUAUUCUAAGUAUUGUUUGGUUAAUACAAGAGACAAGAAAACAUUUUCAUCUCGUACUUUAUAUUUUGUAAGGACAUGAAUUUAUUAUAAAAUUAUUUCAAAAAUAAAUUUAUUUUAUAUUCGCAAAGUUCAAUUUAUUUUAUAUUUUCAAUUCCGUCUUUAAUCAAACACAAUUCUAGAUAACAUGGCAUCAAUAAGACUUAUUAGAGGUCUCAAACUUGAGCUACCUUAUUGUAUAACUCGAGAUAUAUAUAUAUACAUACACACACAAAAGAUUAAGGUUUUGGAAAUUAAGAAGAUAGAGAUGUAAGUAGCUGAAUUUGAGUACAAUCAAUAUACUUCUCCAUUGCACCAAGGGAUACAACGUUCUUGUAGACAUUAAAUAUUAGUUUAGAUAUUGAUCCCAUCAAUCAUGGACAUUAUUAGAAAAACUCUUUUGAGAAAAAUAAUAAUUUUUUUAAUAAAAAAAUCCAUCUUAAAAUCCAAACUUUUGACUAUAUAAAAAAGACGAAUCUACAUUUUAUUAGCUAUAUUUUGCAAUUAAAGAUGGUUUCAGAAAGAGUUGACUCCCCUUCUUUUAGAAUAUCUAAUUCAAUUGCAUUCAAAUCUCAAGAGAUGGAGUACUUUAAUAAAUUUGAGGGUCAAAGUGUAAACCGAAUCUAAGAUCUAGCCACUUUUAUUUUUUUUCUGUCUCCUCUUUUCUUAUUCAAAUUUUAGUUUCUUCAGCACAGGUUUUCACCCCACUCUAGUAUGCUCCUGUACUUCGUGGUUGACCAUCAUGGCCAUCACCUAAAUUGAUAGAUAGCCCAAUUAACCAUAUAUAGGCCACCUUGAUAUCAUAAGUUUUAAAUUAAUUAAUUAAUUAAUUCCUUUUAGCUUCUUUCCUUUUCUUCUCUCUCCUUUUUAUUAAAGAAUUUUGCGUUGCUUUCACUUCAAUUUCUCCUUGCAUUUUAAUAUUUUCUUUUAGUGGUGAUCUCCAAACAUCAUGCAUGAUACUCAAAAAAAAAUAUUGUGAAAGACAAGCUUUUAGCAUAAUAUUACAAAAACUAAAAAUUAAACACAAGAGCAUCUAACCUACAAAUACAUUAUUAAUUGUAUUUUAAUGAAAGAUUGAUUAUAUAUGCAUACCUAAAUUUGUUUUUAGAAUACUUUUUUAAUUUUGAAUGAAUUUUUAUAUUUUCAAAAUAUAAAGCAAAUAAAAACAAAUGUUCUCUAUCCUCAUUGUCUAUCUUUUCUAUUCCAAAAUACUAACUAAAAACUAUUUUAAAUUAGAUUUAAUUAUAUUGAUUUUUUUUGUUAUUUAAUUCAGUCAUAAACCAAAUUCGUUUCAGCAUGCAAAUAGUAAAUAAAGAAGAAAAUGUAAGCAGCAAAACUAAGUGGAAGUGAUGUAACAUUUGUUUCUUGAUAAAUCAAGAUCAGUAAAGAGCAUAAAUUAAUUAUCAAAUUUUUGUUGAUAAAAAAAUACAAUAACCCCAAAAGUUUAACCAUAUUGAGACAAAUUAAAGAAAGCGACAAAUAUAAAAAGAAAAAUUAAGGAAAAUAAUAAAAAAAAAAUCUCUCAUUCUCAUUAUUCAUGAUUUGACAAUAUCUUUUUCCAAAAGAAAAUAAUUAAAAAGAGAGAGAGAAGAAAACUUCCUAUAGUAAAGCCUAAUAAAGAAAUUAAAUUACUAGCAAAUUAAAAUCACCAAGAAUUCUUCAAUGGCUUCUCCAGCAAAGCUGUGAGGUACAUUUCUCUAAGCUCUGCCCCACGAUCAAGCUUUUUGCCUACCACCCACUUUAACUUAAUGAAUCCAAUGGUCUCAAUUAGUGGCUUGUAAACAUCCAAAAAUUGAUCUUCCACACAGAAGAAAUGAUCGAGCCAAAACAGCCCACCAGGCCUAAGAACUCUAUAGAUAUCAAACAUCAAGAAAUGAAGCAAAGUUGUAGGAAUCCAGUUACUCAAUACAUGCAUUGAGUGUACAAUAUCCAAAGUGUUGUCAAAGAAUGGUAGCCUCUGUGAUAUGCUUAUAUACAAAGGCACAACACCUCUUGAAGCAAUGAAAUUAUUGAAUGGACCAUUCAAGUUCAUUGAAGUUGUUAUGAUUGUUAUGUUCCUUUCCUUCAUUCGUAUAGCAAAUGUAGCCACACCACCACCAAUGUCAAGCCCAAUUCGGAUUGUUCCAGGCUUCUUUGUUGCAAGAACUUCAUCAAUUGUGAAGUCAAGUGAUCCUUCAAUGACUUCUCUUGAAGCCCAACGAUUCUUUUCUCUACCUUGUAAAUCAAAGCAAUCCUUACAAUCAUCGAAACCCUUUUGAGUUUUCAUUCUGUUGAUGAGACAUGUGUAGUCCUUGCAGGUGUAAGCUGUCCAAACGACCGAAGAAUUGGGUGGUGUAGUCCAAAGACUAGUAGGAAGAGGGUAGGGGUCAACAUAGUCAGGCUGUGUCGCGGGGCGGCAACGGCGGCGAGGGAGAGGCUCACAGCCUUUGAGGAGGAGUUUCUGUGCGAGCAGUUCAUCGUCAGGACAGGAUCCAUUAACUUUGUAGGACAUAAAACGACUAAGUUCAUCAGGAAACCUAGUGCAGGCUUGGCCUACAGGAGGAUAAAAGGUGUCAGAAUCAAAAUUUGUGUUGAAACCAUAUGGGAGUGCUUGGCCUGAAGUGAAGGCAAGAAAUUCUGAUGGAAGGUCUAAUUGCGUGUCAGGAUUUUCUGUGGCAUCUGAGUCAGCAACACUGCUACUACUAAUUUGAGUUAAUGUGGAGAUGGAGGAGAUGGGGUGAAGAUAACAAAAGGAGGAAGAGUAGAAGGUGGAAGAUAGGAAUAAAGUGAGGAGAUUUGUGGACAAGAGUAGGACGAGGAAGAAGAGAUUAGUGGAGAGAGGUUUGGGUUUACGAGGGGAAUCCAUUUUGGUUUGCUUCUGCUGAAGAUCACUUUGUCUUGAAGCUAAUAGAAUAGCGGCUUGAUGAGGUUUAGAGUAGGGAGUGGGCAUGGUGUUUCUAUCUAUCUAUAUGUGCCUACAUCAUGAAAAAAAAUUUGACUAGACCUCCCUAACUAGUACACAAGUACCUGAACAAAUAAUCAAAUAACAUGGAUCUAGGGUAAGCUCAUUCAUGUAACCCAUCUGAAUGUUUCCCUGAAGUAACAAGUUAACAACACAUAAUAAUAAUAAACUAGUGGAGCAGGUGCUGGACAGCAUGCGAUGCUGUAUGAAGUCAAAUAUCAUAAAAUAGUUUGUUAUCUAGUUCUUGGAAAACUAAGAUAUGUGGAGUCCUAAUGAAGUCAUUCUACUUGUGAGUCCCAAGAAAUAGCACCAUUAAUGAGUUCUGUCCUCUUUCUUAGAUGGAAAUCUGGUGUUCUAAUUAUGUUUUGCAUCUUACUUUUGUUGUUAUAAGUUUAACAUGUGUGAAUCUCACAUGAUUGAUUCUAAGUGAAAUUCCUCAUGUAAAAUAAUUGUGAAUCUUUUUUUUUUUUACAAAAUAUUACACUCUUCACAUUCAACUUUACCGCAUCUAUUUCAGAGUUAAAAUUUAGAAUACUUCUUCGAAUGGGACUAAUCGGACAUGUAUAUGUAAAAUAUAAGCAGGCAAAUUUGAGACCAGGGCAUGGGAAAUAAAAAAAAAAACAAAAAAAAAACUAGAAAGGUGCCACUGAAUUCAACAAUCAGCGCUAGCUAGCCUAAUAUUGAAAUCCUUUUACUCGGAAUCAGCUGAUUUCUUAGAGGGAAUGCACAAACACAUCGGCAACAUUCACAUGCAUACCCGGAACUUGUGCAUCUGACCUAGAAAGCCAUAGAUCUUUCAAGUUUCUUUGCUUAAUAUUCAUUCAUUUACUGUAAUCAAUGCCCGUGUUUCCGUAGCACACACCAAAUAUUUUAGCACGAGUUGCAACGUUGACGGCAUCAUGGAUUAGCAACUUGACAACAUAUUUUUUACCACUUGGUCUUUCAACUCUUUCAUGAAUUUAAUGUUUAGAUGAAGACGUUUGAAUAACCCAGGAUUUCCACAAACACAUUAUUGUCUUCUUAAAAAAAAUUAUUUAACCAGGAUGAUAUUUUAAAAUCUAAUAUGUUAGAAAUAAAAUUUUUCAAGUGUUUGAAUAGUGAAUGAUUAAUUAAAUAUUCACAUCAAUAUUUUUUUUCUAGAGUUCACGAAAUGGAUAGUUGGUAAUAGAAAACCAAACACAUGCAAAAAAAUUCUUUUUUGUGAGAUUUAGGGAUCCUUUGAUAAUAAAGUUAAUAAAUUUUAUUAAAAAAUCACAAUAAAUUCUAAGAACAAGAGUGUUUGUUAUUAUUUAUGUAUGAUAAAUGCUUUAAGAAUAAAAAUAUGAAUACUUAGAGAAUAUAAAAAUAUGAACAUUUUACAUUGAUGGUUCAGGGGGUAUAUAUAACCCUUGAACCUUGUCAUGUCGCUUGAAUGGAGGGGUUGAAGUGUCAUUUUCUCCUGAUAGCAUUAAUAAGAGAUACAUAUCUCUUAUACAACAUUAAUGAGGGAUAGAUACUUCUUACACAAUAUUUAAGUUGAUGGAAAUAUAGUAGGCUCAUAGGAGACUUUUAUACAUCUAGGGGUGUAAAAAGAUAAUUAUUAUUGACUUUUAACAUUUUAUUGUUUAAGAGUCAUAAGAAUAAACAAACAAAAUCUCAAAACCCAAUAUGAGGCUUAUUAUGAUUGUCAGUUCCAUAAGCAUUUGAACUUAGAAUGACCCCAUCCCCAAAGGUGAUAGAUUUAACAACUUGUCAUAUCCAUAUAUACUUAGGCUCAGCAUACAAAUGAACCCAAGAUUAUUGGGUCUGACAUCUCGCCACACCCACAUGUAUUAGGGCUCAGCACACAACUAAAACCAAGAAUGUUUGGUUUGGCAGCUCACCAGACCCAUAUGUACUUGAGUUCAGCGUGCAACUAAACCCAAGGAUGUUGGGUUUGGCAUCUCACCAAACUCUCAUGUACUUGGGCUCAGCAAGUAGAUAAACUUAAGGAUGUUGAGUCUAGCAACUCAUCAGACCCACGUGUAUUUGAGCUUAACGCGUAGGUGAAUUCAAGGAUGUUUGGCCUAGAAGUAAGCCAAACUCAUGUCAUUUGGGCCUGACAACCUAAGUAUGUUGGGUUAUUAACAUGCUUUUGGGCUUUUUAAAUGCGGGCUAAAGCAAAAAUAACAUAUAUAAAAUGUAUUAAUCUACCAUAACCCCUUAAGUCUUUGUGUAUUAAAUAUGCAAAGAUUUGAAAGGUUAUCAAAUUUAAUGAAAGAUUUUUUAUCUUCUUUGUGAGAUUUGAUUGUCCUAAGUAGAACUAUUGAGAUUCUUGUGGCUAGAUGGCUCGUCUUUAUUAAAAGAGAUGGUCAGAUAGCUUAUCUUCGUUAAAAAUGGAGUUGAAGUGGAUUUUCGAUAUAAAAUGUUAUUAAUGAUGUAAUACCUCAUUACUCACCUAGUCAAAUGGAUGACUUCAUUUCUAUUGAGGGUAAUUUCUUUAUAAACAGGUAAUGCAUGAUUAAAGUUCUUCAAUUUUCCUUAUUGUUUAUGUGAUCAACCACAAGCUUUUCGUCACCCGUAUUUUGUUUUUCCAAACUUCAACCCAGACAUCCACAUAAAGAUCUACAUGAUUGGAGCUUGCUAACUUAGAUAGGAGAUUCAUCAAAGUUUAUAAGGUUAGUUUAUAAUACUAAUAGACUACAUAUAAUAUUUUAUUGUUGAAUUUCAACUAUCAUGACUCUCAAAUUUUAAUGUGGAUAAUUUAUUUUUUAUUCCAUUAGAAUAAUGGAUUUAGUUUUAAUAUAUAGAAAUUAAUGUGAGGAUACUUUUGAUAAUAAAACAUAAAAAAAAAAUGGUUAUAAAACUCGGCCCUAACCCGGCAGGUAGACCCUGGACUCGGCUACCGGUUCGAGCAGAUUUUUUUUAAGAAAUUCAACUUGGUCGAUCUGCUCAAAAUCAAAUUUGACUUUAAAAAAGUUUAAAACAAUAUCAAUUUUUUUUCUUAAAAAAAAUAAUCAACUUGGUUUACCUGUUUAACCCAUAACAUUAUUAUUUUCUAAUCAAUAACGGUACUAAUUACUCAUUAAUCACUUCCUGGACACUAUUAUUUUCUAGUAGAAAACUUUCUGUGGCUUUGCUAUUCUUUGGCUAUUGAUCAACCUUUUUCACCACUGAUGACUCAUGUAACUCUUAUUGUGUUCUGUUAUUCUUUUAGGAUACUUUUGCAUUUAUUUAGACAUCUUUAGGAUCUCAAAAGUCUUUUUGUUAAAAUAUUUUAUGCUUUGGUGCAUUUUGAUAAAAAAAAAUUAAAAAAAAAUUGAAGGCAUUGAAUGCAUCGUCAUCGUAUACAUCUUGCUUGGAAUUACAAGAGCAGAUAUUUUCUAUAUAUAGCUUUGCACUCAUGUCCAUCCUGCUAGUCAUCUCAUGCGUUUAGAUAAUCAUAGUCUUACUGAUUGAGAAUUGUUCAUUGUGAUGUCCAACUUUUAUGAAAAAUAAACAUCCCAAGUAGGUUUUAAAUUUGCAGUAUUCUCCCACCAAUAGGCUAAAAAUACUCGGUAUUCUGUAUUAUUUUGACAUUUUCUAUUGUAUUUUUCUGAUAUUACUUUUGAAAUAAGAUUUCAUCAUGUUUGAAUGUGUGCGCUUUAAUUUAGUAUUUCCAGGCAUAUGCUUGUGCUGUGCACCAAGACACUUGUUGCAUUCAGUGAUCUGAACAGCAGUGUAUUAUUACCAGUGGCUCAUACAUAUAUAGGAACAACAAACAAUAGAUUGAUGUUGAUAAAGUGGAAAGUUUAUAAGAUUUCCAAGGAGAUGGAGACAUCCCACUUAUUUUGCUGAGCCUUGCUUCAUCUAUGUCUAUGGUUUUGUGCGUGCAUCCUUUGCCAUUUGUGGUUUCUGCAAUUUUGGUUCCGACAAAAGGACUUAUCCUUCAAAAAAAAGAAUAUUUUCAUUUAAAUAUUUUCUCUUCUUUUUUGUAAAUAAACCAAGAAAAUAACUAUUAGGAUAUUAGUAGUUAUGAAUUAAGUAAAGGAGAGGGAAACCCAUCUCUUUCUUAAUUUCUCUUAUAAUAUUUGAGUUUAUUGUUUCGAAAAUGCUUUUUUUCUAAUCAAAACUUCGCAUUUCAUCUAUUUCUUCCUUUUUCUAUUUUUCAACUAAUAAAAUGAAUUGAAAUAGAACAUAGAACUCACGAAAAAAAAAAUCAGUUACAAAUGGAUUUUAAAAAAUACAAGGAUGCAAUAUAAAGUUUUUGAAACUAAGACUAAUUAAUUAGAUUAUUAAACUACAGGGACUAAGUUACAAUUCACUCUAUAACUAUGCCAUCGCCUUUGUCAGCACUACUGUAAGUAAAAAAAAAACCCUUAGCAAUGGCCACCGGCCUACCUGCUAUUCGACAAGGGCAUUUACAUAUUACAAGAACGAUCUCUACUCCACAAAAAAACAACGAGGAAUAAGAUUGGUACCUCAAGCCCUAACCUACUCCAGCCAGCCUGCCAAAUAUGACCAACAUGCUAGACAGCUAGAGAUCUUAAUCUAAGUUCAGAGGAAAAUAUUAGUUUGACUAAUAUAUAAACUACUACACAUAUUUCGUCAUGAUUUAGAUUAAAGAAAGAAAGAAAGAAAGAAAAUACCUACUAGGGUUUGAUUUUCAUAAAUCUGAGGUUUGCUUAUUUGAAUAUUUUGAUUAUCCUAUGAUAGAUAAUAGCAGAAUUAUUUUUUUAUGAUUUUAUUUGGUAAUGCUUGGUUUUUAUGUCGAAAUAAAAGAAAAGGAACUCUUUUGAAAUAACAAAAAUUCAUUUGCCUUUAAUUUAUAAUUUAUGUAUAUAUCUUCAUUUCUUUAUUUUUUAUUUAGAUGUUCUGUAAUAUAUAAUAAUAGCCUAAAAUACGAUUGAGAAAUGUGUCUUCGAUACGUUGUUAAGAUUGGAAGAUGGAGAAAAUUAGCAUGACUCCUGGACAUGAGAAGUUUACGUUCAUACGGUAAGAACGUACAAAUUAACACAAGAAUAGAGCAUAUAUAGCAUAAGUUGUAUCAAUAAAUCUCAAUGUUAUAAUUAUUGAAUUGAGUAUGUUCAAUUGAAUUUGUUGGUAAUCUUCUAUGAAUCUGUUUAAAGUUCUUUCCUAAACUAAUUGAGAAACACUGAAUCAGUAUGACCUUUUGACAUACUUGAAAUCUGCUGAAGAAUCAAAACAAUCUAACUUAACUCUACAAAGAUUCAACAAUUUUAGCAACUCUUUAAGCUUCUUCUUUGUGCUAUAACCACAGCCCACUUGCAAUAAGACCAACAACUUCUGGAAAGCACCCACUUGAAGUGCUUCAACUACAACACCUCCUUCUGCAUCAUCAUCGCCAUCCUCUGAUCUCUCUCCGUAAUUCUUGAAAAGCUUCCAGAGAAUGGAAACUGACAAUUCUGAUGCCAAAUCUGAUACAUUCAAGAUUUUCUUGAUCAAAACAGCUACAAUGAGAGCAUUCUCAUAGGCCUUUUCUCUCCCUUCUUUGCAAUCACAAAUAUGGUCCAAAACACCUAGUGCCUUCUCGCAUAUGCUUUUAUCUCCAUCAACUAGAAUCUCUAUGAUCAAUGAAACCAAACCCAUUUCCACAAAUGUUGGUAUCAUCUUCUCAUUGAGACUUGAUGGUGAAGUCAUGUAGAAAAUUGCCAUCAAUGAAGCUUUGGUGGCUGUUGGGCAAAUAGGCUCCUUGAUUAACUUAACCAAAGCUUCAACCACUCCUUCAAUCUUCACCAGGGCAUUUACAUGCCUUUGAUCUAGAGCAAGAAGAUUUUUAAGCACCAAAGCUGCAUUUUGCCUGGCUGAAAGAUCUCCCCUCUUCAAGAACCAUACCAAACAAUUCAAAGACACGAUGGAUCCAAGCCUACUUUGGCCGCCUUCACCAAGUGGAAACAUCCAUACCAAAGCUGAUAAAAUCUCUCCCAACAAAUCCUCAUCUUUCUCCAUUGCAACACUUGCAAAGGACUCGAAGCAAGCCGAUAAAACACAACCAGCCCCAUUCUCCACAACGCAUCUCUUGUUGCGCUCACUCUCUUUACCCCAAUUCUUGAUCUUCCUAACCAGCUCUUGACACUUCUUUUGCUCGCCUCGUUGAGUUGCAAAAUUAACCCUCCUACAAAUCUCCGAAACCUCGUACGAUGUCACAGGGACACGAGGCGUAGGAAUCCUUUCAAACCCAUAAGAACGAUUCUCAACACCCCAAUCUUGAAUCAUCUUGCGCAGGGAAUGAUUCGGAAUCUGAUCAAAGCUGGCUAACACCUGGUUUGUAACCGGACAUGUUAGGUUGCCAUCUUCGAUCCAUUUUUCGAUACUUUCUCUAUCGUAUGUGAUUCCUGUCGAUAAUGUGACCGGAUCUUUCAUCAAGUCAAGAGAAAUCGGGCAACAGAAGUGUCUAGGAAUCAUGAUUUCCAUGUCCGAAUUGAUUUCUUGGCUUGGAUUCUUGUUUUUCUUGGACUUUCUCCUUAAUCUCCAAGAAACAAUCAUUGUCUAUUCUCUCUUAUGAUGUGCUGCCAAGUACGAUGGUGCUGAGAGUAGGUUAUGUAUGUUUUGAACUUAGGUUCUUGGGCUAGAUAAUAUAUGAAACUCUUAGUGAUGGGGUGAUGUAUUUAUAUGUUGGUAUGGCUUUCCGGUGGUCAAAGUCAAGCCAAGGAAGAGAUGGACAGGGAAGAAGACUGACUUCAAAAAGCAAUCACGAAAGUGUGGAAGGUUUGGUUUGAUGAAUUGGAACUUGGAAUGUUGACUGUUGAACAAUUGAAAACAGUGUGUAAAAGCGUUAAAAUUGUUGUUCGGAGCAAGGUUAGACGGCCAACCAAGGGUCGAUUGCUGGCAUUGGCUGACUGGGUCCGAGUCAAAGUAGUAGUAGCAGGUGGACCGACUUGGUUUUUUUCUUUUUAUAUAUGAAAAUAGGGCUUCUACAGAUGGAGUAGUCCUUACUGGUGACAACGGAGACUGCCUGCGUCACAAAUGUUAUAUUUGUUAAAUCUAGCUUGGUGCUGAAAAACUCAGGAUUUAAAGUUUAAUUUGAGAUGAAUUUUUAAUUGAAUUGGAUAAGAUAUUUACUAGAUUAAACUUGAUUAAUUUAAAAAGCUUGGUUUUGGUUUUAGUGAUAGAGUAAACUCUAUCAAUUAAUAUGAAGAUUUUUUUAAAAAAAUAAUAUGAUAUUAUUUCAAUAAAAUAAUUGACCCGAAUUAAUCUAAUAACCCGCAAAUUAAUCAUCAAAUAUUUUUUGGGUUAGCAUUCAAUGUAGAUAACAAAUGUGACAAAUACUAAAAACAAAGGAAUAGUUAGGCCCCGUUUGUUUGCUGGAAAGUAGUUUUCUUUUGAAAAUGAACUCCGGGAAAGUGAAUUCCGGGAAAGUGAAUUAUUUUUCGAUGUUUGGUAGUGUAAUAGAAAAUAAGUUGGAAAACACUUUCCAGUGUUUGGUUAUGUCAUGGAAAAUGAGCUGAAAAAUAACUUAUUAAUGUUUUAUUUUUCUCAAAUUUAUUAAAAUAAUGAGGAACAAAUCUUACAAAUUAAAAAGUUGAAUGAGAAUGAAAUUGAAAAAAAAUAUAAUUUCAUAAAUUAUAUCAAAUAAAAUAAAUAAUCAAAAUAAUAGAGAUCAAAUCUAAAAAAUAAAAAAAUAAAAGAUGAAGAAAUUAAAAUAAUAAUAAUUAACAUUUCAUAAAUUAUUUCAAAACAAAUAAGUAACAAUCAAAAGAAUGAGGACCAAAUUUGAUAGAUAAAAAAUUUUAAUAAAAAAAAUGAUAAGGGAAAAGCAAAUAACAAUUAUAAAAACGAGGACCAAAGUUAAUAUAAAAAUUAAAUUUUAAGAGAUGAAAUUGAAAAAUAAAUAUUCAAAACAAAAUAUAUAUAGCAAUCAAAAGUUUGAGGACCAAAUUUGAUAUAAUCAGCAAAUAAUAUGAUAUUUUUAAAUUUUUCACAACUUCCAGAAAAUGUUUUCCGCCUAAAUUUUCCAGGAAAACACUUUUCUGGAAACCAAGCUAAAUUUUUCUUUAACUGGAAAGUGUUUUCCGUUGACCAACUUUCCUAAUGUCAAACAAAUACAAGAAAGUUUGGAAAGUGAUUUCCCGGAAAAUGAAUUCCGGGAAACAAACAUAGCCUUAAGUUUAAUUGCUCCUUGUAGUUUAUAGUCCUCAUGUUUUAAAAACUAUAUAUUUGAUCCCUAUUUAUUAAACUCAUUUAUAACUUAUUUCCUUCGUAUAUUUCACUCUUUUUUUUUCUAAUAUAUAAUUUUUUUUUUUGUUUGAGGAAUAAAAAAAUGAAAAGAGAACAAGAUAAGAAGGUAGGAUUUGAUGAGUUAGGCGAACCUUUUUUUUUUUGGAAAGAGAUACUACCAAGUUGAAGAUGAUUAAUGCUAGUCAAAUAAGGACUAUUGAAUUAUUUUUUAAUACUAUGUGAUAGAGAUUAAUUGAUUGAUUUAAUAAAUUAUAGGGAUUAAGUUAUAAUUAACUCAUAAAGGAAUGGUUUAUGGGUGUGCCCAAUUGAAGUUUAGAAAAUCUUGCCAGUUACCAGUUUGUGAGCCCAAAAUGAGAGUGUAGCUGGGCCUCAUGUUCCAAAGCAUUUUAGACUUAGCAUGGUUCAAUGGGUCUGGAAAAAAUAAGUAAUAGACAACUCCAGCAAAAAAAGAGAGAGAAGAGUUUGGAUCACUAGGGUCCAAGGACCUUAACCACGUAGCUCCAUUCGGGUUUUGGAGUUGAUCCAUUGGUGCGGGAUGGGGUUAGUUAUCCAGGUGACUUCAGUUCGAAUCCUUUCCUUAUAAUUGAGGGGGGGGAAAUGCACCAUAAAAUAGAUAGCAUUAUAUAUAAUACAAACUAGCUAUAUGACCAGCAUUCUCCCGUUGGUUGGAUAAAAAAGAUCAUUGAGAAAAAAAAGUGAUGUUUAAGUUAAUGCAAGCACGUUUUAAAGAGAGAAAAAAAAGCAUUGUCGAAAGAUAAAAAAAAAAAAACAAAAAAAAAUCUCAAUUCAUAUUAACCCAUUAAGUCCAUGACCUGAAUCAUUUGACUAAAAGCAAUAAAUUUGAAAAAUAACUCAAUUCUCAUAAAACCAAAUGUUAAAUAAUAUAAUUAAAAAAAAAUUAAUAAACAAAAGAUUAAAAACAAUUGCAAUUAUAAGCCAAAAAAAGAUCUGAGCCUACUUGGGUCAACCUACCGAACUUACUGAUCAAAUUAUAAAAUCGGAAUAACCUGACAUAAAAAAAUAGAGAAAAUCACAAAACCUAUUUAAAAAAAAAAAAAAACCAAUGUCAAAUUAUGAGGUGGGGAAAAAAUAAGUCAAAAAACAAUGAUACCAACCCUUGUUAGCUUAUAAAACUCAUGCCUUGGGCUAUUUGAUUAGAAACAUCGAAUAUGAAAAAAAUCACGAAAGUCAAUUCUUAACAAAUAAAAUAUUGAACGAUGAAAUUAAAAAAAGAAGAAACAAUAACACAAAAGGAUCUUGAAGAAAAAAAAGCAAAAAAAAAAAAGCACGAGCCUACCUGGGUUAACUCACCAAACCCACAAGUCAUGUCGUGAGAUCGAGAUAACCCUAUAAAAAAACAAAUAAAAACAUAAAGCCUAUUAAAAAAAAAUCAACGUCAAGUGAUGAAAUUGAAAGGGAAAAUAAGUCCAUAAAAAAAGAUAGAAACUCAUGUUAGGUCAUAAAACUUGUGACUUCGGUCAUUUGAUUAGAAGUAUCAAACCUGAAAAAACCACGAAGCUCAAACCUUAAAAAAUCAAAUGUCAAAUGAUGAAAUUGAAAAGAAAAAAAAUAUUUAAUCACAAAAAAGAAUUAAAAACACAAAAUAGUAAUAUUAAAAAUAAGAAUCAAAUUUGAAAAAAAAAAAAACCAAACAUGUGUCAUUGGUAGAGGAAGACGGCUCCGCAAAAUCUAAUGACACUGCGGAAAAUAAAUUUUCACCACAGGAGGACACCGUAUGUGCCGUCAAAACUUGACGGAACUUUUCCACGCACCCCUGUGUGCAUGGAACAUGUCUGACAGAUUUUAACUUUAAUAAUUUUUAAUUAAUGCAAAACACCAAUUUACCCCUCUACUAAUCUGUUUAUAAUGUAAAAACCAACAUUAAAUCCCAAAAAAAGCAAGCCUAAAUUAGUUUUUUUAUUCCAAAGGUAAGUUAGUAAUUUAGCUAUGCUAAAAAAAUAAAAUCUCAAAAAGCCCCUAGUAACUAAUUAUAUAUUUUUUUUAAGACAGUGAAGGUAUUUCACUAUUCUAAAAAAUAUAAAAAGAACUUUGUACCUCUACUGAAAACAAAAGUGACAAAUGGAUCACAUAGAAAAGAUCAUUUUACCUCUGAGUUUAGUUUUCUAAGCUGAUUUGGUAAAGGGCAAUAUCGUUAAUUCACUAUUACAAUAUAUAAUAAUAGAUGUUUAGUGCUAUAAUAUUUUUCACAUGGCCUAUAUAUCUUGUUAAUAAUUAGAACUGUUGAUUUGUUGAAUAGACACGUAGAUACUGUAAAAGCAAAUGUUCCAAUCAUAGUUAUUAAAUUCGAAUUGAUCCAGCGAGUUGAUUUAAUAACCCAUUAACUUGGAGUCCAAGUUUUUUUAAAAUUAUUUUAAAUGUUUAUCUAGUUAAACUUAUAUGACCUGACAGAUCAACCCACAACUUAAUUAAUCAACCAAAAUCAUAUAUCAAACCCUUUGCUAGUUCAGACUUCAGUCCAAAUCUAAGAACUUUGUUUAGAUUCAAGCCAUGAACUAUAUUGUUUGCGGGGAUUAUUUUUGUUCAACUAAAUCUCUCAUGCAUGAUGAUCCAAAAAAAAAAAUCUCAAUAGCACAAAGGAUCAAUAACAUGUUGCAUAUGAUAUGUGUCUGAUGAGCUUCAAAACUAUUGAAGUAAUAUUGAUAAGUUAAUUUUAUUAAGUUUUUAUUUAUAUUUUGUAAACGUAUACCAAACACAAUACACUUGGACAUGGCAGUACGUCAAGUCCAAGGUGGCGUCGGUCUGGCACGCAUGCCAGACCCAAUACACUUCGACUUGACAGUUAGUCAAGUCCACAAGUUCAAGGCGCUUGGACUUGGCAGUUAGUCAAAUCCAAGGUAGAGUGGAUCUAACAUGCCAAUACGGUUGGACUUGACAGUAUGCCAAGUCCAAGGUAGCGUGAGUCUAGCAACGCUUAGACUUGAUAGUGCGCCAAAUCCAAGGUAGUGUGGUUCUGGAACACAUGCCAGACCUAAUGCGCUUGGACUUGGCAAUUAGCCAAGUCCAAAGCACUCAGGCUUAGCAGUGCGCAAAGUCCAAGGUAGCGUGGAUCUGGCACGCAUGCCAGACCCAAUGCGCUUGGACUUGGUAGUGUGUCAAGCCCAAAAUAACAUAGGUUUAGCACGGAUGCCAGACCCAAGACGUUUGGACUUGUCGGUCAGCCAAGUUCAAGAUAAUUAUCAAUCCUCCCUUAGCAUGUCUAGUGGAGUGACCAACCUCCCUUGGGUCUAACAUCGGGGAAAAACUUAACUUUUAUAGGCUUAGCUACAUUUGAUAUCCUAAACUCUAUAUCUCCCUACAUCUUUUUUGUUGUAUAAAAGUCCUUCAUGGACCUACCAUAUUCUUAUCAUGUAAGGGAUAUUUAUCCCUCAUUCAAUGCUAUCAGGGUAAUUACCCUGGAAACCUUCCUUUUUUGGACUAUAAAUACACCAUGAGAGCUUCAUGACAAAAGGUUGGGAUAUUUAUCCCUCAUUCAAUGCUAUCAGGGUAAUUACCCUGGAAACCUUCCUUUUAUGUACUAUAAAUACAUCAUAAGAGCUUCAUGACAAAAGGUUCACAAUCCUCAAUUCUCUACUGCAUUUAUAUUUUCAAAGCAUCUCUCUCUAAAAUAUUCUUGUAUUUUCUCUCUCUAAAAAGAUACUUAUUUAAGUAUCGGAGAGUCCCCACCUCCACCAAAAAGGAUCUUUUGCAGGUUAUAGCCACAAAUAGCUUCGGCUUAUCAAAGAACCAAAUAUGAGCUAUCAAUUACCUUGGCUAAGGAGAAUGAAGAAGAUUACCAGGAUCAAUUGAUCAACUAAUUGUCCAACUUGGAAGCUCUAUUCCCUUGCUAGUUGAAUUUUUAAGAUAUCAUCAAAUAUAUAUUUGAACGUUUCAGUAACUCCCUACAAAAAUAAAUGAUUGUUCCUUAUACUCUGUUGGUUGCUCUUUCCUCACCAUAAAAUUUUUAAUGCCUUUGUUUUUCUUAAUGUAAAAUACUUAUGUUAUAUAACAUAAUUAUAAUAACUUCUCACUUUUUUUUUUUUUGCUUAUGUAAAUUCUUUAAUAUUUUCUUUCCUAUCCAUAAAUGAAACCACCUUUGAUUUCAUGAUAUGUUUGGUAGAAUGUAGAAAUUCUUUAAUAAUCUUUAUUUUAUUACCAAAAUCGUGAUAUGUUUGGUAGAAUCUUGUAAAUAAAAUAUUAUGGUGAAAAGAAUUUAAAAAGAAAAAAGAAAAAGUUGUAUUACUUAUGAAACCAAAAUGACAAGAUAGGAUAACCUAAAAUUUGGCAUGGAUUGGGUUUCAUAAAAAAAAAUAUUCAGUAUAACUUGAUAAAAAAUCUAAUUGAUCUAUGAUAUAUUUAAUUCAUUAUGACACGGUUAAAAUCUAUUGAUUUUAAAAAAAUUAAAAUAAUAUCAUUUUGAUCUUUUAAUUUUUUUUUAUUCAACUCGUAACUCAAGUUUUACUCGAGUAACCUAUUAUUCAAAUUUAAUAACUACAAUAUUACUAUCACAUACAAAUUAUAUUUUCAAUGCAAAUCUUGCUAAAAGGUUUCAAUUUUUUUGUAUUUGUUGUACUAAAUGAAGAUAGAAAUCCCAUUAAUUGAUUCAAUAAUGAUGCACGUCUAGAUGUUGAUAAGAGGAACCUGGCCUUUCAUCAAGUACCCAGCUAAAAUAGUUAAUUUUUUUUUUUGCUUUGACAAAAAAGAAAUUAGCAUAUCUUGAUAGGUAAAUGCACACUUGGAGAUUUGAUGCAUAAAGAAUGAAAAUAACCCAAUAGACAAGUGACAUAUACCUUGGGAAAUUGAGAGAUGGAACGCGAACCCCAUGCCGGGGCAGACAACUACAGCACAACUCUUGCAUAUGCUUCCCCUUUAAUCAAAGACACAAGUCUCCACCCAUUACCAUGCUUCCAUGUUCUCAUGCUCGGGAGACCUUUUGAUUGUGUUUCGAUAGGUUUUAAGCGUGUGUUUGGUAGUUUUUAUAGUUGUAAUUUAAACUAAGUUUAGAAAAAUUAUAAAUUAUAUUUUUUUAUCAACUAAGAUUUUAAGAAAGAGUUUUUAAUUAUAUAUAUAUCUUUUCAUUUUAUUUUUAAGUUUAGAACAAAACAAAUUAGAUUGCAUUGAUUUCGAGCGUAAUACAAGAUGCAAAUAUUGAUAUAUGAUUAGACAUGAUAAAAGUAUUUCACAAAAGAAAAUGAGGGAGAAAUUAAGCUAUGAAAUGGGAUAAAAACCGUAUUAUAUCUUAUCUUAUGCAUGUACGCAGCGAAGAUCAGGACAAGAGCAUAAAAGUUGCAAGUUGCUGUUUCCAUGGAGUAAGCCUUUGCACGACAUUUUUUAUUCGGAAUCUUUAUCCUGCCAUCUAAUUUCAUGAAACUUUUCCUUCUUUUUCUUGCCUUCUUUAUUACAAUGAGAGUAAUCUCAUCGCAGUCUCAGCACUUCAUGAUUUUGCCUUUUCCAAAAAAUAAAGCCAUCAUCACCCCAACCUGUAAUCGAUUGGAAUUGGGGCAUGGAACUUUGUGAGAAAGGAGAUUCUGUUGUCCAUGAAAUAAAAUGGGGAUGAUAAAAAAAGACCAAGGCGUGUGGCUAGGAUGAAGAUGACAAAAGCAAAAACAAUGCUACCCCAGCUAAUCUUAUAAUUUUUUAAAAAAGAAAAAACCACAGUUUAAUAAAAGUUGCGAAAAUAUAAUAUAAGUUUGAAAAGCACUUGAAAAAUAAUAUAAUUUGAGUAAUUUUGUAUUGACUAUUCACAAUAGAAUGUUUUAUGCUAAUUAAUUACCUUAACAAAAAUUAACCCAAAAUUUUAUGAGGAUUCAAUAUCUAAAAGUUGAAAUUCAAGAUUUAAUAACCAAGAAAAAAAAAAAAGAUAAGUUGAUGCCGUAAGAGAGAGAAAUGAGAAUAGGAAAAAAAAAAAAAAGAAAGAAUGAGUCAAAGGAAACGCGCUAGUGAUCUGUUUUCAACACACUCGAUAUUGUUAAAAAGAUUUCAACGAGAUAAUUCUAACUACACCUUGAAAGAUCAUCAAAUAAGGUCAUAAUUAACCUCAAAUAAAACCCCUAAUCAAUUACAAUUUUUUUUUAUGGUCUUUCAAUGUGUAGUUAGAAUAGUCUCGUCAAGAUCUUUCUAACAGUAUUGCGUGUGUUGAAAACAAAGUCUUGAUGUAUCUCCAAUAACCCAUUUCCUCAAUUUCUAUCUCCUAUCAUAUCAGCUUAUCUCCUCUCUUUUUUAUGGAUCAUCUUCUUUUUUUUUUAUGAAUCUUGAAUCUUAUCUUUAAUUUUAGAUGGAUUUUUAAACAAUUGUUAUUUCCAAUAAUAGUUGUGUUUAAACUAUACUAGUUUUCUAAUACUUUUCUAUUUUCUAAUACUUUUUUAACCCAUGUCAUUUUUUUAGAAUUUUUAUGGAACUAUGUUAGUUUGGCAAGAAAAAACCCCUAAUUUAAAGACAUCAAGACAUUCUGUGUGAUAAUUGUUUGGUUGCCAUCAGAUGCAUGCCUCUUUUUUUUUACUUGCACAUACCUCGACUAAUCCCACAAGUCCUGAAGUUAACGACUAUGUAAGUCUUUAAUGACCCUAAAAAGACUCAAACUCAUGAUCAUUGGAGAGCAUAUCUAAAAUCUGACCAGUUAAACCAAAUGCAUGCUUCUUUGAUUCUGUUAGCGAUAACAACACCCUUUUAUUUUUCCUAGUGAAUUUGAUCUUGUGGAGGGAUUUGCACACCAAAAUUGGCAGGAAUGCAAAAAUGGACUAGUGGCUUACUGGCUUUGCUAUACAUCAAGAAGCAGGAAAUUUUGCAGAGAUCUGAAACUGAAGACAAAUAUCUUCUAGAACACCUUAUCCAUUUCAUUUUCAAAACCUUUAAUACAAGUGACCAACAUCCAAACUACAUUUCCAAGAAAAAUAUGAGACAACAGGAUGAGACUAGAACAUGAAGGAGUUAGGAAUUAGACAAGUUUACAGAGAAAACAGCAAAGGAGCUGCAAAUAGAAUGAACAUAGAAAACCACCACCACCUCCACCAUUUACAACUACCACACUCAUCUUCCAUCAGCUGAUGUAAAUGACUCAGCAAACCCAUAUGGGCGCGCAGGUAUGCUGGUCUGAGUAUUGUCUAAGCUGGGAAGGAGUGAAGAAGAAGAAGAUUCCAUGUUGCUUCUACCUUCAUAAGCUUGCCACUUCUUAAGUGCCUGCGGCAAGGACAUUUCAAGGUCAAUACCAUAUAUGUCUUCAGAACUGUGGUCGGUUGGUUUCCAGAGCUCCACCAGAGAAGAGAGAACAUUCACAGCAUGACCCAUGUCUGGCCUUUGAUAUGGUUCCCUAGCACAGCAGUGACCUGCCAACUCUGCUACGGUGCUGAUGCUGGCAAGUGUUUCCUCAUUGAGGUCAAUUGUGGGAUCGAUGGCCUUCCGGAAUGUGUCCUUGUUCAGGUGCAUUCUGCGGAACCACGUUACAAGAUGCAUGCUCUCUUCAGGCUGGCUAUCAUCCAGAGCUUUUCUACCAGUUAUAAGUUCCAUCAAUAUCACUCCAAAACUGAAAACAUCAACUUUAGUUGUCACUCGACCAGUAACUGCAAACAUAUCACCCAAAAACAAGAGUUUGAAGUUAGAAUGUGAAUUAAGAGAGCAAACAGAAAAGCAAACCAUAAGCUCAAAAAAGUUAUAUGGCAAACAGCAGGCAGAAGAAGACAGAAGACACUGUUGACUAAGAGAGAUGCUAACAAUCAAAGAAAUUUUGAAUUGAGAACGGUCCAAUGCAAGUAAAAUGCUACUCCUCCCAGGACUAGAGCCAUAAAGUGAAACAACAAAUGAUAGAUUUUAAAAAUAUGAACGAACCAUGCCAUGCCUCGUGAAUAAGACAUGAAUUUGCAUAUAGUAAGGUGAAUCCUAUUCGUUGACAGAAAUAUUUUGGCUACUCUUGAUACAACAGAAAAAACAAAUCAAAAACAAAACAGAAAUACAACAACAGAUUGAUGAAUCUUUUUUAAGCAGUUAACAGGAUUAUUGUUCAUUUGUGCCAAGUUUGUGACCAAAACAAUCUCAGAGUAAAUAGCAGUCAAUGUAUAAGAAUACUUGUCCAAGUAUAUGUUUUAACUGAAUCCCCGAAUAUCUGUUGAAAACUAGAAGUUUAAACAUAAAUCAAAGUUCAAAAAUAUCUUGGACUUGAAAUAAAUUAAACAUUAAUUGAAGGGUAAAGCAACUAGAGGAAAUGGUACCUGCAUAUUCUGGUGCCAAAUAUCCAAAAGUUCCAGCAAUUCUAGUUUCAAUAGAGCCUUUACCCUCUGGUGCAAGGCGCACAAGGCCAAAAUCUGAAACCUUAGCCCUCAUAUCAUCCCCGAGAAGAAUGUUUGAAGGCUUUAAGUCCCUGUGUAUAAAGCUUUGAUGAGCCAAACCAUGAAGAUACUCGACACCUCUAGCUACAUCCAAGGCUAUUGUCAACCUUCUUGUCCACUCCAUUGGUUUCAAUCCUUCUUCUGCCCAGUUGAAGAGAUGUCUACUGAGUGUCCCUUGUGGCAUAUACUCAUACACAAGAAGCUUCUCAUUACCAUCCAAGCAGUACCCAAGAAGAGCAACAAGAUGCCGGUGCCUAACCUUAGUCAAAACAGCAAUCUCAGACUUGAAUUCAUUUAGCCCCUUACUACUUAUGACCCCAGACCCCAUCCUCUUCACAGCAAUCUUUGUACCAUCAUGCAACUCACCUUUGUAGACCACUCCAAAACCUCCUUGUCCCAAUAUGUUUUCUUCACUGAAAUUGUUAGUAACAUUCCUUAAAACUUGAAUAGAAAUGACCAUGUUCCCAGCUUCACCCAUUUGAAUGUCACCCUGUUCACUUGUAGGAAUUGUAUGUGUUUCACUAAUAGCACCAACACUAACACUUGAUCCAGCAACAGUAAUCUUCACACUCUCAUUAUCAGACACCGAGUGGCGAGGAUGAAUCACCAUUUCAUUCGGACUCUGUACUCUGCUAAACCGCUUUUGUUUCUUCUUGUACAGACAGAAAACCACCAAGCCGAUCAAGAACAAUAAGAAAACACCCCCAACCACAGAAAACACAAUGACUCCGAUGAAAGCGGAAGAUUUCUUGCCACUUUUUCCUGAAUUGCCACCACUUCCAGAACCAGUAUUUGCCGAUGGACUUGCAGAUGGGGAUCCUGGAGAUGUAGAACUAUUCACAUCCUUCCCUAUACGUGGAUUACCAUUAGUAUUAACGAUCACAUUGUUCGUAAAGGCCGGAACUUUCCCAUAAAUCUGAUUGUUUGACACAUCAAGUGCCUUAAGUCUAGGUAAGGUAGUAAUCUCUUGCGGAAUCAAACCUGUCAGAUUAUUAUUUGCAAGAACCAACCUUUCCAAUGACUUAAGUGAUGCAAAAUCUGGAGAAAUCGAGCCUGUUAGCCCCAUCUUCUCAAAGUUAACAACAGUGAUGUUCCCCUUAUUACAUGUUAUUCCAAACCAAUCUGCACAUGGAUCAUUCCCCUUCCAACCAUCUGCCAACCUGUGUGGGUAAUACAUUGAUUUCACUAUCGAAAGCAAGGUAUUAACUCGCGAAUCACAUGGACCAGGAGUUGACAAACAGAAUCUGUUAGAAUCCUUAACAACAUCCACAGAAACGGAGCUCUUAAACACAGGCAUUGGUCCUUGAAGCAAAUUAUUUGACAAAUUCACAACCUUUAAAGACUCAAGAUUAACCAAAGACUCAGGAACGGGACCAGUAAAUGAAUUAUCUCUUAAAUUCAAGCUCUCUAAGUCUUUCAAACCCGAGAAGUCAGGUAAAGGACCCGAAAAUCCAUUAGACUGCAACCAAACUUCUCUUAACAAAGUCAUGUUCUGAAUAACAUAAAUGCUACCACUAAGUUUCUGUCCAUUAAGCCACAAAGACUGAACUUGCAACCCUGAAAAACUUGCAGGCAAUUCACCUUCAAGAUCAUUAAAAGCUAACCUCAAAAUGGUUAGAGCCGGAAAAGCAUCUGGGCCAAAAAAACUCGGUAUUGACCCGGAUAUAUUAGCUGAAUUUGCAGAAAAAUUUUGCAAACCAGAAGCAUUUUGUAUACUUUCUGGAAUGACCCAAUUGGAAAACGGGUUGUUAUCAAUCUCCACUGAUUGAAGUGAAGACAAACCGGCGAAGAAGUCACUAGGGACUGAAGUGAACUUAUUGUCACUUAAGAGGAUCACUUGUAAUGAACUUAACCCGUUUAAACUUGGCAAAUGACCCGAAAUGUUGUUAUACUGAAGCUCUAAACGUUCAAGUUGAGUAAGGUUUUGAAGAUUUGAAGGGAGUGUACCUUGAAGAUUUUGGCGUCCAAUUUGGAUCCGGGUGACCCGUUUUUCAUCCGAACAACCUACAUGGUUCCAUUUGCAUGGAUCCGGGUCCGACCAUCCAAGUGAAUCUGGUACAUUGAGACUUUUUUUGAGAGAUAGCAUAACUUCAGCAUCCGGGCUUGCUUGAGAGCUUGCAUAACGAAAGAUUGAAGAAAACCCAACAAGGAAAAUCAGAAAAAGCUUCAAACUUUGACUGCUUUUUCUCUUCAUCUUUAGAGAGAAGCGAAGAGAGAGUUGGUGCCUUUUUCUGUUUUUGCAGCAAAAGAAGUAAACUUUCUAAGUGAAAUAAUGCAUGGGCUUAUAGUUUCUUGAUAGAAAAGAAAUAGAAAGCAAAGAGAAGAAGCAAAAAAACCCAAUUUGAAGAACCAUGGAGAGGGAGAGAGAGAGCGGUUGGUAUUGAUGGGAGAGGAGUAAGUAGGAAGGGAGAGGGGGGGGAAUGGGGAGCUGUAGCCUGUAAUUGAAAGGCAAUGCACAUGCACGGAGGGGUCCACAUAUCUGAGAAUCUAAAGGCUGUCAACAACAGGUUGAAAAGGCUAGAAGUUGAGAGAGAGAGAGAGAUAGGGUUUUAGUUUUGGUUUAGGAUUCCUUCUUGAUGUCCAUCCAUGUAUAUGAUUGUAUAAGCUGGCCAUGGCAAUUGUUUCUUGUCUGGAUAUUGUUGUAUUUUUGCUGUGCUUCUUUGCUAUUUACAGGAGAGUCUGAGGUAUUUCAUUGUGAGCUGAAUUUUGAAAGUUGAAGUGGGCAUGUGGUCAUUGGGUAGAGCACUCAAGCAAAGCUAGCAUCAUCGAUCACAUGGGGCUCUGUUUGACCAUAAAUAUUUUAAGGUCUAGGAUUCAAGCUUAUCUUCUUUGUCAGGGGUCCAACUUCCAUGCAUGUUUUUUUAAGCAACAGGGUUUGAAAUUCGUAGGUGGUCAGUUUCUUGGUCUUGGUCUCAGGGAGCCUUUGUUCCGGUGGUGUCAUCUGUUUUUUAAUUUAUUUAUUUUUUACUUUAAAAGGUAUUGUAAUAAUAGUUUUGUAUAUUUUUUUAUGAUUUUAAUAUAAUGAUAUUAAAAAUAAAAAAUAUUUUAAUAUAUUUUUAAUAUUAAUACAUUUUCAAAAAACUCAUUACAAAACAUACUUUUAAGGCAUAUGACUUUGACUCUUUUUUUAACUGCAAAAGUUGUUUUUAACUUUUAGCUCUUUUGUCAGCAAUGUUCUUCAAAUAAUUACAAAAACAAUCCUGGAAUCUAACUCAAUGCAAGAUAUGAGUAACGGAUGAGAAUUGGUUUGUAUUUUACUAAAAUAAUGUCAGUUUUUUUAAAAUAAAAAAAAUAAAACAAUGUUGUGUUGUCUUGAUUUUGAAAAAUUUUCUAGUUUGAAAUUAAACUCGUCUCAAGACAAGCACCAAGUUGACCCAUACAGACAUGUUUGAUAACUAUGGUUCUUACCAUAGAUAGAAUAUUUGUUUUCCCAAAUUCUUGCCUGAAUUAGUCCAUCACUUGAAUUAACCAUAGUUUUGAAACCCGGACCGGUUAGUUCAUCACUUGAAUUAACCAUAGUUUUGACUGGGACCGGUCCAGGUCUAAGUAAAAACUCGUAUGGGAGUUGGUCCGGCGAAACCCGAUCGACCCGGAACCCGGCGACCCGGGCAAACCCGGCUAAGACCCGGCCUUUUAUUUUUUAUAUAUAUACAUAACGCUGCAGAAUUGUAGAUCUAACAGUCAGACUGGAAACAGAGACAGAUAAUAACCAAAAUUCCCAAUUUGCAUGUAAAAAUUUGAAUAUAACUCAAAUUAAAGAAGAUGGAGAUGAACACUUGCCACUAGUGAAACGAGCUAGAGUUAGAAUGGGCAAACAAUAAUCUUUGGAGGAGGAACACAAUAAUUUUACUUGAGCUGAAGAACGAAGACCAUAUGAAGUUGCCUUCAAUGCAAUGGAGGAAGACAGUAGCUUUUUUCAACUUGAAAAAAGAAGAUCUCUUGAAGCUGGAGUUAAUACAUUGGAGCCGAUUAGCUCCUCCUCAAAUUGCAACAGUGAUAUUGUUGCUCAUAGAGAUUCGUUGAUGAGAAAAGAUGUUGUGUCUGUUUCUUUCACAUUUACUGCUCUUUUAAGGCUUGUGAUGCUAAAAUGGAUGUGGAUUUGGGGCAGCAAAUUCAUGGGCAAAUGAUUUUGAUUGGGGGGUUUGGUGAGGAUUUGCAUGUUGGAAUUCUAUGAUUGAUAUGUAUAUAAAAUGCGGGUUUUUGGAGUGUGGGCGAAAAGUGUUUGAUGAAAUGCCAAAUAAGGAUGCGAUUUCUUGGACAGAGUUAUUUCUGCUUAUGGGAAUAGUGGGAACAUGGAGAGUGCAGAAGAGUUGUUCAAACAACUUUGAUGGGUUAUUUGAUUUUUAAUUUUUUUUAGGUUGACUCGGGUCAACCCAUCUGACCCGUGACCCGAUCAUUAGACCGGGUCGACCACCGGGUCGGGUUUCAAAACUAUAGAAUUAACUGUUCUCAAAUUAAGAUUUUUUAAUUAGGUCCUCAAAGUAUCAUACAUUCCUCAAAUUGGUCCUUCUAUAUUACAUAUUGUACACAAUUUAGACAAAAUAACUUUGAAGGAUGUGGGUAGAAGCAAUGAAAGCACCAUACUCUAUAAAAUAAGGUCAAUUCUUUGUAAAACUUACAAACGAGGAAUGAUUCUAAGAACAAUUUGAACAAAGGGGAGGCCCUAGCCCCCUUCCUUCCUGAAUCCUUCAUUGGAUAAAGGGAUUUGAUUGAGGAAUGUCUUACAGUUUGGAGAUGUAAUUAAGGAAAUAUUUAGUUCGAAGACUUUUGUCAGAAUUUGUGUAUAAUUAGGAGAACAAUCUGGAAUUGUCCAUUCUCGAAUCUUAAAAACUACUUUCUGUUCUACAAUAAGGACAACAAAAACCAACACCUUUUGGUGGUUUUUUCUAUUUUUUACACUUGUCUAAGAUCUAGUCUUACUCGUUUUCAUGUAGAUUGAGAGAGAUUGCUACUUCACUCUUGAAUUGUUGGGCUAUCUACCUAUCUAUUAUUAUUAUUAUUAUUAUUAUUAUUAUUAUUAUUAAUGUGGGUGUCCGUCGACUAAUCCCACGUGUCCUGAAGUUAACGAUCAUGUAAGCCUCCAGUGGUCAUCAUAUUAGAACCACAAGGCUCGAACCUGAGACCAUUAGGGGAGCAAACCUCUUAGUCUCAAAUUAUUACCACUGGGUCACCUAUUAGAUGGUUACCUAUAUAUUAUUAUUACUAUUAUUAUAUGGAGUUAAUUUGGAUAAGAUAGAUUUUUCUUUUUUCAAACUUGACUAGCUUCAAUAAAAAAGAACUAGUCAUCUAAUUUUAUGUUUGUUUGGUUACACUUGAUCGUGUGUUCUUGAGACAUCUUUAGCAAGAGAACAUUUGGUGAGAAAUGAUAAAACUCAUUGGCCUUUCAACCAUAAACAAGGACACUAAUUGAUUAAGACUUUGUUUAAGUUAUCACUUUCUUGAUCCUGCUUAUUAAUAGUUCUAGAUAUUGAAAUUUGUUUCAAUCUCCUAAUUGAUCUUCUCUUUCACCCUCUUUGUCAAUGUUAGUUCAUAAAGGACUCUUCCAUAUUAUUGUGUUGUACUGUGCUAUGUUAUUUGGUGUUUUGUUAUGGGAUCAAAGAAGUGUUUAAUAACUAGUUAUUAUUAUCUAUCUCACUCAUUCUUCGGGUCAAUAAUUUUUUUUAAUAAAAAUAAUUUUGUAGGUUUUUUCAAUAUGUUUUUGGACUACAAAAGUUCCAAAUAUAAAUUAAAAAACUUAUGCAUACAUUUAAUUAAAUAAAUCAAUAAUCAUCUAUGCCAAAAAAAAAGUGUUAACACCUCCGGGUCAUAUAAUUGUUUCUUAACAAUAAAGAAUGAAUGAGUAGGUGUUGUUAACAUGUUUUUUUACAUCGAGUAAAAAUAAUAUAAUUGUAAAUCUAAAAGUUAAAACAAUCUGAAAAAAAUUAAAAAGAAGAGAUAUUAAUUUAAGUAUAAAUUAAAGAUUAUUUUAAAAAAUCCAUAUUAUAAAAAGAGAUCAGACGCUAUUAGGCUUGACAAGUUAGGUCCCCAUGCUUGGCUUAUUUUGAAAAGGAACAGAUGACAUGUUGUUUACCCCAUGAACAAAAAAAAAAAAAAGAAUCAACACGUGCGAGCAUGUAAAUAUAAAGUGUCAUCCACCCCAUUAAUAGAGUAAAAACAAAUAAGGGCUCAUGCGUGUGGGCAUGCAAAUGUAGAGUGGUAAAUAUUCCAAGUGUCAAAAGUAAGAAAUAAUAAUGUUUUUUCAAAUAAAUAGUUUAAGGAAAAAAUUUAAAAAAAUACAAAAGAAUAAAGAUAAGAACAAAAAAUAGUGAUAAAUAAGCUAAGUGUAAAGUGAUAAAUAUGACAAGCAUAAAAAAAAUUACAAAUUUAUCACCACUAUAGUAUCGCUAUAGUAUAAAAAUCAAUAAAUUAUAAUUUUUUCACCAUUACAGUAUCCACUCCAGUAAAAAAAUAAUAUAUAUAAUUGUUAUUUUUAUGGUGAUUUACUGUUUUUUUUUAGUAUAUUGUAUAAUGACAUAUAUUAUUUAGUUAAAUUCUAUUUUUAUAUUUUUAAGAUAUAAAAUGAAUAUAAGAAUUGCACUAGAAAUAUUUAAACAUAUAAUUUUUAUUUAUAUUAAAUACUUUAUAAUUUUUUAAAACUUACAUAAUAUGUGACGAUAUUUUUCAUGAAAUAAUUCUUAAAUUAAAAAAAAAGUUUAAUUAGAGUGAUACUAAAUAUGAUAUAUUAUUUCAAUAAAAUUAAUGAUAUAAAAAAUUAAUAUAAAAUUAUGGAAAAUACUAGAAUAUUUGCUUUGUAUAAUUUAAAAACAAUAAUAUAGAAUGUUGUUAUUUUUAACUAAAAAAAUAUAAACCUCACAUGUGUCCCAAGAUUCAAGGUAGUUGACACAAGCGAUAAACUUUUACCUCUUUUUUUGUCUUUUUCUCCACCUAGAUUUUUGCGUCAACUCCUUAAAAAUUCAAGAACAACAUUUUAAUUUGUUGAUUUUUAUAUUUGAUCUCCUUUCUUUUUAUUAUAAUUUUUUUAUUUUGAAUGAUUUUUAGAAUUAGUAUGCGUUUUCAAUUUCAUUCCUCUUAAGUUUUUUCAUAUUUCAAAUUUGAUCUCUAUUUUGUUUUUGCUACUUCUUUUUUGCUUCCAAUCAUUUUUUAAAUUAAUUUUGUUUUACAAUUUCACACUCCUUUUGUUUUUUUUCCUAUAAAAUUUAAUCCCUGUUCUUUUUAUUGCCAUUUUUUUUAUUUUGACAAGUUUUUAUUUUCAAUAAUUUUUUAAAUUGAUCUUGUUUUAUGAUUUCAUCCUCAUUUGGUUUUUUUGUUUUCUGACAAAUUUAAUCCCUAUUCUUUUGAUUUCUAAUUUAUUUUCUUUGAAAAGUUUUUAAAAUUGAUAUUUUUAGAUUGAUUCAUAAUAAACUCCUUAAUUGGACUUGGAUCCAAGGUUUCACGGGUUGCGAGUUUUUAAGAUUUAAUUAUGAUUGGAAUAUUUGCUUAUAUUUGCUUGGUUUUUUUCUCUUUGUCUAACCUAAUUUGUUUUUCUCAUUUCAUCAUUCAAUGUUUAUUCAAUUGAAUACUGGGUUUUUUUUUUUCAGCUUGUUUUCUAUGGAUUGUUUUUAUUGGUUUUGAAAAUGACCAUGUUAUCUUAGGUAUUUUAGUUUACUGUUUUUUGUUGAGUUUUUUUCUUUCUAAUUCUUUAAAUUUAUAUUUUUUUACUCGUCCUUUCCUUCAAUAUUUGAAAUGAUUUUUUUAAAUAAUUUAUGAGGUUAGAAUUAUUUUUCUAUUUCACCCCCCUUUAUUUUAUUUUUGUUUUGAAUUAAGUUCUCAUUCUUUUCAUUGCUAUUUGUUUUAUUUGAGAUAAAAAAUUUAAAUUAUUUUUAUUUAUUUAUUUUGUUUUCCAUUGAUUUUUAAAAUGACCAAGGUUUUCUUGGGUUUGUUCUUUGUUGGAUUUUCUUUGGCUAAUUAAUCAAUAUUAAAUUGGUUAGGAAUUGAGUUGCUUGAUUCAACUAGGGUCUAUAAUUUAACGGGUUGCGAGUUUGAAAUCCUUGCCUAGGUUUAGGAUUUCCUCGCGUUUUUUUUUUUUUAAAGAUAAUAUAUUUUUUUUAAGUUUUAUCAUUCAAAAUUUAUAUUAUUAGUGAUUAGGUUUUUUUUUGUCAUCUGCCUUCUAUAUAAUUUUUUAACUGUGCAUUUUUUUGGUGUUCCCCUUCUUUCUUUCUUUUUAAAGUCUGUCCACAUAUUAGGCUUUUUUGCCUCAAGUAACAUUUGUUUUUUAAAAAUAAAAAAUAAAAUGAAAACACGCUUGCAUUCUAAAUUUAUUUUUUUUUUUGUUUUCACCUCUUUUAUUUUUUUAUCUUUUAAAUUUGAUCACUAAUUUUUUAUUGCUAUUUGUUUUGUUUUGGAUCAUAUUUUAGAUUUUUUUACAAUUUUAUUUUCCAUGGAUUUUAUUUAUAUAUCAUAUUUGGUCUCCAUAUUGCUAUCUUUUUUGCUUUUGUAUUUUUUUAAAAUUGAUAUUUUUUCAUAAUUUUUUUCUUCAAAAUUAAAUUGGUUUGAAAAUGAGCUUCUUGAUUCAAAUCGGAUUUAUAAUUUUACAGGUUACAAGUUUUUAAGAUUUGAUCAAGUUUAAAAGACUUGCUCGGGUUUACUAGUUUUUUUUUCCUUUUUCAAGAAGAUGCCCCCCAAGAUUUCAAAGUCACUUUAGCAGUUAUAUUAGUUGCCUGCUUUGUACCAGCUCCAACUAUUAUUUUUGCUCGCCUGCUUAUUACCAGCUCCAACUAUUCUUUUUGCAUUUUCUUCGUUUGACUAAGUUAUGAAUUAUAUAAAGGAAGUAGCGUUUCCUCAAUAUUCCUCUAUAUAUGCUUUUUCACCCCUUUUAAAAUUCAAAUUCAAAACCUUUUAAUUAAUGACUAUUUUCAUUUUAACUAUAUUUCCCUUUAGGAUAAAUCCUUAGAAUCAAUGUUUUUUAGAAAAACAAUAAUUUUAUUAAUAUCAAAUUACUCCCUCCACGUUAGUCAAAAAAAAAAAAAAUAGAUCCGAUGAAACCCUUCAUUACAUUGAUGAAUUAUGGAUUCUCAAACAACACCUAGCUAGUCUUUUCAUGAACGAUUAAUGGAGCUUUCUAAACUUUUCUAGCUAGAGAUUUCUAAAACAAAACCUUUUCUUCUAAAUCAAGCAUGCCUACAACCUAAACUAGAGAUAAGGCACGUUAAGAGUCAAUCUCUUAAUGUUUAACAUAAUUAUUUACUUUUAUUUUCUACACAUAAUUAUUGAAUUCCAUGAAGAAUGAAUAUUAUAUAUUAUUUUCUAUUAUAUUCAAUGGUUUAUUUGUAUUAAAAAAUCCAUUGAAUCCCAUUAUUAUUUAUAAUCUUUACGAGCCUAUCAAGUAUCCUUGAUUCUUUACCCUACAACUACUUUUUAUACCCUCAAUACUUUAUCUUUUAACUUGUGUAUUAUUGCACAAAUUGUUAUGAAGGGAUCCCUCUAGAGAGCUGAGCUGCUCUGGAAAGAAGCAGGUUCCAUGCUUUUCUCUUCAUUGCAUAACAGCUGUGCAUUCAUCAUAUGAUUCCACCAAAUCCAUGCCCAAAUGGACCAUGAGAGAUUUAUUUUGUAGCUUUUGUAGCUCUGGAAAGAAGGUGGGAGCUUUGUCAUCUCGUGCAUGGACCCUGCCAAUUUGCGAUGCUCACCUCUCAAUUUUCAUGUCUUCCCUUUUUUUUUUUUUUCCUCUUUUUUAUUGGCCUAUUAAUUUGUUGUUUUACAUUGUAAGGGCGCCAUUCAUCUUUAUCUUUAGCCACCAAGCAAACCAUACAUAGGUGAACGUGUCCUUGUGCACAAGAUUUUCAUUUCCAAAGGAAAUCCUUCACACAUUUCCUCUUCACGUUGCCUUCACAAGUUGACGUAUCUCCACAGAAGAAGGGGUGUUUCAGGGACACACAUGCUACGUUAUAUCAAAUUCUCAAUGUUUGAUUCUAUCAUUGAUUUGAUUGAAAGUACCUUUUUAACCUAUCAAAAGGUAUUCGGACAUGGUGCAUCUUCUCCUCUUCCAAAUUGAGUUAUUAAAAUUUAACUCGAGCUGGCUUACACAGGUUAGACUAGAAUUUUAUUUAGAUCAGGUUUUAAUAAAAUCAGAUGAAAAUUGAUUUGUGUACGUCUAAUCAAUCUAGUGGAUCAACUCAAUACUCGUUCAAAACCUGCUUUGAUUUUUUUAAUAAAAAUAAUAUUGUUUUGAUUUUUUAAAAAAAAAACAUUUAAAUUGAUGCAGUACAUAAGUUAAUUCAUCCAAUCUGUAAACCAAGUCUUGAGUUCGAUCAUGAACUCAACAGUAUUUAAUAAUUAUAUUUUUAAAAAUUUUUUUUUUUUAGAAAAGUCAUCAAUAUAAUAUAACAAGGGGAUUUUCUAUUAUAUUUACCUCUAAUUAAGCAUAAGAAUUAAGAUGCAAUAAGAGGCUCUUUUUGGGCCAACCAAACAAGAUGUUUUGAGAUUGUUUGAUAUUAUAAUAAUUUUAAUUUUUUAAUUUUUUUACAAAGAAAAAAUUAUUUUGGUUAGAAUUUUUUUUUUUUUUACUAUAAGACUCAUGCAUAAUUAAAUUUUAAAUCUUGAUUUCCCAUGUAAUUCACUUUUCAAAAUCUAUUUCCUAUAAAACUGCUUUUUUAAAAAAAUUAUUUUUUAGCAACAAACAUGAAAUGAAAAGGAUGUAGGGGGGAUUGAGCCUGCAUUUCCCAAUAUUUUUGUUUUCGAGGUUUUGAGAUGAACAAUUAUACUGUAAUGUUCUCCUUAGGUUGAAACUAGAGUUUGAACAUUCCUCGAGGCCCAUAGAAAUUUGAUUGAAGAGCAGUGCCUAGUUAGCUAGAAUUGAUCAAAUCACGCACAAAACAAAAUAUAAAUGCGCUGCAAAUUCUCAAAACAAAAUAUAAUGUAUUUACUUAACUUUAUUUGUGUUUAAAAAAGGAAUAAAAAUCAAAUAUUUAACAAAAAACAAUGGCAUUUAUUAAAUAUAUUAAAUAAGUGCAAUUUGAUAUGGUAAUAUUUUUUAGUAUUUAUAAUAAAUUCUAUAUAUAUAUAUAUAUGAUUUAUUAGAAACAUUAAGUGACUCUUGAUAAAUGCUAUAACGACACCCAUUAGCCGAACCUUUAAUUAAAAAAGAAGAAGCUAUAUUAGUUGAAUAAAUUAACCAACAACUACAUUGAGAUUUGAACAAAUAAAAUGAUGAGAAAAUAUUAGAUAGAUCCAAAAUUGUACUUUAUUUUCUAUAUAAAUCUUAUAAACCAAGGAUUUAUUAUAAAUAAUAGAGAUUAUCUUGAUAUAAAAAAUAAUUCAACUCCAAAUAUACAUGAAUAAAUUUUUAGAAUAAAAUAACGAGUAUAUAUGUUUUUUAAUAAGGAAUUUAAUCUCAUGUAUAAACUAAUCUAAGAAUACUUUUAUCAUUAAAAAAUGGUAAAUAAGUUGAAAAUCGCAUUUAUUUCCGUGUCUAUCUUGUGGCUUUUUGGGUGAAUUUAGCCGGAUUUAUUAUUAUUAUUAUUAUUAUUAUUUAUCAUAUCUCUUGAUUUAAACCAUAUUUGGAGGUUUUCAUAUGUUCGGUUCUAGCCCUUAAGAGGCCCAGUUUGGUUGGGGGGGAUCUUAAAAACAGAGACACGUCUUUUUCUUAAAGGAACAAAAAGGUCCUUGCAAAAGUAACCCAAGUGAGCCCAUGGUCCACAUAAAAUGGAUUAACUUUUUCCCAUCUGCUGCUGGUCCCUUUUUUUUUUUGUCUUGAUUCACAAUAAUUUCCUUAAGGAAAUUUAGUUUUUUUUUGUUAAUUUUUAUUAAAUAGCAUGGUCUGAUGGUUCAACGUGAUGACAUAUUGAUUCAGCCUCUGGUCAAGAUUGGGUUUUAAAUUAUUCUAAACAAGAAUUGAUAUGGUCAAUCUAGCAUAUAAACUUGUCAUUCGGUCAAAACUUGGUUUAAUUUUAUUUUUUUUUAAAUAUUGUUUUAAUUUUUUUAAAAAUAAAAUUUUUAAAAUAAUAUCAUUUUAGAUUGAGUCGAAUCAAUCCAAGUUAAUCUUCCUAACUCUUUACAUGGAUUUUGGAACAAAUCAUGAGUGAGGAUGGCUUCAAUAACUUUAUUAACAAAAGGAAAAUUGAGAGCUAAAAAAACUUACUAUGACUACUCACUAUAACAAUGUAACGAUGAUUUUUACCUUCAUGUAGAAAACCAUUGAAUUGACUAUAACGGUCGGUAAAGUUUUUUUAUAAAAUCCAUUAGUUAUUAUUAAAUUGAUCAGGAACACCUCAGUUUUUUCAUAUUUCUAAAGCACAUUAUAAUGACUAAUAUGUAUUUAAAAGCAAAAAUUUUAAAACUGGCAUCUAGAGGCUUUAUCUUAUUUUCAACCUAAUUAAUUUUUUAGUUAUAAUCAUGUUGAUUGAGGGUUAAUUUGGUUUUCUGAUUUCAUUAUUCGACAUUGUUUUUUUUAUUGGGUAAAAAAAACAAUGGGCUUUAUGAGUUUCUUUAUUUUCUUUUCUAUCAGGUUAUUGUAAUAUCAUGACUUGGAUUGUGAGUUUGACGAGUUAACCUGAGCUAACUAUUCAGCUCUUAUACUCAGGUUACAAGUUUGUUAUACUAACUCGGGUUGAUUAAGACUGAAUUUUUUUAAUAUUUGUUACCCAAUUUUAUUCUUUUGUAUUUAAAUGUCUGGGAAUUAAGUUGCAUUAUUUUUUUCUCAAGUUAUCAUGAUUAUUUUUUUGUUCAUUUACUGUUUAUUUAUUUAUUUAAAACAAAAUCAAUUUAUUUAACAUUUAUAACUCGAGUUACAUAAAUGUUUUUUUAAAAUAAAUUUACAGUACCUCAACAUUUUUUUAAAAAAAACAAUUCCGACAUCACUGCUUAUCAUGGAUCCACUACGGGCCAGGACUUCAAACUCUUAUUUGAUUUCCCAACAAUGAAGGGAGAUGAGUUUGGUAAAAACAAUUGUGUUCACAGGACAUCCCUCUUCCACAUACGAGAUUAAACUUGCAAACAAAAAUGAUAAGGUUUAGAGCAUUUGGGUGGGUGCUAGCUCCAAAAUCAUCAUUCUCCAGGGAUUUAAUUUUUGUCCAAAGAGGGUUUUUCAUGAUGAUUCAUGGAUAUAUAUAUAUAUAUAUAUAUAUAUAUAUAUAUAUAUAUAUAUAUAUAUAUAUAUAUAUAAAGGGAGAUGCUAAGUACUGAUCAUGGCAUAUCCCAUUCUAAGUGGAUUCUAACAAAUCUGCACAUAUGCCACAUGUUUAUGAUUAACAAAGAUAAUGCAAGCCUCACGAGGGGAAUAAUUAAAGGAGUCAAUAAGUACAUAUUAUAGCUUAAAUUAAAUUAAAUAGUCAAUCAGAGACUAUGAUUCUGACUGGUUAGCAUUAUUAAAUAUGCCUCUUCAUCACUACAACUAGAAAAUAAUUUUUUAGAUUGUCCAAUAUUCUUAAUCAAGUUGGUGUCUUCAUAAAAAAAAUAAAAAAAACGAGCCAUGAUAGUAUGAAAAAUUCGCAUGCUGGAGGGCAUAUGAUAUCAAAACAUUCUAGAUUUUUGGAGAAUAAAAAUAAAAAUGAAAGCGGAUCAUGCUCCUAACUUAGUGGACUGCACAAUAUACUAAGACAUAUGAAAGUUUUGAGAAAUGUUUUUUUUUUUUUUUACUUGCCAAGCAUGUGAAUUUUUAUUUGAGAUGCAAGUACUUUCAAUUUUAUUUUAUUUUUUGAGUUAAAUGCCUUCAUUUUUAUAUUCAGUUUACCAUCAUAACUUUUUUUUUGGUAAUUAUAAUAUAAAUGUUUUAGGAAACUAGUAUAUAUUUGGUAGGGCAUGAACAUGAACAUUUAAUAGAUUAAUUAGUCCCUAUUCUUUUUAUGAUAUUGUGAGUUACUUUCUUAAGUUUUGGAAGAUCAUAAGAUAGUCCUAUUAUUAGAGUUGCUUCUUUUUCAAAAUAUCAAAAUUGCCCUUUUUAAAUGGACUUUUGAUUUUUUUUUUAUUAACGUGGGUGUUCGGGCCAGCUUUCGUGCACCUCAACUAAUCUCACGGGCCCUGAAGUUAACGACCAUGUAAGCCUCCAGUGGCCAUCAUAUUAGCAACCACAAGGCUUGAAUUUAAGAUCAUAGGGAAAGCAAACCUCUUGGUCCCAAUUUCUUAUCACCGAUAUUAAAUGAACUUUUUAAAAUGGGCUUUUGAUUUUGUUUGUAGCGUUGAGGUUGGAAAAGUUAAUUAGAAGUGAAUCAUAAGCUAGGCAAAACAAUGAAAUUGUGAUGGACAGCUCAUAAAACAAAAUAUAUCAAGAAAUAUAGGGGCUUGAUUUUGAGAUUCAUAAACUAAAAGGAUCAAGUGGUUAUGUUUCUACGACAUAGGGACUAAAUAAAAGUAGUUUACUCAGAAAUUAGAAAUGGAAAUGCACGGUGGUGGUGGGGUGGGGUGCUUGGUGGUGGGGGACCAUGAAGGAGUAAUGUCCAGGUGGUUGUGGCAAAGGGAAAGAGCGGCUUCUUGGGAAGCCCACCAAGCGGCGCCAACGUGAGUCUGUCGGAAACUGCCAUGACUAAAACAAAGUGUGUUGGUGGACGACAACACUUGAUCACGUGCAUAAGUGGGGAUAAAAUCGUACACAUGAUCAAGAGAUGAUUUAUUGGCUCUUUAUCCUUUUUAGUAAUCUUUAUUUAUUGAUUUCACAAUCUCUUUACAGAGAAGAAGAAUGGGACAUAUAGUUUCAAUUGUUCAAUAAAGCCAUGUUUUUCCUACCAUUUUUCUCUAGGUCAUGAUGCAACGUUGGUUAAUCUUAGGAAGAAAAAAAAAAAAAUCUUGAUUGGCAACUAAACUGAUUAGAACGGGUCCUGCUGAAGAAAAGUUACCAAGAAAAAACCCAAAGACAUUGCAAAAGGAUCCAAUUGAGAAUUAUCUGAGAUGUAGGGACUAAAAUGAUUCUUUUCAAAACGUUGAGGGUCGGAUAACCCCCGAGAAGCUAAUUUGAGACGUCCCCGAUUUUCUAAUGGCCAUGGCAGUGCUUACUUUCAUCGGUUUCCAGCAUCUUUUUAACAACUGGAUCACUUUGGGAUGAUUUGUCGACACUACAUCGGUUUGACAUGAAGGAUUAUCACUUUUAAUCACUAUCAAUGCCUUAUUAACUACUUUAAUUAGCAUGGAAAGUAACAAUAUUAGUAUUUUAUAAAACAGUGUUUAGGCUUGUAAUGGCCUAGAUUAUAGGCAUCUCAUGACCAACAUGAGCCUAGCUCUUAGCUUCUUCGCAUGGUGUGUGAAAAGAGAGCUGUGUAAGCUUAUCUUGUUGAUUUACCGAGUAUAAUUUCUCGACUAGUACCAUGUCCUCUGUACUAUUUUCAUUGUUUAUCGACCUUAUCACAUGCAUUUAAAUUCUGUGGUGCAAUGAUUUAGGUAUGGGUGGAUGUAGCACUUGAUGUAUUGUAAAGCAAGGCCAGUAUUAUUCUUAAUACAAAUCUUAUAAUGGCUCAUUAGUGAUCUUAAUCUUUUUGGAGGUUUUCUCCGAGCUCGGAGGUUGUGUAAUGGCCGGCUACAAAUUCUUGAUAAAUCAUGUCACAAGAGGUAUCCAAGGCUUGUGCUGAGGAUUCAAAACAUUAGAGGCUUUUAUCUAAACUUUAUGCUCUCUCUCUCUGUCUCUCUCUCUCUCUCUCUCUCUCUCUCUCUCUCUCUCUCUCUCUCUCUAUAUAUAUAUAUAUAUAUAUAUAUAUAUAUAUAUAUAUAUAUAUAUAUAUAUAUAUAGAGACACACACACACAAAUUAUUUGACCCUUUUUUUUUGGCAAAAAAAAAUUAAAAAUGCAAACUUUUCAAAUGUGUUUUUUUUUUAAAUUUAAUUAUAAAUUAAAAAGCUUAUGCGUGUAUUUAAUUAAAUACAUUGAGAACCACCUGUGCCAAUAUAUACAAAAAAACAAAGUUAACGCGUCUAUUUAACUUGUAUCGCUGCUUGUCAAAUAUUUUUUUGAUAUCGAGUAAAAAAUAUAACCGUGAAUCAAAAAAUUGAUACUUGGAUAUAAUAAAAUAUGUAAAAUUUCAAGAUAAUUUUUAACGUAGCAGAAGAAUAGAACAAUGUUGUAAUUGUUAAAGUGAAACACUAUUUCCUUAUUGUUAAAGUGAAACACUAUUUCCUUAGUCUUUGUUUAAUAUUUUUUCAAAAAAACAAGUGUAAAGAAAAAAAAGUUAAAAAACAAAAGAAAGAUAUAAAUAGGUUAAAUGUAAAGUGAUAAAUAUUUAAAGUGUAAAAAAUAGCAAAUAAUAUUUUUUUUCCAAAUAAAGGUAUAAAGGAGAAAACAGAAAAAGUAAAAAAAUAUUUAAAAAAUAACGAUAAAUAAAUAAUGAUAAAUAGAUGGAGUGUAAAAUUAUAAAAAUACAAAGAAUAAAGAGAAGAAAAUAAGAAAAAUCUAUUUUCUAAAAAACCAAAAAUUACAAUCUUACCACCGCUACAGUAAAAAUGGUAAAAUUUACAAUUAUGCUAUUUCUAAGGAAAACACCAUUUCCCUUAUAGUAUAUGUAUGUAUAAUCUAAACUUUUAUAAUUAAUUCUUUAUAAGUUAAGAUUGACAGUACAAGAUCAUACCCGUUCUUGAAUUGACGAGAAUCCAUCUUAUAUUUUCUUAAAAUUUCUCUUAAGUUUGAUGGUACAUAAAGAAUAGAAAUUACACAAACUCUAUAGUAGGGAAGUGAAUUCAAAGCUUCUCUAUAAGUCAAAUUCUUAUCACUUUUUAGGUUAAGAAAAGAUGAAUAUAAUUUAGGCCAUGUUUGUUUUUUUAAAAGUGGUUUCUGGAAAAUCACUUUCAACACUUUCCUGUGUUUGUUUGCCAUUAGGGAAGUUGGUCAAUGGAAAACACUUUCCAAUCAAAGAAAAAAUUGGUUUGGUUUCCAGAAAAGUGUUUUCCUGAAAAAUUUAGGCGAAAAACACUUUCCGGAAGUUGUGAAAAAUUUAGAAAUGUCAUAUUAUUUGCUGAUUAUAUCAAAUUUGGUUCUCAAACUUUUGAUUGCUAUAUAUAUUGUUUUGAAUAUUUAUUUUUUAAUUUCAUCUCUUAAAAUUUAAUUUUUAUAUUAACUUUGAUCCUCAUUUUUGUAAUUGUUAUUUGCUUUUCCCUUAUCAUUUUUUUAUUGAAAUUUUUUAUCUAUCAAAUUUGAUCCUUAUUCUUUUGAUUAUUACUUAUUUUAUUUGAAAUAAUUUAUGAAAUGUUAAUUAUUAUUAUUAUUUUAAUUUCUUCAUCUUUUAUUUUUUUUAUUUUUUAGAUUUGAUCUCUAUGAUUUUAAUUAUUAUUUAUUUUAUUUGAGAUAAUUUAUGAAUUUUUUUUUUUGAAUUUCAUUCUCAUUCAACUUUUUAAUUUGAAAGAUUUGUUCCUCAUUAUUCUAAUAAUCUUGAGAAAAAUAAAAUAUUAAUAAGUUAUUUUCCAGCUCAUUUUCCAUGACAUAACCAAACACUGGAAAGUGUUUUCCAACUUAUUUUUAAUUACACUACCAAACAUCAGAAAAUAAUUCACUUUCUCGGAAUUCACUUUUCUGGAAUUCAUUUUCCAAAAAAAAACUAUUUUCCAGCAAACAAACGGGGCCUUAGUGAGUAUUUAGAAACGCGAUUGUACCCGCGUUUCUAAAACAAUUAAUUUUUUUACUAAAAAUUAAUUUUUUUUGUAUGUUUUGGAUCGUUUUAAUACGCUAAUCUCAAAAAUAAUUUUUAAAAAAUUAAAAAAAAACAUCAUUUUGAUGCAUUUCGAUAUAAAAAGCACUUUAAAAAGUAACCGCAACCACACUCCCAAAUAAAUCAAAUUGCAUGAAGCUAAACAACAUUAAUCUAUAAAGGGAUCAUAAGUUGAUGAAUCUUUUUUUCCUCGUAUUGGGUUUUUUUUUCCCUUUUUAACAUAGUUUCAUUUAAAAAAAAAAGAAUAACAAAAAUUGAAAAAAUUUCGAUAAAAUAAGACUGUUCAAUAUAAAUAUUGCUAGCGGCAACCACAACUUCUUUAAAAUGCAGAAGGUGGGAAUAACAAUAUUAUAAAGAAAGACCUAGAGGAGUCAUGUCAACUUCAAUAGGAUAUUCUACCGAAAUAAUGUGCAUAGGACCACCAUUUCAGCUACCAAGUUCAUCUCGGCUAAUGCUGUUUCCAAUUUCCUAACAACUCCAUUGCCUUGUUGAAUUUUGUGCACACUUUUACCAUAAUGUAACAAGAAACUGGAAGUGGAUAGAGACAUGGAUGAUGACAUGAUUAUCAACGGGUGGCAUCGGUGUUUUUGGUUCACUGAAUUGUGACCAAUAAGCAUCAUCCUUUGUUACCUCGUUGGAGUUUUCGGGAGAGAGGCACACAUUUGCCAUAUUAUUUAAAGACAAAUGAGUGGGAAGAUUCUAGGUUUCAUUCUAAUAUACUGUUUAGAUGAGAAGUUUUUUUUUUUUAAGUAUUUUUUAUUUAGAAAUACAUUAAAAUAAUAUUUUUUUUAUUUUUUUAAAAUUAUUUUUUAUAUCAGUACAUUAAAAUGAUUUGAAAAUACCAAAAAAAUAUUAAUUUAAAAAAAAAAAUUAUUUUUUUCAAUAACGUUUUUGAAAGACAAAAACAAAUAGACCCUUUAGAAUGCCUUUUACAAAAACAAGUAGUUUUUUUUUUUGAUGCAACUCUUAAAUAUAAUUCACAUGCACUUAAAAAAAGGGGUCAAAUUGUUGCUUCAAUGAACCUUAGAGGACCAAUGUGUAAUUUAUGAUCCAUCGAUUAAGGCACAUUCGACAAGAAAUGGGAAAAAGCGAAAGAAUCAAAUAAGUUUUAAUCUAAAAAGUCAACACACCAUCUCCGAACUUGGAGUACUAUUCUGUAAUUCAUCUAUUUUACAAAGAUAUUAAAAUAUAAAACAAUUGAAUCUCUUGCUAAUUGCCCGAACUCUUGGAUUGAUGGAUAUUAAUAUAACACUAGAUAGGUGGCACGAUUUUUGCUGGGGGCCAAGUGUUUUAAAGAAGAAAAAAAAAUUCAGAAAAUAAUAACAAUUAUCAAUCCCUAAUAAUCAAAAUGUAGAAAGAAGAGAUUGAAAAAAAAAUUAAUGAACAAAAGAAAAUCUAAAAAAAUAAGUACCAUCAAAUCUAGGUGAGAUUGUCAAAACUCGGGAGUAGAAUCAUGCGAAUGAAAUAAUUCAAUAAAAGGUAAAACAAGAAAAAAAGACAAAGCUUAAUUUUUUAAAAAAUUAAAUUUUAAAGGAUAAAAUUAAAAAGAAAAAAAAUAACAUAAAAAAACUAGGCCACACCGUCUAAACCUCCUACUUAGAUAAUAAGAUGCAAAUAACUUGAUUGAAAGGAAACUAAAAAAAAUAACAAAGUGUUUUUUUCAAAACGAACAACUCCAAAGCAUAUAAUAAUAAAAAAAACAAUAUCAACAUGUGUUAACAUUUCAAAAUCAUGAUCUAGCUAGUGACUAAACUGGAAGCACCCCAUCUAGAAAGCUAGUUUUUUAAAACAUGACUCGACUUUACAGGUUGACUCAUGAUCUGGGACCUGGAUUGGUCUGGGUUUCAAAAGAGAUUAAGGGAGAAUUGAUCCGGUGUAAAAUGGUUAAAAACCCGGGUUGACUUAUGUCUUGGUUAACCCAGGAAAAAUCCAGUCAAAACUCGUUGAUUAUUUUUCUUUAUUUUAUUUUUUCUCAAAAUGAUGUCAUUUUUACUUUUUAUUUUUAUAACAUAAAUAGAUUUGGUUGACGUCAACCCACUUGACUCGUAACCUAGUACUUGUUCUGGAUCGUCUCUUGAGUCGGGUCUAAAAACUAUGAGAAAAAACACGGAGAUCAAAUUUCAAUAAAUCAAAUGUCAAAAGAUGAAAUAAAAAAAUCAAGGAUAAAAAAAUAACAAUUAAAAAAAUAAAGACCUCACUUGAAAACAAAUGAGACGACAACCUAAAACUUUGAAUUGAAGGGAAAAAUUGAAAAAACAAAAUCAAAUUAACAUAAGAAUCCAAAAUAAAAAAUAAAAAAAAUUAGAAUGAUGAUCAAAUUAAAAAAACUAUAAAAUCAAGAUUAUGGAUCUGAUGAUGAAAUUGAAAAUAAAUUAAAAUUUAAUAAAAGGGUUAAGAAUCAAAAUUAAAAAUCAAAACAUUAAGGGCCGAGUUUGGAAUAUCAUCAAAUCUUGAAUUUAAAGGCAAAAUUGAAAAGAAAAAUCAAAUUCACAAAAAAAUCCAAAAUAAAAAUAAAAAUCAAGAGAAUGAGCACUAGAUUUGAAAAAAAUUAAAAAUAAGAUCAUAGAUUCAAUGAUGAAAUUGAAAACAAAUUAAAAUUAAUAAAAGGGCUAAGAAUCAAAAUUUAAAAUUAAAACAUUGAUGGUCAAACAUGAAAUAUUAUAAAAUAAAGGAACUAAUUUGAUAUAAAAGCAAAUACCAAAGGAUGAAAUUGAAAAAAAAAAAAAAAUUUGAUACAAUUAAAAGAAUAAGGACCAAACGUAAUAAAAUUAACAAAUAACAUAGCAUUUUGAUUUUUGGCAAGGGAAACAAGUCUUUUGAGGCUGAAGAGAGAGAAAAGAGGAGAAAAAAAAUCGUUGAAGCUAUAUCGUGUAUGAGAAGGCUACACACGCUCCAUCAUUGUGAAAAUAACAAUGAGAUGCAUUGAACGCCUUCCUCAAAAGUCGCACGCGCCUCUCACUAGUUGACAUGACCAUUGUAAACGAUAAUAUUUUUUUAUUUAAAAUAAUACUAUAUUUCAAUUAAAAGACUAAAAUGCCAACAAGUCAACUUUUCAAUUACAAAAAAACCACAUGAAACGACAAAAACACCCUUGACCGUGACUUCAUAAAACUAAAUUCAAAGGCUAAUUUGGGUAUUGUACUGUUUAAUUUUUUUUGAAAUGUCUUACAAGCCCCUCGCCCCUUCAGUUUAGUUAAUUUAGUUUUUUUUUUUUUUAAUAUCCACGGUAAAAUGGGAUUGCAUGAAUUUGAUCAAGGUCAAUGUGUAAUUUGAUGAAGGUCAAUGUUGCACAGCCCAUGUCAAAGAGCCUGCGAGGAAUUUAGAGGUAACAGGAAGUACACGAUAAGACACCACACAUAAUUGAUUCCUGCCAUCAAUACAAAAGGAAUUGAUCAGUUCCUCCUCUCUGGAAUCAUCCACAGGGAAGGAGCCAAUUGGAAAAGACUAAAGAAAUACAAAAGAAGGAACAAUAAUGCAGCAUAAAAUAAGAGGUGUAUAGUCCCUUUAGAUUUUUGGUAGGUUAGGCGUCUUAGGGAAGUUUAAAAAUGAAGAAAAAGGUACAUGUUGCCAUGGCAUUAUGUGCAUGUCCUAGUCCUAUACAUGUCAUGCAAGAAGGAAGACAGUAAUUAAGGUCUGAUUGUCUCUAAGGUAAAGAUCACCCUUCAAGUUACAAAGCAUAGAAAAAAAAAAAAAAAACACAGUCCAUGUUGCCAUGGCAUCGUAUACAUGUCAUGCAAGAAAACAGGUGGUUCUGUCUCUCGAUGAAAUCUGCGUUUCAGGUUAAAUUGAAAUUAAAAAAAAAAUACUUUUUGACUUGGAUUGCAAUUUCAAAAUAUUUUGAUGUUUUUGAAUUAUUUUAAUAUAUUAAUAUUAAAAUAAUAUAUAAAUUUUAUUUUAUUUACUUACAAAGUUCAAUCCCAAACUACAUCAACAAUCCUGCAAUAUAUAGUUAAGCUAGACACAGUUGCACAAGAAAGGUGAUGGUGAAUUUGAUAGGUGAAGAUGUUUCAAAUUAUGUUUCAUCAAAAUUUAUUUAUUUUAUUUAAAAUAAUUUAUUUUAUGUUUUUAAAUAAUUUUUAAGUGUUAAUAUCAAAAAUAAUUUUUAUUAUUAUUUUAAUAUAUUUCUGAGUAAAAAAACACGAUAAAAAAUAACUAUUACUUAAAUACCCAGCACUCUUCAUGAAUACUGAACCCAUGCACUCUGGAUUUAUCUGCAUAAACUUUUAAAGUGGAGAGAAAGUGAGAAUCUUUUUGUGGGACUAAUGACUUAUACUGUUUUGCUUGAUCAAGCUGUAGAUAUGUUCUUAUCCCAGUUGUAGCUGUGAGUUGUAGUACUUGUGUUUUGUGUGUAGGCAGGCAGUUGGGUUGAUUGUCAUGAGGAGAAGUUGCUCAAAAAUCAACAAAAACAUCACCAAGUACAUUGGCUAAGACUUUGUGACAGUUAAGUUGAGAGACUAUUAAGUCAUAUGUCAUAAAUGCUUUUUUCCUUUCUUUUAUAGUUUUGGUUUAUUUAGUCUUAACACAACAACGCCUUUUCUCUGACUUAUCUGACUCUCCACCACAGUCCCCCCCACUCUCUCUUCUUCCCUUUUGCUUUCCCAUAAUUAAACAUCGAUACCCAUCAUCUCUAUCACUCUCUCUUUCCAUUAUCACUUCUCUAUUUGUACAAAGAAACCAACCCACAAGCUGGUUUUGUCUUGAGAUGAUAAUCAACCAACCAUUCAGGGGAAUAGCACUAGUUAGCCAGAUGUUUGUUUCCAGUUUCUAAGCAGUGCUCUCAUUCAUUCUUGAUUUCCACUAGCUAGCUUGGCAGCAGCAGCAGCAGUAAGUUUCACUUUCUAUUCAGGAUGGGAAAGCUGUACUUGCUAUCUUAUUCUCUUUGUAGUAGCUUUUGUUUAGCUCUUGCUGUUUUUUUCUUCUUUUUUUUGCAAAGAAAGUGUGUGACUUGAUGAUUAAUAUAUGUCCUUUGAUGUUCUUAUUCUGUUUCUGUUCUUUCCUUACCUCUCUCUUUUGGAAUCUCUUCUUGUGGUUUUGAUGGCUACUCUACCUACUUCAGGUUCUUUCACUGAUAAUGACUAAUGAGAUUGAACUUCUUCAAAAGCAAUCUAUUCUGUUUUUCCUAGUUGCAGUACAUGAAUUAAGUUUCUGCAAACAUGGAUUUUGUUGUUUUCUACAACAGAAAAUGGCAUGAUACUUAAUUUUGAUCAAUCGAGUUCAUAAAUACCACCAAGGAACUGAAUUUGCUGUGGUGAAAUGCUAUGUUGAUCAAUAUUCAUGGUUUGCAUAGAAGUAUACACUAUCUGCCCUUUCUUCAAGGAAGACUGCUACUUCUGCUAGGUCAUAUUUACUUAACUAGGUUCUCUUCCUUGCAAAUUUGACUUAUUUGCAUCAAAUUCAGAUACCCGUGUCUGUUCAUAAUUCCCCAGACAAAGAGAAUCAAAUAAGUUUCUAAUCUUGAACAGAGGAUUUUAACUUUACCUUUUUGUGUUUCAUCUAAUAGGCUUUGUGAUUUCCUUUCCUUCAACUAAAUUUUGGCCCUUAAAAUUUUUGACUUAGGACAUGAUAUUGGUCUAGCAAUAUGAGAAUAUCUGUUUCGUUUUCUCUUGCCCUUUGGUUUUAUGUUCUAAAAUGCUUGGAAUCAUUGAGAUUUGAAGCUUAGCUUAUUUCACAUGUUUCUAGUUUCUAUGUAUUUUGUCUGGAUUAGGAUGCAGCUUGAUCUCUUUAUAUUCUGUCAGUUAAUUUUAUUGUCACCAUAUUUUUCUUGAGAUAAAGAGAGUCCUGUUUCUAUUAAUGUCUAAUGCCCCCAUCAUUGUCCAAGGUAUAUAUAUAAUCGUGGAGGAAACAUGGCCUCAUAGUAGCUCACAGUGGACCACUGGAGAGAGGGCAUGCCACAGAGGUCAAAUCCUUUUGUGUUUGAAUGCAUUAUGCAUCAAGUCACUUAGGUUCGAUUAUGACAGCACAAGUUCAAUCAAAUGCUUUACAGCAUUGUAGGUUUUGCUUCAAACAAUAGUCAUUAAUUCACCUUUUAUCAGUAAAAAAAUGUGAGCUUGGUAAGGUUUAUGAACCACUAGGAUAGCAGUGUGUUGCUGUUCUAGUUACAAUAAUCUCGUAGGCCAAAAGACCAGAAGUUGGAGACUGUUAUAAUAUAUUCAUGUUGUGGAAAUGAUAAUGGAUUAUUUCUCGGCCUCAACCUUCAGAUUGUUCUUAUCUUGCCCUCCUUGUUUUGCUAUCUGUUUGCUUGUUUCCUUGAGUAUUUUUUUUAAAUUUCAUUACUCUUUGUGCUAAAUUAGUAGUUGUCAUCAUGUUUUUACACAGAUUUAAGAGUUCUUAAUCUAUGUUUUUGUUUUGGAGGUUGCCUUGCUGAUAAAUUUCUUGCUAUAACUUUCACAAUCGCUCUCAGCUCCUACAAGUUUAACUGUGGAACACUAUUUACUCAUCAUGUCGAAUUCUGCAGGUUGAAAACAUCUUGUUUCAACUGACUCAAUCUGGCUACUGCUCAGAAACUAUAAAUGUGAAGUAUCUCCUUGUGGUAUUAAGUAAAAUCAUCAAAGAAAGAUGAAACCAAUUAUUGAUCUUGAAGUUGAAGCCACCUCAGAAAAUGUUUCUGAAGUUAGCAGCCAAGUAGCUUCCAACUUAUCAAACCAAGAAACUUCUGCAGCCCCCUCCAAUGACAGCCUCACUAACUAUUCCUAUCUCACAAAUGCCAUAGCAACUCAAUCUGGUUCGGAAAUGGUUUCCCUUGACUUAACCCUUUGCUUCAAUAAUGAUGAGUUAGGUGGAAGGGACCCAGUGGGACUCUCAUUGUCAAGCACAAGUGAGAGUAGCAAUGAACCUGCAUCACGUACUACAGCUGAAGCAAUACCACGAGUAUUUUCUUGCAAUUACUGUCAGCGCAAAUUCUUCAGCUCUCAGGCACUUGGUGGACACCAAAACGCUCAUAAGAGAGAGAGAACAUUAGCUAAGCGUGCAAUAAGAAUGGGUAUUUUCUCGGAAAGGUAUGCCAGCCUAGCAUCGUUGCCUCUACAUGGAUCCUCAUUCCGAUCCCUAGGGAUAGAGGCACAUUCUUCAGUGCACCAAAACUUUGCACCACCAGUAAGGUCACUAGAAAUAAGCAGCAGUGCAAGAUUUGAUCAAGGUUAUGCAGGUCUGCCAGUAUUCAUGGAGGAUGACGAGGCAGAGUUGUUAUGGCCAGGUAGUUUUCGACAGGUAGCUGUGGCAGACGAUGCUCAUCAAAGUUUUGUAGUCGCAGGAAGUUCAAACAUGAUUUUUUUGGGGGCAACUCCACCAGUGAACUUAGAUGAUUCUGCGCCAGAUCUCACACUAAAACUUUGAGAACAUUGGUUGCAGUAUUUAUGCUCCGAUAUUAUCUCUUGUAUAGCAAGUUGUGCAAUGGACCAUGGCUGAACUUUUAUAUUCCCUGUUAAGAAUUUGUAUGUCAGUGUAUAAGAGCUUCACAGAGAUUAUUCUGGAGCUUCUUCGUUUGUUAUAUCUAUGUGAUUGAUCCUUUUAAUUUUCUGUAAUUGGUAGUUUGAUUAUGUAUUCUGUCUAUCUAAUUUCUAAUGGUGGUUGAUCAUUUCGACAGUAUGCUUCAAGUACAAGUCUGCAGGUAUCGCAAUCGGGUCACAGAUUAACUCGGCAGUGGAACGUUUUAUCAGCAGAGUAAAACCUGCGACAGUAAUAGAAGUUUUCUUUAAGCUCUAAUCUACAGUAUCAUUCAAACAAAAGUUUAUCAACGUAAAUAGAUGGGGGAAAUCUCCAAGCACCAUAUAAAUUUGCAAGAUCGUUGAAUUAUGAGCAUAAACUAUCCAACAAAGAAAUUAACAAUCGAAGAAGUUAAAUUACAACCACGAGGAUGCAGGAGUCCAGCCAUAUGACUAAACACAAAGAUUGACGUCCUAUCUAGUGGACUUCAUGCGACUAUAAGAUCUAGCAGAAAACAUCGAUAUCUAGAAACUUGCUUUUACUCGAGCUAUGACUGAUCUCCUUCUCUUUAUAAUAGGUAUUCAGUGUCAAAAGAGAAGGCCUGAAUUGGGAAGUGAAGGAGCCUCUGGAGUCGAAGAAAUCCUGCAGGUAGGAUGCUGAUCUUGUCUCCUUCUUAUAAGCAGCAGAGAGUCCCUCACGGGCAAUAUCUUUAGACCCACUAUCAGUAUCCAUAACUAGGAAAUAAAAAAGAUACCGAAGAAACAGUAGUACAACUUUCUUUCCACACAGAAAACUAUGCUUCUAUUUUUCUCUCUCGCACACUAUGACUAGGGUUUUUUCAAUGCCUUGUUGAAGACGAACGACUAACCUGAUACAUGCACACGCACUUAUAUACUCUCCUAAACCGACCAAGGAUGUUUCCUGCCCUGGUUCGGAUGGCAGCUAGGGCCAGCUUGGAUUUACUCUGUUUCCAAUAUCCUCCAUGUUCAGGAAAUUUAAUCCUGCUUAAAUUGGAUACUUGACAACAUUCGUAUCCUCAUCCGAUUAGGAUACAAAUUCUCUAUAUAGAUUGAAACAUGCGAUAAAUUCAUGUUUACUUUUCCUUAACUUAGAUGUCAAAGUACAAAACAGUCCCUAAACUAAACAAAUGGGCUUUCAAUAUAUAUAGAUGAUCGAAAGAAUGAGAAACAUUUUUAUUAAGAUUUUUUCCAUCUUCUUCUUUACAAAAAUAGUACUCAAUAAUUUGUAUCAGUAAUUUAUUUCAAUCAUAUGAUCAAAGUAGAUGAUAUACUCAUUGCUUGCUACUGCAACUCUAGUUUUCUGAAUGUCUACUUGUUUUUCCAAUUUGAUCAAAUAAGGAUUCUAUUAUAUAAUCUUAUAAUUAAAGGAUCAAAAUGUAGUUUGACAUUUUGUGUGUUGUGAGUUUGUGGCUCCAUCCUUUGCUCUCUCCUUCAUUCAUGACCUGAAGUAGGACAAGCCACCUCAUGAAUGGAGUCCUUGUAGUCCCAAUGCCCCAUACGCCAAAAAAAAUUAAAAAAUACAACCCUGGAAAUAAUUAAAUAAUUGUUAACGUUUUUCAUCCUUCACCUUGUUCAUCUGUUACACUUAGGACCGAAAAUGCAGAUUUUGUUGUAUGGAAAUGCUUGGCAGCCCAAACCAUACUACAAGCCCGUGAGACGAAUUUGGAAGUCAUCUUUCUGGUACAGUUUCUUGCUCUUCCCCCAAGCAAAAACAGUACGCAGUAAAAUAACUCAGGUGCUAAAACAUGCAAUGACACUAAUGCCUUGUUUGUUUUCAGAAAAAUAAAUUUCUGAAACCAUUUUUUUUAUUUUCUGAUAUUUGGUGAACAUAAAAAAAAUAAGUCAAAGAAAAUUCAAUUUUGAUCAAAGUAAAAAAAAAAAAAACUUUAUGAGAGGAAAGUGUUUUCCUUUCCUUAUUUUAAGAAAAACACUUUUCCAUGAAGCACCUCUUCUUUGCCUAGUCAAAGAUAUCGAUUUUUUAGCAAUCAAGUUUUUUUGUGUCAUUUCAAAUAAUUCUCGUUUCUUCAUUUCUGUAAAAAAUCAUUGUUGUUGCAGGAAGCUUUCUGCUUCAAAUUUUAAAUAGUGGCACAAUUAUGACUGUUCCUGCUUUUGACAUCCCUUGCUCAUUUUUUAAAAGUUUUGACUGUAAUUUUGAUGCAAUUAUUUUCAAGUAAAUAUGACCACCAUGACAUAUUCCAUUAAUUCAUUAAUAAAUUAUAUUGUAAGUGAUUAAAUAUUUAUAUUUAAUAAUUUUUAUAUAUUACAUAAAUUUGAAAAAAAAAUUAAUUCAUUAAUAAAUUAUUUUCCAGUUCAUUUUCCAUAACAUAACCAAACACUGAAAAAUAUUUUCCAGUUCAUUUUUCAUUACACUACCAAAUAUCGAAAAAUACUUUCCCGGAAUUCACUUUUCUGGAAUUCACUUUUCCCGGAAUUCACUUUUCAAAAAAUAACUACUUUUCUGCAAACAAACGGAGCCUAAGAAAAAGAAAAAGAAAGAUGAAGCUUCUAUCAGCAAAUGGGAGUGUAGAACAUUUGAUGGAUGAUCAAGGAGAAAGCACAGAUUCUCUGGAGUCCGGAUUUAGGAAGCAAGGAAACAUCCGUAACGCAAAGAGGUUUUCAGAAAUGAAAACAGAACUUGACAGAGAGUAAGCAGUUCAGGAGAUGCCAGCUGAUGGUCAGACACCGGGUUUCAGGGAUAUACACUCUGGUUUAUGGAAUGAGUCAUAUAUUAGAUGGCAUUCAAUUGACUCAGAGGGGAAAUCGGGGGUGUUCUAGCAAUGUGGAAUGACAAUAUUUUUUAGGUAGAAUCAACUUAGUUAUAUGGCCGAAAACACUACGGGGGUGCAAAAAGAUGGUCUUUGGUAAUCAGGAUAAUAGAUUGCUAGAGAUUCAGAAUGGAACAAAGGAAUUAGAAGAUGAAGGGGAGAGUCCGGAACUUACUAUUACAGAAAGAAGCAAGCUGAUCAAUAGUUUGGUUACAGAAAGAAAUGUGGAGGCCAUUUGGAGACAAAAAUCAAGACAGAACCGGUGCAAGCUGGGGGAUAGAAACACGCGAUUCUUUCAUUUGGCAGCAGGCAUGAGAAGAUCGCGUAACAGUACUAUCUCCAAGAUCAUCUAUGGUACCAUGCACCACAAUCACCUCUCCAUCAGACAUAAAGGCUGCUGCAGUAUCCUUUCACUCCAAUCUUCUUUUCACCAGACCAAAUCAUCGAAGGGCUGCAUGGGAGUAAUGGGAUUUAAAGGUAUUUCUCCUCAAUUGUCUACUUGGCUGGAACAGGAUGCAACUUUGGAGGAAGUUAAGCAAGCUGUAUGGGACUGUGAUGUAUCGAAAGCUCCGUGUCCAGAUGGAUUCACUCUUUCUUUCUAUAGGAAAGCCUGGCAUCUGCUCGGGAUUGAGAUUCUUUCCAUGGAACUUCUACCGAUAAUUUUUCUAAAUCUAUAUUAAGAGAGAUUUGCUAUCAGAGUACUAAUUUAAAGAUAUAGAUUAUUAUUUAUAGAGAAAUUUGAAAAACUCUAUAAAUUGAUAAAAUAUCAAUUUGCCCCUUAAAUAAUAUCUAUAUAUUAAUUUAUGAAAAUUUUAGAAAUUAAUCAAGUCCAUACUUGAUUUUUCUAGAUCUACAAAUAUAAUUUCUAUAUUAAUUAUAUUUUAGUCUUUAAUUUCUAAAAUAUAUUUUAAUCAAGUCAUACUUAAUUAAAUCAUCUCACUUUAAUUUCUAACUAAUAGUUCUUAAUGUUUGUGACCCAUUAAGUUACUAAUAUGUUGUCCUAAAUAUAAAUUAUAAUUAUAAUUCAAUAAAAUUAAAUAAAUUAAAAAAUUUAAUUUAUUAUCAUUUCAACAAUUGAAUAAUUUAUAUUUGAAGAUAAUGUGCAUAGUCUAGUAACGUAUCAUGAGCCCCAAAUAUUAUAAAAGUUAUUAGUAGUUCGACUUAACCUUUUAAUAACUGAUUUUUCAAUGUAAUUAAUAUCCUUUCAUUAAUAAUGUAUCGAUUUAACAUUAAAAUAUGAUUUAUAUCUAUUCUAUUAAAUUAUAUUUGUUCUUUACAUACAUGAUAGUUAUUAUAUUAUGAAUAACUUGAAAAUAUCCUUCAUCAUCGGCAAACAUAAAUUUAGUUGUGAUAUGUUAAAAUAAAUAUAAUAUCUCUUUCAAGACAUUGCAAACACUUUUGCAAUGUCUUGAAAGAGAUAUUAUAUUUAUUUUAACCUAUCACAACUAAAUUUAUAAUCAUUUAGGUGGUGACUCAGUGGUAAGAGCUUGGGACCAAGAGCUUUGCUCCCUCUGUGGUCUCAUGUUUGAGCCAUGUGGUUGCUCAUAUGAUGGUCACUGGAGGCUUACAUGGUCGUUAACUUCAGGGCUCGUGGGAUUAGUCGAGGUGCGCGCAAGCUGGCCCGAACACCCACAUUAAACAAAAAAAAAUGAUUGCUUGCAUAUUUAAUUAAUCCCAAUCGGAAUGUUUUCAAACAAUUUUCAUUUAUUAUAUAAAAACCCGAUUUUCAAAAAGUCGCCGCCAUUGAAUUAGACUAGUGGUAAGAGAAAACCAUUCUUUAAACAUUAGUCAAUAUUUUUCAUUCAAGUAUUACAUAGUUAAUAGUUAACAGACGAAAAGUAGUUGGUUGAUACGCAAGAUUAAGGAUUCUAAAAAAUAAUACAGCUAAAUUGAUCAGAAAUUGUGAGCUACAUGAUGGAUUCUAUAUAUGUGACUACAAAAGUGGAGUUGAAGAAGAUAGAGUUAACCACUAAAAACAUGGAGUCUUCGAGGUUCAUUAAUAUUUGUUUCUUGGUGUUCUGUGCAAGUCUUAUCAUCCCAACAAGAAGCCACAGUUACUCUCAUGUUGCCUUGUUUAUCUUUGGAGAUUCGUUGUAUGAUGUUGGAAACAAUAAUUAUCUCAAGAAUGCUCUAGCUCGGGUAAAUAUCAAGCCAUAUGGAGAGACCUUUUUCAAGUAUCCCACCGGAAGAGCUUCUGAUGGCCGAUUAAUUCCUGAUUUUGUUGGUAAGGACUAUACUUAGGGAUGUUCUUCAUAUAAAAGCUUCUUUGCUUUACUUUUAUGAAUGAAAUGGUUGGAUAUGAUAUUCUUGUUUCGAAAUUCACUAGUUCAAAAAUUAUUUUCCUGUAAACUAAUUAUGGAUUGGUUUGAGUAACUCUUGCAUCCCGAAAAGCGGGAUUUCUUAAAAAAAAAGAAAAAAAAAUCAAAGUUGAGUGUAUUGUGAGGAAUAAGUAGAUACUGCGAGAAGGAUUUAACGAUGGGGCAUGUUUUACUGUUUAGUGUUUAUAUUAUACUGAAACUUGGCAUUUAGGAGUCUGAACUUGGGUGAAUCCAACUAGGGAUGGAGGUAGAGCAAAAUAAAUGGGGUCAUGUGAAAACAAACACCAAGGAGGAUUGACAUAGGCAAAAUCAAGUUUUGAAAAGAGAAGGGCCCAACCAGCCCAAGAAACCCAACCUUGCAAUAGAGAAGAAAGAUAAGAAAAUAGGAAGAAAGAAAAGGAAAAAAGGUAUGGAAAACAAGGGAAAGAAGGGAAAACAGGCUACCAUAGCUCUACUAGAGUUCUUUCACCAACAGGUGUUAUACCACUACAUGUGUCUUGCUAAGACAAAGCCAAUGCUAAAAAAAAAAACCAUCAUUAAAGGGUAGAAGUGGCCACACACGUAGCCGUGACAGGCUUAUACACGCACCAACACGUGUCAUGUAUGCACCAAAGCAUGUCAUACACAUGCCGAACACAUUGGUUUGCUUUCUUCUAUUUCAAUCCCUGAUUCUUUAGUAACCCUCUAAUUUAGUCCCUGAAGGUAACCAAAUCAAACCCAAUAAUAGCCCAACUGAGGAGAGAAGAAGAAGAGAAGGGAACAUAAAGAAAAUAAAAAAAGAAAAAAGAAAAGGAGAAAGAAAAUGGCCCAACAAUCUUGGGCUAACCAAGCCUACCAAGAGGAGAGGGGGAGCGUAAGAGAAAGAGAAAGAAAAAAGAUGGCUAACCCAAACCAGCAAGCACACUAAUUCUUUUUGCGUAGAUAACUUUAAGAGCAUGUAUGGAAACGCGGUGUAAACCAUGUUCUCUUAAAAUUUAAAAUUUUAUUUUGUUUAAAAUUAAUUUUUUUAUAUUUUCAAAUUGUUUUGAUGUGUUGAUGUUAAAAAUAUUUUUUUUAAAAAUAAAUAAAAUAAUAUUUUAAUAUAUUUCUAAAAAACAAUACUUUCAACUAUUACCAUAUUUCCAAACUUAACUUUAGAUUAUAAUUAACACAUUAAAUGAUGUUCAAGGCACGCCUAGUCAACGCCACUAUCUUGAAUUCUCCAUUUUAAAAGUUAUGAGAGCGGCACUCACUUGAAUUUUCUAUUUUAUAAGCUAUUAGGACAACAUACGUAAAUAUUUUUUUUCACAGGGUGAGUGCUUCCCUAAACAAUUAGUUUUACAGUUCAAUUGUGCUGUUGUUUAUCAUAAAAUAAUUAUUCUCCAUGAUUUCCCUCUAAGUAGGAUGCACAGUAUGUCCACAACCCUACCCCCACAAGGCAAAUUCAUGUGAUCCGAUGGUAUAUAAAUAUAGGUAUGGGACACAACACAGGGAAACAGAUCCACACACACAGCUCAUGCAACGUCCACAACACAUUCUUCUACAUUUUCGUUCUUCUUCCUUCUUUCAUUAUUUUUCCCAUAUGCUUUCUCUUAUUCUAUAUAGAGGUUAAUGGAUAUAUCAACACAUUGUGAUGUUAAUGGUUUAUUUUGUUCUUUACAACUUAUUAUUAUCGACACAAAAUGUUUUUUGCAAAAUGAUGCUUGUAAUUUUGCUGCAGCUGAGUUUGCAAAGCUGCCAUUAAUUCCACCAUAUUUGCAACCUGGAAACCGUCAAUUCAUUAAUGGAGUCAACUUCGCAUCAGGAGGAGCUGGUGCUCUUGUUGAAACUAAUCAACGACGGGUAUGUGGUCCAGUUGCCUAGCUAGGCCUCUCUCUUCUUUUAUGUGUCCAAGUUAAGAUCAUCAUGCAUCAACAAGCUAGAAACUUGGUACUUUUGGAGUGGAUUUUGCUUAUUGUGAUUAUUUUAUACUAAUUAAUCAUGUUUUUUCAUUUUCUCCUGUUUGGUUCUUUCGAAGGUGAUAGACCUUAAAACUCAACUUAGGAAUUUCAAGAAUAUGGAGAAGCAGCUAAUUAGAGAAAAACAUGGAGUUGCUGAGGUUAAGACAUUAUUAUCCAAAGCUGUUUACAUAUUCAGCAUUGGAAGUAAUGACUACUUUGUACCUUUCGCCACAAACUCGACUGUGCUUCAAUCCUACUCCCAAGAAGAGUAUGUCAAGAUGGUUAUCGGCAACAUAACAGCAGUGAUCCAAGUAAUUAACAUGUUAUAAGAGCACACAAAUUAUUUCUUUGUUUCAUUUUUCUCCCAAGUUCAUCAAACUAUGAUUGCAUCAAUUUUGCUUUUUCAGGAAAUAUAUAAGAUUGGGGGAAGGAAAUUUGGACUUUCAAAGUUGACAGCAUUGGGUUGUGAUCCCGCCUUGAGAGCGCUAAAACUAGCCACCACAGGUGGCUCCGGCUGCAUGGAUGAAGCAACUAUGCUUGCAAAACUACACAAUAUAGCUCUCCCCGAAGUUCUCAAAGAGCUUGAGAGCCACCUAAAAGGAUUUACAUAUUCCAUUUUUGAUUUUUACACUACAGCAGAUGAAAGACUCAAUAACCCUUCAAAAUAUGGUAAAGAGCUCCCUAUUUUUUCUUAUCCUGAACUGUUAGGAUUAUUUUAUUCCAAUUUUACUUUCUUUUCUUUAAUUUUCCCAUUUAAUUUGUGUGAAGGUUUCAAAGAGGUGAAAAUGGCAUGUUGUGGCAGUGGUCCAUACAGAGGCUCCUUCACUUGCGGCCUGAAAGGAUACCAAGUGUGCGAUAACGUUAGCGAAUAUCUCUACUUCGAUGCAGUUCAUCCAACCGAGAAGGCCAACUAUCAAUUUGCAAAGCUAAUGUGGAAGGGAAGUACUCAAGUUGUCAAACCUUACAACCUUAAAACACUUUUUGAAAUAUAGCUAAAAACUUGUCCAAAAUGAUCCAUCUCGAACCAGACAGUUAAUGAUUCUGCACACCAAUAAAUAUUCAAUCGGAACAUCCUAUCUUCUGAUUUGUUUUAAAAUUAUGACUAAUUAAUGUUCUUUCUUCUCUGUUCUUUUAUUUUACUUGCAAUCUAAACUAACUGAUAAAGGCCAAAGGCUUGCUUUCGAGGGUGUGUGGUGCAUGAGAGUGAAUUGGUAUAUCGAAAUAAAGAAAUAGAGAUUUUCAAGUUCGAAGGUUACAACCCUAACGGUAAAGAAAACUUUGUUUCCAUACUUUUUGAAAUUCAAUAAUUCUUAAAAACUGUUACAAAAAUAAUUUACAAAAUGUUUAAACAUGUGAUAAACCAACUUAGCUAAUUAAAAUCAAAUCAAAUUAAAUUAAAACUCUAAAACCUAACUAGGAAAGAAAUCAAAUAUAAUAAGUAAAAUAAAGAAAAAUCCCAAACAACAAAUUUUUAUCCUCAUUUGAUCACAGUUCUAUCCUCAGCUGAUUAUAGUCUAAACUAAUAGUUAGUAAAAAAUUAUACUUGUUUUCACUAGAAAACUACGCAUUUAGAACUUUUCUUGAACUUGUUGAUACUUGUCAAAGAAACCAUAUACACAUAAAAAUAUGGUUGAGGUCUAGAUUGGUUUCUUGGUUAUAAAAUAUUUGUGUCUGACAAGUAGCAUAUAUAUAUAUAUAUAUAUAUAGGAGAUAAAAUUUGUGAUUUGAAAUCACACCCUCCUCCCCUAGUAUUAUUAAACUAAAAAAACUGUGUGGUUAGGGUCAAUACUCAGAGUUGAAAUAUAAAAUUUGCAGUCUACCUAUAUCAGCUUUCAUAUCUGAUAUGAUAAUAAAUGGAAAUCGGCAUGUCCAAAUCAGAUGGGUGCAUCACAGCGUACAAAGUACAUUUAAGGCUAAUGCUGGUGGAUCAUACGGGUUUCAACUUUCAACAAUUUUCAUCUGUGACAUGUUAUAAUUUUAGCUUGCAACAAGCUGUGAGUGCAUUUUUCAUGUGGGGGCGAUUUUCUUAUAAUUGUUUAGAGAGAGACCAUAGUCUAAAGACAGCAAUUACACUUUAUUGUUGAAUUUUGAGGACAACUGGAGUGAGAUACUAGAGGCAUUGCCUGAAUUUUUUUUCCUGUUUUGAGAAAUCAGAAUACUAUUUUCAGUAUUGGAACCAAGGAAUAAUCAUUGUAAAUUUUAUGACAGCAGAGAUCGUUAUUAGCACUAGCAGAGUAAAAUAUGCAACACAAGCAAGAGUUUUCUUCAAGUUUCACUGUAAGCUAUCAUUCAAGUAAAAGUUUAUCAACGAAAAUAAACAGAAAUAUCUCAAAGCACUAUAUUAAUUUUCAAUAUAAUUGAAUUAUGAAAAUAAAGUAUUUGAAAAAAAAAUCAACAAUCAAAAUAGUUACAGUCACAAUCAAAAGCAGGGGAAUUCAGGCUACAGUUAGAUCUAGCAGAACACAUCAAUAUGCAGAAACUUGCAUUUGCUCAAGCCAUGGACACUCAUCUCAUUCUCUUUAUAAUAAGUAUUCAGUGUCUAAAGAGAAGGCCUGAAUUGAGAAGUGAAAGAGCCUAUGAAGUCGAAGAAAUCCUGCAAGUAGGACUCUGAUGUUGUCUUCUUUUUAUCAUUGUCCUUCUUAUAAGCAGCAGAGAACCUCCCACUGGCCAUACUUUUAGACCCACUAUCAGUAUCCAUAUCAGUAGAACUUUAUUGAACUAAAAAGGUUUUCCACACAGAAAUACUACGCUCCUAUCUUUCUCUCUCACACACUAUGACUAGGGUUUUUUACUCCAUUGUUACAGACGAAAGAAUAACCUGGCACAGUAACACACACACACACACACACACUUCUGAACCGACUAAGAACGUAGCCAACACUGAUUCGGAUUCGGCUAGGGCCAACUUUGUACACUUUCUUUCCAAAAAAUAUCCUACUAAAAAUCUGAAUCCUUGUUAAAUUAGGAAUUGAAGAAUGCAAUAAAUGCAGUUACCCCUUAAUUUCUGAGGUUUUUUUUGUUUUUUUUUUGAAAAUAAGGUAUUUUUGAAAUUCUUUUUCAUAAAAUAGAGUAAAUUUUCCUCAUCAUCUCUUUUUGAAUAAAAAAAAAACAAGUCUUGUGAGAUAUUCAUUGUAGAUUUAACUCCAGGAGUAGGACAGGCCAACUCACGAAUCGAGUUCUUGUAGUUCCACCGGUAAAAAAAUAAAAAUAAAAGAUUGAAACAAUAAAAAUAAUUAUCAAAUUUCUUCUUCUUUCACCUAUUCAUCUGUUAUAAUUAAUAGGACUGAAGGGUGCAGAUUUUCUUCUAUAGAAAUGCUUGGCCGAAUAUGGUAAAUGUUUUCAAAACAUGGAUGUUAAUGACAGGCGAUUAACCAGCUUCCGAACUCAUUCAUUUGCGUAAUAGAUAUAGUAGUCAAUUGGCCGUGUUCCGGCAUGGAUUGGAUUGCUUUUCUUGAAAGCCAGUAAUUUAAUUUUUUUAUCUAAUUUUACAACUAAAUAGUAUAAGAGAUAAUUUAAAUUAAAUUGAUUAAUUUCAUGGGUCUAAAUACAAUUUUGUUGACCGGUAAAAUCAUAGUUUAAUUAAAAUUUUUUUUCAAGAUAAUAUCUAUUUUUAAAAAAAUUAUUGAGACAAUGACAAAUUGUCUCGAUCUCAGUCCCCAAGCAACUUGUGUCGUGAAUUCCAUUAAGUUUAAUAACAUUUUUUCUUUCUAAACUUUUUUUUUAAUUAUAUUCGCAGUUUAUUUCUUAACCAAUCCAAUAUAAAAGAAUAAAAUCAAGAUAAAACUAUUAAAAACAAUUAAAGGACCAACAAUAAAAAAAAGCAUAUCCGCCCAGUUGGUGCACUCGUCAAACCUAUAACCAGGUAACCUGGGUUAGCACGCCAAACCUGUGAAUCGAGUUAUUGAAUUUAGUGGGAUUACAAUUUGUAUUUUGAAAAAAACUAUUUUUUAGUUAACUACAUGAUAAAAAAAUAGACAAUCACAAAAUUAAACACCAACCUAAUACUGAGAUGUUGAAAACAAUAAUGAAAAAAAAAAGUUAAACUCGUCAGACCUUUUGUAUGAUCUUUUUUCUCUCAGUAAAAAAGAGAGAAAAAAGACACCCCAACAAACCCAUUUUAGGUUUAUAAUUUUUUUCUUAAAUAAAAAAAUUAAAAAAACUAAGAGAUAAAUAUAGAUUAAGAUAUUUAAUAUUGUAAUAUGAGUAAUUUACCUGCUUGUAUUUAAUGAAUUUAUUAAUCAAAUUGAAAUAGAAAUCAUCAAACUCAUAAGAUAUUUUGGAUAAAAUAAAAAGAAAAAACAACUAUGCAAGGCUGCAUAUAUAAAAAAUAUCAUAAUAAAUAAAUAUUUUUCAUUUCUAAAAAUAAAUUUAAUAUAUAUAUAUAUAUAUAUAUAUAUAUAUAUAUAUAUAUAAACUACAAAUGAAUAAUACAAAUCUCUUAAAAAAUUAAACAAAUCUAAUAUAAAAAGAGGAUAAAUAAGCAAAAACAAAUCAUAGAGAAGUAAAAUAUAAAUUUAAAAAUUAUUUUAAAAACAUAUAAAAAAAGUUCUAAACAAAAAAAAAACUAAAAAAAAGAAAAAGAAAAAAAGCAAAGAAUGAGGUCAAACCUAACUCCUAGCCUCUGAUUAAAGGACUCGCGUGCAAGCCUCUUUUUUUUUUUUUUGUAAGAUAAUAGGGUGGAUGACAUGAUGUCCACCCCAAUUUUGUUUGAAAAAAAAAUGACGCGUUGUCUGGUAUACCUAGAUUUUAGCCAUUGUGGUGAUCGGAAAAUUGGGGUGCCUGAUUUUUGUCCUUUAAAAACCAAUUUUUAACACCAAACACCUAGAAAACACCCUCAUAACCUUGUUUUACCCAUCCUUAACCUCCAAAAGCACAAAAAAGGGUCUAAAACCAAGAAUCAACCCGGAACCCAAUUUCUUCCCUAGCUCAGAUAUAUUUUUUUAGACAUUUUCAAGGUAUCAAAACACCUACUUCAACCCCCCCUCGUCAUAUGGAACCAUUUGAAACACAAAUCUAAUAUUUUGGUGACCGAAAUCAUUGAAACAACGCCUUUCUCUCUCUAGGUCGGAUUCUAGUGAUUGCCUCUAUCUCCUCUCACCCAAUAAAGACUGAAAAAUGAUGAAAUUAAAGUUAAGUACUGCAAUGUUUAUUUGAAAAAUGCAAAGGAUCGAUCACUUUAUAGCAAAAAAAAUAUGGGGGGAAAAUGUACUUCAAUAAUAAAUUUGAAUGCGCCACCUAUAUUACCCUUGUAUUUCACUUCAUUCAUAUGUCUUGCAAUUCAAUCCUCACCUAAAAAAAUAAAUGCAAUUAGGCUCUAAUUCUAACUGAAUUAUACAAAAAAAAAAAUUGAGGAUCAAAUUCAAAAUUGUCAAAAAUUCUAUUAUUGUAAUCCAUAGUAAAAUGUGAGAGUUGGUGUGGCUACAGUAAAAAGACCAUACGAUUUAGCUUUAUAGAUAAUAAGCAAUACGAGUUGAGUCAUUCAUCAAAAAUAAGAGUUGAGUCAAUUUAUGAAAUGAAAUAGUUAAGAGAAUUAACUGCACGAAUGAGUGAGACGCUUGUUAUGUGAUUUUUGGUUUACAAAAAGUUUAGACAAGUUUAACAAGCUUGAUGACAAAGAUGAGCAUAACUCUUGAUUUAACUGUUGGAUUAAACAUAUAUUUUGCAAACACAUUUUAUACACCUAACUCUAUAAAAAGUUAGCUAGUUAUAAUGAGCCGAGGUCAUUUUCAUGUCUAAAUUAGGUCUGGAGGUUGUUCAUAUUUUUUUUCUUAGUAAUUUGUUUUUGUUUAGUUUAGGAAUCCUAAUUCCAGGUAGAUUCUAUAUUAACCAUAUUACUUUCAAUAAAGAUUCUUUUACUAUAAGGAUUAUGAUUUAGGUCUAGUACUAAUAUAUAUAUAUAUAUAUAUAUAUAUAUAUAUAUAUAUAUAUAUAUAUAUAUAUAUAUAUAUUGGUGAUAGAUUUGAUUAUUUGAAGAAUUAUUGACAUUCAAAAUUUUAUCAAAUCAUAAUUUUUUCUGUAAUUUAGUUGUAAUUUGAUAAUUUGUGAUACUGUUAUUCCUUAUUUUUCACUAUAAAUUGUGUAGAAAAAAAAGACUUGAACAUCUCUUAACAAAUAUAAACUUGAAUAAUUUGUGAUACUGUUAUUCCUUAUUUUUCACUAUAAAUUGUGUAGAAAAAAGAGACUUGAACAUCUCUUAACAAAUAUAAAUUAUAUUGAAAAAAAUAAAUCCAUUAUUACACUAUACAUAACCUAAGACGUACAUUCUGUGAUUUCAUUGAAAACUAAGGAUGCACCAUUUUAAAUUGUUUCUAGGCUUCACCAUAAAAAAAAGUGCACAAUGAAUCUAUCCACCGCAUCAUGCAAAUGAUGUCAUGCCAUAUGGUCAGCAGUUUUUGAAGACAUGAGUAACUUUUGUAGUCUAGGGGUGAUUGAAAAGUGUUUAGGUUUUCUAUAUGCGACAAGAUUCCUUCCCCUUCCAGUUCUGAGUUUAUAAUGAGCAUGGCCACAAGUUCUAUAUUCGGUCAAAUUUGUAUUUUUAAGGUAGUAUAAUAUGCAGAAGUUUGGACACAUGUCAAUUUUCUGAUAUCUUAAGCCUUAGGCCAGGGGGUUUCAUCAUGUAUUUAGCAGCAUGAAAGUUCUCUUUCACUCUAUUCCUUACAGGUAAAAUGUUUGUUUGCCCAUUCAACAAUUCUGGCGUAACUGGUCUCACUUAGCCCAUGAUCUAAGUUUUAUAGUGAACAGCUGUGAAAUGACCGAUACUUUACUGUGAAUUUUGCAUUAAUCCUAUAAUGGUCCGUUGGAGUCAGUCAAAAGAUCAAGAAACCUGGUCGCGUUUGCAUUUGAUUCUUUAUUAAAUCUCAUCGUAUCCAUAACCAUACUCUUAUAAGGAUUACUAUUAUCAUCUACAACUCCACACACGUUGCUAGAAUUAAAAGCUGAUCUUACCAUCCUUUCCACCAUGGUCUUGUAAGGAACAUAUGGCUCUUCGUGUUCAUAUCAACACAAGUAUUUUUCCAUGAACUUUUUUUGUAGAAGAUAAAUCGUAACAAUAUUUGGAUCAAUUUUUUUUAUAUCACUUAUAUGGACAUCUAAUACCCCGUCCACUAAUAUUUCUCGGAUUAGAUAAUGCAUAAUUAAUAAAACUCUCAACCCUGUUACAAUAAUUCAUCAUGUACAACCCUUCAGGUGAAACUUGAUACAUAAAAAAAUGAUCACCCAUUACUUAUAUCAAACCUAUAUAGAAUAUUAAUGAUAACAUGUAUUAAUUAAUUAUAUGAACUAAAUAAAUUAGCUAACAUUGGUUUAACUCAAACUUAUUCAAUGUAUUUUAAUAGUAUCUUUAAAUCAUUAUCAAAUUUUUUUACAAAAAUUCAAAUUCCUCCAUAUUUACUUAGACUUUCAACUUAACAAUAAAAUUAAUAAAAUAUGAAACACGCUCGUUAAAUAAGCCAUUAUUUAUUUCAUUACAAUACACCUCAAUCACAAAAAUCAAAAUCAAUUUCAUCAAAUUACAACCAAAUAUAAUUUUUCAAAAUCUCAAACAAACCGUAACAUGUAUAAAUCAUACAUUUAUACAAUAAAUUUUUAUGGGAAAAAGCUAUAAAACAAGUAAACACACAAAUAAACUUCAUAUACUACAUUAAAAUGCCAAAAAAUUAACAUUUUAAAAAUUGGUUAAAAUAAAAAAUGGAUAGUUUUGCUUGAUGUGGGGAAUACUAAAAAAAAAUUGAACCAAAAUAGGGAUGCUGACAAAUUGAAUGUUAGAGUGACCAAAUUUCUGAUGAUGAGAAUUUGAUUUGUGAUAAAAAGAGGGGUUGCUAUUAUUUAUAGAGAAAAAUAAAGAAAGAAGAAGAAAUGGGAGGGGAGGAGGGUUGCUCGCUAGGUCAUAAUUUAAAUAUUACCGACAUAUAUUAGUGACGAGUUUAUUUGAUCGAUAAUACCAUCUAUAACAUGACACAUCAUUUUUUUCUUUUUUUUUUUCAUUUUUUUUCUACUGUAAUUCCCUUAGGAUACACAAAUAAUUUUUUUUAUCGGUUUAUACCGAGAGACAUAGCGAGAUAAUAUUACGUCGAUAAAUUUCACUGUAAUUUAUUGACGAAAUUGUUUCCAUUGGUAUCUCUAUUUGUAUUUGUCAAUUCUCUAAAAGUGUUAGGACACAUUCUACUUAAUCAAUACUACAUUUAUUUCAAGAUAGAAAUACACAUUUAUUUAGAAUUUUCAAGUUGGAAUAAUAAUAAAUUUUUUUUAGAUUUUGUUGAUUUUUUAUGGAAAUUUUAGAUAUUUGGUUCAUAGAUCCGUUGGUAGAUUGAGUUUUGAAUUUUAUUUGAAGGCAUGGUUUGGAAUUUCUAGUCUGGAUAUGUUUUGAGACUGAGUAGUGCCUAUGAGUUCUGAUCUGAUAUUUUUCGUUUGUUUAUAAAUUAAAAUUAACACAAAUCUAACUUGAUUUAGUAACAAAGAGAAAAAAACUGAAAAACUAUUUUUUCAAUCUAAAGAAACGAAAACCACAUAUAUUAAAAAAAUAAGGAUAUUCUUGAAUACUCUAAAUUAAAUAUGAACAGGUAACUUGUAAGGUAUUAAGAAAAAAAAUGUAACUCGUACAAAUAAUUAAAAUUUGUAGUGGUCUGGAGCUCUGGGGCCAUUAUGUCCAAUGGACUAGUCUGUUCAAUAUUUUAAUUGGAUCUUCGGUAGGAUGGUUAAGCCAGGCUCUAAAUUAACAUCAUGAUUUAAAUGGAUAAGCCAGAUUUUAGGUUACUAUGGCCCGAUAAAUAAUACAAUUAGGUUGCCAAAUGAUCUACAUUUAAGCCCAUCAUUUGGUCUACGUACUAAAUUCCCUAGACUUUGAAUGCAUUUCCUAUGGCUUAUUAAAAAGUUAAUUAAUUCUCACUUGGAGUCAUAAAUAAAAAUUUUUAUGUCUAUGAAAAUUAAGGUGAGUUAAAUGUAUAAGAGUAAUUAUAAUAUAAAAUUUGAGCCAAUAAGUAUAACAUAAAUGUUCAUUAAUCCAUAAAAAAAUCAAUAUAUAUUUUUUAAAUAUACAAGUAGAGUUAUCAAACCCAUUGUAUAGUUGAUUCCGAGCAAGCCAUAGAUUUUAAGCGGAAAGGAUUAACCUGAUAGUUUUUUUAAAAAAUAAACAAAACUAUAGGUUUUUUUCAAUUUAAUUUUGACUAAAUUGAACAAGUUAGUAGUUAAUUUGAGUUUUUAAUUAAGCUAAUUUUUUUUUAUUCAACAACCCAGACUGGUUCAGGAUUCAUGUAAGUUGGGUUCUAAAUCGACCCAUAAGAUUGUUCUGAGUUUAAAAAUUAUGAUAAAUAUUGUUUUUCUUAUUUCAAAAUUUAUUUCUACUCAAUAACAUUUAUAAACAUAUUUCUUAAUUUAUUUUUAAUUAGCAUGUCUAACAACAGGGAAGAUUAAAAAAAAACUACUGUACGUACAAUAUAUAUUGGUAUAUAUGUAAGCACAUGAUUUUCAAAAAUGAAAAAAACAAAGAGAACAAAAAAUCAGGUGGAAAAAUCUUUCGUAUUAUAUGUAUCAUAAGGAUAUCCUUGGUUUUGUUAAACAAAAGUUAUACAUCCAUAAAAAAGGAAGAAAUUGAAGAUUAAAAAACCAGAAAAAGAACGAGCAGAAACUUUUGAAGCCAUUAAAAGCUCCACGAGAAUGGAAAUUGGAACAGAAUCUUUGCUUGUUCUUGAUCAGGACUGUCGUGAUCUUAUUAGCGCAAUAUAGUCUAUUAUUUUUCUUCAUUAAUAAAUUACCAUUGUCCAUUAUUUUGAACAUUUUUUUAUUGGUCCAAAGUAAAAGUACUGUUGAGUACAAUAUAAUUUUGCUAACUACAAUUUUUAAUGCAAUCUUCUUCGUGAUUUUCUCAUCAACUAAUUAGGUUUAAGUUGAGUCUGUUACUAGUUUAAGCAAUUAUAGGUGUCUGGAAUGAAUAAUGUAAUGCCUCAGAGAAUUUUGAUUCUAAUGAAGAAGGAUGACGACAUUAAUGGAUUUUUCCCAAUUAAGGCUGCAAAAUAUAAAGACCAAAGGAGAGGCAUUUUAACACCAAUCCCACAUCUAAAUCUGACGAGAAAGAUCGAUCUAGUUAUCAUAGGAUUUGAAUCUUUCAAAUGGAACUCGAAUUCAACAUAAAAGGAAUUGAACUAAUUAAUUAAUUAAUUAAGAAGAGGGAUUGGUCAAUGAUUGUGCACAAUAAUUAAGUUUUGCCUAAUGAUAUAAACUAAUAAGAGUAUUCGGAAAUGCGGGUCAAUCCAUGUUUUUAAAAAAUUUAAAAUUUAUUUUUGUUAAAAAAUAAUUUUUUUAUGCUUUGAAUUGUUUUGAUGUGCUGAUCUCAAAAAUAAUUUUUAAAAAUAAAAAAAAAUAUCAUUUUGAUAUAUUUCAACAUGAAAAAUACUUUGAAAAGCAACCGCAACCACACUCCAAACAGUCGAAAGACAUUGAAAUCAAAUAUUUUCCUGCUUGAUUUCCAAAUUAAAAAGUCUUGAAUGUUCUUAGCAAAUGCUAUUCCUUGCAGAAGUCUCUACUUUAACUUAUUUAAUUAAGUCUCUGUUCUAUGAUCAGUUAACAUUAUCAUCAAGAACAGCUAGUCUAACUUAGAACAGGCAUGAACUUAAUUACAAGAAACACAAGAUGUGGACAACACGUAGGAAAAUCUGUACUAUGCUGCAAAAAUAUUUGACAAAAAUUAAAAUGCUGACUGAAAAAAGAGAUAAACAUUGCAAUUAUGCUGCUUGGAAGUGCUUUGCGUAGAUCAUUGCCAGUGUUCGAUUUGAUCUAGACGGCUUCGAUGUCCUAAGCUAGAGGGAACGAUAUUUUGACAUUAAUUAUCGAGUGUUUCAACCAUGCAAAUUAUUAUGUACAACUUUAAAAUAUUUAAAAAUUUACCAAAGUAUAGGGUGUCUUUGCCCGCCCCCCCACCCCCCAAUAAUUUCUUUUUUUCUUUUUUGUUAUUUAUAGUUUUCCUUUUCUUUUCUAUUUUUUUACUAUGAAUAAUAAAUUGGAAAACAUAUUUAUUAGUCAAAAACAUAAAAAAAAUUUCUAACAAAAAAAACAGUAUUAUAAUUAUUUUUUAUAAAAAAAUUAAAACAUUAAUUUUCAAUAACCAUCUUCAUAUUUCUAUUUGUAGAAAUUAAAAAUAUUAAUUUUAUUUCAUUCCAGUAAAAGAUUAUUAUGAAAAGUUAUACUUAUUAGCUUAAAAAUUGAAAACAAGUUUGCUAGUUUUUUUUUAAAUAAAGAAAUAUUAUAUUUGAACAUAAAGUUCUUUUUCUUAUUCUAUUUUUUCAAAAAAUUGAAUUAUUGUUCUCUUUCUUAAUCAUUUAUAAAUUUUAAUUUUACCAACAAAUGAUAACUAUAGUACACUAUUAUAUCACACAAUUAGGCAUAGUAUAGAAGUCAAGUAACGAAUAAUUUUAUUUAAUAAAUUAGGGUUUCAAGAUCUUGUAGUCCUCCUAAUAAACAAAAAGUAAAAUACACUGUUAUAUAUAUAUAUAUAUAUAUUGUUGGGUUGUUGCCAUUGCAUGUGCAGCAAAUGGUUGGCACCAACCAUUGACUAUUGGCAGCCACCAUUUUCAAUGGUUAGGCAACCUACCAUGCCUAACCUUGCAGCAAUGUUUGACAGCAGAACAAGUGGAGCAGCUGCCAUGAAAUGUCUAUAAAUAGAGGCAUUAUGUGAGAAGCAAAAGAGAGGUGUGAGAAUGUGAAGAGUAUAGAGAGAAAGUGGAGAGCUGCAAUGGCAGCAGCCUUGCUGCCAUUGCAGCAGCUGCAAGUGCAGCAGUUAAGAGCUGGGAGUUGAGAGAGUGAAGUGAUCCUCCUCCUCUAUAUAUGUUGUAAUCCUUUCUCUAUAUAUCUCAAUAAUAUAGACUCUCCCGUGGAUGUAGGCGGUUUUGCCGAACCACGUUAAAUAUUGUGUCCCCGUGUGCUUUACCCUCCGUUUGAGCAAUUAUCCGUACAUCCCCGAUCGGAAUCCCCAACA
rnacentral:lncRNA from 1 species